rnacentral:lncRNA from 1 species
ACAUAAAUUCGUAGUGGAUUAUCUUGUGAUUGAAUCUCCUUAACACCAAGUUUUGAGAUGGGGAGCUGAUCAUUUGACUGAGACUCUUUAGAGUAUUGAAUCCAAAGUGGAUUAUCCUGUGAUUGAAUCUCUUUAACACCAAGGUUUGAGAUGGGGAGUUGAUCAUUUGACUCAGACUCUUUAGUGUAUUGAAUCCAAAGUGGAUUAUCAUGUGAUUGAAUCUCCUUAACACCAAGGUUUGAGAUGGGGAGCUGAUCAUUUGACUGAGACUCUUUAGUGUAUUGAAUCCAAAGUGGAUUAUCCUGUGAUUGAAUCUCCUUAACACCAAGGUUUGAGAUGGGGAGUUGAUCUUUUGAUUGAGACUCUUUAGUGUAUUGAAUCCAAAGUGGAUUAUCCUAUGAUUGAAUCUCCUUAACACCAAGGUUUGAGAUGGGGUGCCGAUCAUUUGACUGAGACUCUUUAGUGUAUUGAAUCCAAAGUGGAUUGUCCUGUGAUUGAAUCUCCUUAACACCAAGGUUUGAGAUGGGGAGCUGAUGAUUUGACUGAGACUCUUUAGUGUAUUGAAUCCAAAGUGGAUUAUCUUGUGAUUGAAUCUCCUUAACACCAAGGUUUGAGAUGGGGAGCUGAUCAUUUGACUGAGACUCUUUGGUGUAUUGAAUCCAAAGUGGAUUAUCUUGUGAUUGAAUCUCUUUAACACCAAGGUUUGAGAUGGAGAGUUGAUCUUUUGACUGAGACUUUUUAGUGUAUUGAAUCCAAAGUGGAUUAUCCUGUGAUUGAAUCUCCUUAGCACCAAGGUUUGAGAUGGGGAGUUGAUCAUUUGACUGAGACUCUUUAGUGUAUUGAAUCCAAAGUGGAUUAUCAUGUGAUUGAAUCUCCUUAACACCAAGGUUUGAGAUGAGGAGUUGAUCUUUUGACUGAGACUCUUUAGUGUAUUGAAUCCAAAGUGGAUUAUCCUGUGAUUGAAUCUCUUUAACACCAAGGUUUGAGAUGGGGAGUUGAUCAUUUGAUUGGGCCUCUUUAGUGUAUUGAAUCCAAAGUGGAUUAUCUUGUGAUGAAAUCUCCUUCGAGAUUUUAUCUUUUGAUUGAGUAUAGGUAUCAACACACGUCUCAAUGCUCACAUCUCCUCCUGCACGUUCGUUAAAGAUAUAGUUAUUUUCAAAGCAAAUUAUGUUUGCAACGGUUCAAAAUGACUUUAAUUGACCGAAUGCUUAAAUAUAGAUUAACAUUUUUUUCUUUUCCUUUACCAUAAGUUUUGAAAGUUGCCUUCUUUAGAAAUUAGAGUUAAAAGCAUAUGAAAUGAGAGUUUAUUAAAGAAUUCACAUAUAAGAAGUUAAUGAAUAAGAAUUUACUAAAUCAACGCAAUUUAGUAAACACCUAUUCAUUAAGUUCUGAUUUGUAUGAAUUCCCUCAUAAACACUCAUGUCAUUUGCUUUUGGGAAACGUCAUCAUGGAUAUAUAUAUAUAUAUAUAUAUAUGUGUGUGUGUGUAUGUAUGUGUGUGUGGCAUGAGAUUUGGAGUUACUCCAACUCAGCUCAUUGGACCUAGCAGGUCAACUCAUGAAGAUAAUGACAGAUUGAAAAGAUGCAAUUUGAAAUUGAUUCUCUAAAAGCAAAAGCUGUUGAAGUUGAUAUUUAAAAGCACAAGUUUCUCAAAUGGAUGUUUUGAAGGAACAAUUUAUUUUCCUUAUGCAAGUUCAUAAGGAAAAUGAGGUAAAUAAUUUUUCACUAAAUUUGCUAAACAUUUUAAACCUGUCCAGCCACUAAAUUUGCUAAGCAUUUUUAACUUGUCUCACUUAAUUUAUGGUUUCUUUUUAAUUUCAGUUCACUAACUUGGAGUCACCAAGAGAAAUGAGGCACUCCUCGUCUAGUUAUGUGCUUGAAGAUCAAAUAGUGCCAUCACAAGAGACCAUUUAAUUUAGAUUAUUCAGUUUUCUUGUUAUGUACUUGGUGGAUCAUGUGUGUGUACAAUGUUAUUUUCAUGUUAACUUUCUUUUGUAUUUAUUUUAAGCACCUUUGAUUUUGUAAAUUACUGAUUGAUACAAUAUUUAUGCAAGUGUUUUGGUUUGUUUGAAUGGAUUUUUUUGCUAGAAAUUCUUUUAUCUAUUUAGAUUGAUAUUAUAUACCCAAAUUUACAAAGCAUGGUGAGAAAAAAAGCUGCAAUUUUCGUUUUAGAUUUGACAGCGGUUCUAGCCGUUGUUAAGUGCACAAAUCUUUGACGGCGGUAUAAACCCACCCUCACAUUUUCUUGGAUUUUUACGGCGGUAGGAACCGGCGUGAAAACCUAAGUUCUUGGCGACAGUCGAUUUAUCAGCGGUUGGCCAAUAGUCAACCCUAGAUUUUAGCGGCGGCUUGAACUGCUAUCGGUUCAUUUUACAGCCGCCGGUAAACCUGUUCUUUUGUUGUAGUGAGCCAAUACUAUAAAAAUAUAGAGGAUGGAAAAGGGGAAAUUUGUUCUAGUAAAAGAAAAGGUAAAGUUGAACUUAUUCACUUAGUUAGUCAAUCAGUACAUAUUAAUCAUAUUCGCGAAUGUGUUGUCCUUAAAUUUUGAGAAGUAAAUUAAAACUAAUAGAAAAUUGUACUUUAGUGUCUUAAAUUUCUUACUCAGUAGCUCUAUUACUGCUUUUGGCAUGGGAGUACUUGGAAGCAUCAUUUUCCAGUAAAUUUCCGGAGGUAAGGCAGCAUGGGUUGUCAUCAGCAUCAUCAACUACAUAAAUUUGUGCAAAAACACAUCGUAUCACUUUUUAAAAGUUGAAUACUUAGAAAAAGAAAGAUAAUGAAGAAAUGUAAUUAUACUAUCAAAACGAAAAAGUUUAAGCUCACAUUGAGAGCCCAAAAAACACGAAGGCAAUGAGGCUCCAUAGCUGAAAGAAAUGCUUUAGAGAUGAGAAGGUGAUACUGAGAAAAGAGAACCUGCAGCUAUAUAUAGAGACUUAGAGGAAGAGUGAGGUGCCUUACAUCCCAUAAGAAAUUUUAGUAUAAUAACCACGAGAAUCACGGGAGUUCAAUAUUAUAAUGAAAAUGUGAUUCAUGCCCAUUCAAUUAUCAAAAAAGGCAAGAAAAUGUGAGUCAUGAAGUUGACUAAACAACUGGAAAUUGCGUAGAUUCAAAAUGUCAUAUUACCAAAAUGUCUUCUACUUCAGUAGCUGGUAAAUUACUAUCAUUUUGAGAAAAUGAAAAUUAAUCAUGGGUAUUAUUGUUAUUACGUAUUACAUUUAAAUUUCCACCAGAUUUGAAGCUUCCGCAGAAAAAUCGAUCAUGACGGAAAUUAAAUAUAUGAUCGAUGAUGCAAAUUUGAAUUUCUGUGUGUGCAACUUGUUUAAUUUUCCGAGCUCCAUAAUGAAAAAUCAAGCAAAUCUCGAUCUUCGUCUUUAAUUUUCAUACUGAUAUGCAUGAUUCUGUUUCAGCAAUAUACAGAGCUAGCGAUGGCAAUUUUGCCCAAACGCAUGGGUACCCGCCCGAACCCAAUCUGAUUUGACGGACAAAACUCGAGUUGACUGGAUUUGGGUUUGGAUUUGGGUUUUGCUAGUUACUGUAGGCUGUAGCAGUUCAUGGGUUUGAGUUUGGUAUUAGUUAAAUCCGUGUUCAUACCCGCCCAUACCCGAACUCAAAGAUACCCAAAACAUAAAAUUACAAAAAAUUCUCAUACAUGUAUAUAUUUAUAAACUUUGUUCUUAGUGUUUGAUGAUUAAUUGUACUUUUGUAUGUUUGAGAAAGUAAACUCUAAACUAUUGUUGUCUCACUUUGGUGAUGGAUGAGGAUGAUAAAUAAUUUUUUUUUUCUUUCUAUGAAUUUCACUUUUUUUUAUGAAAGUAGGUUCUGGAUCGGGUUGUUAUUUCACGUAAAGAAUGAGUUUGGAUUUGGGUUUGAGUUUCAGGUAAAUUCAAAACCCAAUGGGUUUGGGUAUGGAUUUCAUUUUAUCGCCCAUAAGGGUUUGUGUUUGGGUUUGGGUAUGAAUUCUGAGAUUUGAGUUUGGGUUUGAUAAUUGUAAAACUCGUGACCGAUCCUACCCGUUGCCAAAUGUGGACAAAGCUGUUAAUGAUUUUUGACACUACUAUAUUGAAAGAAUAAUGAUUCAUAGACAUAUGAAUAGUAGAAACACCCCAAACACCCCUUUUUCCUGCGGAUUUGGCCAAAUAAUACACUGAACUAACCACCUAAAUACACAUGACUAACCAUAAAGCACAUAACCGUGUAAAGUUGAAAUUCCUAAAUUAGGGAUUUGACCAAAUAAUACACAGAACUAACCACCUAAAUACACAUGACUAACCAUAAAGCACAGAACCGCGUAAAGUUGAAAUUCCUAAAUUAGGAAUUUGGCCAAAUAAUACACUGAACUAACCACCUAAAUACACAUGACUAAUCAUAAAGCACAGAACCGUGUAAAAUUGAAUUUAGGAAUUUCUACUGAGUUUACACGGUUAUGUGCUUUAUGGUUAGUCAUGUGUUUUUAGGUGGUUAGUUCAGUGUAUUAUUUGGCCAAAUCCGCAGAAAAAAGAGGUGUUUGGGGUGUUUCUACUAUUCCUAUGUCUAUGAAUCAUUAUUCAUAUUGAAAUUUGAAAUUUCCACCGGAUUUGAAUUUUGUGUGUUCAUCACUCCAAUUUAAUACUAGAUGACUUCAAAUUGCCUUAACUGUAUUUGGACUCAUUUGAUGAUUGAUGAAAGCGUUGCGUCUGGUAUUAAACAAGUUGCACACAAUGAAAUGCUACACGCUAUCAUCAAUAAUAGACAAUUAUAUUUCAAACAAAAUUAAUAAUAGGGAGUAAUCAUCUAGUAAUCAUCUAUAUACUUUAGAAAAGAGAAGGUUAUGAGCCUCAUCUAGAUGAUUUGACAUUCCAAGAAUGAUUCUCAUCCAACCUCCAUCUUUACAUGACAAGUGUCACACUCCUAUUCAUUUGGAUCAAAACAUUACAAGCUCAUUUUCAUUUGCAUUUUGUAUGGAGGCCCAUAUAUUUAAAACUCCCUAUUUUCCUUCCAUAAUUUAAGCACUGAACUCGAAUUUGAAAAUAUUAAUAAAUAAAAAACGUUACACAUUAAUUUCAAUGACUUUUGUAUUCAAUUGUUUCCAUCUUUGAGAAACAGUUUUCCUUUCGAAAUUUAUACUAUAAUGCUUAUUUCAAAUUCGAAAUUGACCCUCACUCAUUAAUUGGUUUCUCCGUUGGCAUUAGUUUAUUAAUCAGUGAUUGAUUGUCGUUUUUUUUAAAACUCUGCAAUUUAUGAUCGGUUUUAAAACUCCAUAUUUUCCUUCAAAAUUUUAAGCAAUCUACUUGAUUAGCAAAAUUAGUAAUAAUUAAAUAACGUUACAGAUUAAAUUAGGAGAAACAUCAUUUCAUCAAAUAUUCAACCAUUAAUGGUUAAAAUUAUUUAAAUCAAAAUCUUAUGUAGAUAUUUUUUUUAUAAUUAAAUUCUUUUUUUUAUUUUUUUAAAAAAAAUUGAGUGUACCCAUUAAUGGUUAAAAAAUUUAUUUGACUUUUGUAUGGAGACCCAUUAUUGAAAGAUUUUUUUUUGUUACAAUUAUUGAAAGCAUUUUGAAUAACCUUUUGAAUGCUUAAAUGAAUUUGAAAUUGACCCCCUCAUUAAUGAAUUUCUUCGUUGGCAUUGAGCAGCAUUGAUUCCAUUUAUUUGUUUGUUUUAUUUUUAUAAAAAAUAAAACGGCUAUUUUGAAUGAAAAUGACAAAUUGAAAUGGGUACAAACAGGAUUCAAAAAACCGCAAAUCAAUCAAAAAAGUAUUGAUUUGCAUUUAUUUAUUUGAUUUAAUUCUCUUAAAUAAAAACCGCAAAUUUAAUUGGAAAAGUCAAAUUAGCAUUGAUUCUAUUUACUGCUAUCCAAAUUUGAGCAUAUGUUCGAAUGGAAUCAAAUCUGCAUUUAAUCAUCUUAUUCAAUUCAAAUAAUUUCGGUUUUCUAAUAGGAAUCAUAAAAAAUAAUUAUUGUAUUAUAAAAAGUCAAUGAAAUAUUCUUUACACCUUUUCUCAUCAUUGUGAGCCUCACUUAGCUGAUUACUAUAUAAAUCACCUAAUGUUAUUAUUCAACUUCAUCAGGCCUUCCAUUUUUCACCAAUUAUUAGCUUUGAAAUAUACUUUGUUCUAAUUGCAAUUGACGAUCUCGCCACCCUCGAUGCCUCGAAGGAGAACUGGACUAUUGUUACAAAGGUGGACCGUUUAUGGCUUAGUCCGAGCUUAUAUGGCUUGAAGCUUCCAUUUUCCAUGGACAUGAUUCUUAUGGAUGACAAGGUAUAUUACUUUUUCACAUAAUCACCAUGUUUUAAGUUUUUUUUAAUGGUUGGUAAAUCUCCUAUGUUAUCUGUUUAUUGAAUUUCAGGGUUGUAAGAUUCACGCUUCGGUUAGAAAGACUCUUAUAUACCGAUUUCAAUUUUUGCUAAGUGAAGGACGUGUAUAUUAGAUUUCGUUUUUUUGGUGUUGGUGAAAGCGGUCGUGAUUUCCGUCCAACCUCGCAUCCAUUCAAGAUCAACUUUGAUAUUCAUACUUCUGUGCGAUUGGUUCCCAACAAGGCUAUUAACUUAAGCCCUUACAAUUUUGUGUCACUCUUUGAUAUAAUGUUUAAGGACAUUGAUACGUCUUUUCUUAUAGGUAUAUACUCUUUUCAAAGAUUUUUGGUUUUAAAUUACUGUUCUAAAAGUUGGAUUAAUAUUUUUCUGAUUUAGCAGAUGUGAUUGGAAUUCUCACCGGUGCAACUGGUGAGCAAGAAGGAGAAGGAUGGGGAAAAGCAGAAGAGAAUUACUAUUCAACUUGACCAAGAUGAGUACACUUAAUGUUCAAUGCUUAUUCACAUUUAAUCCAUCUUUAUUAUUAUGAAAUCGGUUUUAUAUUUUCCCAUUUUUUUGAAUAGGGUUCAGGUUGAAUGCGUCUUUUUUGGCAAGUAUGUUGAUGAAGUCGUAUGUUAUCUUGCAUCGGGAGAUGCAACAAAUGUUGUUGUGGUUGUGCAAUGUGCAAAGAUCAAGCCCUUUAAAGGUAUUUAAAAGUUUGAUCUGGUGUCGAAUAAUCAAAAUAUAGUUGGUGGUGUUUUUUUUUCCUUAAUCCUAAUUUUUUUUACAAGUAAGACAAGUCUUUACAGGUAAGACAAGUCUCAAAAAUGUUUAUGGGGCUACAAUGGUUCUUUUUAAUCCUCUCAUACAAGAAGCUGCUCCUCUCCAAGCUCGGUGAGUUUUAUUCUGAUUUUUAAAUUUCUUUCAUUUUUUUAUUCAUAUCAAAUUAUGAAAUUGGCUAUCUUCCAGAUUCUUGGAAUCAAAUGAUACUGCUGCACAUGUGAUUAGCCCGCUGCAGGACUCGGCAAAAAAAUCUACCCCUGAAGAUGAUUUCCUAAAAAACCAUUGAGCAACUCAAAGAUCUUGCUAAGGUAUACUCUUGACUUUACAAUUCAAUAAUAAUUUAUAUUCCAUAUUUAGUUACAACAUAUAUUACACAUUUUUAUUUUCGAAUUUAAUUUUGCAAAAGUCCUAUUGUGUUGUUCUUCGUACUGUUAAGUAUAUUGCAGAGGGUAUGGAUUGGUGUUACCCUGCGUGCAAAUGUAGCAAGAAGGUAUAUCUUGCUGACGGAAUGUAUUUCUGUGAGCCAUGUAAUCGUCACGUUGUUUCUCCGGCUCACAAGUUAGACUACAACUUCGUGUGAUGGAUUCAAAAGAUACUGCUACCUUUGUCAUUUUUUAUCAGGAGGCUACUGCGCUUCUAGGCAAAUAUUGUGCAGAUCUGCUUGAAACUACUGUACGUAUAUUUUUGGUAGCGUAUGAUUCAAUUUAGAAUUUAUGUGUAUAUUAUUAACAAGUUUUUAAUAUUUUUUUUCCACAAUUGCAGGGUUCUGAUCCUUUAACAAUUCCCACGGAAAUUCUGAAUUUGAUUAACAUAACCUUUUUAUUCAAGAUUGAAGUCGCAAAUAGUUUCCAUUCUAAGUUUGAGAAAUCAUACCGUGUCAAAAAACUUUGUGCUGAUCAAAAAAUUAUUAAUCAAUUCAGAGCGGCAAUGAACUUCCUGCCUGUAAUUAGUUUACCUUAAUAUGACAUUGGUGGGCUAAACAACGUUUUCUAUUUCACAUUUUUAAGUUGGUCUAUUCACAUAUAUUUUUGAAUCUAUUCUCUGUUGUACAUCUAUUAUACAAAUAUAUCUACACAAUAAACUAAAUCACCGUGCAAUGCACGGGUAAAAAACCCUAGUUAUCUGUUAUCUUUAAGAUAGGAUCAUCAAUUUGUUUAAAGUUUUUGCCGCUCAAUUAUUCACUUUUCUAACAAAAAUGUUGUGUUCACAAAAAUCCAAAUCCAUGCCACAACCAAAUAGAUAUGUAUCUUAAAAGAAAAAUGAUCCCACUUCUUCAUGUAUUAUGGGUUGAGUACCCCUUGUACUCUCUUCCCUCUUCUUCAUGUAUUAUGGGUUGAGUACUCCUUGUACUCUCUUGAAUGCAUUUCUUUGCCUAUAAAAAAAAAAACAAAAAUCCAAAUCCAUGCCACAACCAAAUAGAGUUGGAUUUUUUUCCAACUCCACAUUUACACCAUAUUUGUUGGUUGUGGGGAAGAGAGAAAAUCAAAUUAGUAAUAUGAUAAAUGAUGUAAUAAGAAAAGAAAUUAAAAAUUUAUUCUGAAGAAAAAAAAAAGAUAAGAAAAGAAAAAAGAAAUAUAAUCAAAAGAGUAGAGUUGCAUUUCUAAAUUGACCGCUCCAUUAGACAAAUAAUCAAUCUUUUUAAAAUUUAAAAUCAAUACUUUUUUUGGUUACAAAAUUAAAAUUAAUAUAUAUAUAUAUAUAUUGUUUUUAAUAAUUUUUAUUACAUAUUUAUUUAUUUAUUUAUUUUUCAAGGGAAAUACUGACAUUCGAUUAAUAAUAAUUGAGAAUACGUUCGUUAAUAAAAUCGAAGAUUAUGUAUCUUAAAAGAAAAAUUAUCCCACUAAUACUUAAGGUGCUCCGAAGCCAGUUGAGCUACAUCAAAAAUUGUUAUAUUUGGCAACAAAAAUUUAUUUAUUUCGUAUAUCUUCUUCAUCUUCUUCCCUUGCCAUUCAUCUUCUUCCUUUGUACCUUAAUUAACAACUGAAUCUGGUCACCACACACGCAUAUAUAAAUAGCAAAAAUCAAAACGAGAUAAAAAAUCAUCAAGCGUUUAAAACUAUUAUUAUAGUACAAUUUCAGAGAUCAUGAAUAUUUGUAAGCUCAAGGUUGAGAUCUGGUCAAACUUCAAUCCUAACAACAAUAAAUAAUUAAAAAUUCUGCUCAUAAAUUCUCAACCACCAAGCUCUCUUCACAACCAUACACUUUAUCUACAGAUCUAGAAAAACAUCUGAAUUGAUUUUUCAUGUUCGGAAAUGGAUUUGAAAACCGUUGAGAGAGAGAGAGUGUAGUACCUGUGUUUGGAAAAGUAACUUAAACAAGGGAGCAAGGAUCAUGAACACCAGGGGCGUUCAGGGCUAGUGACCGGAGGGAAGUCGUAACAAGGUAGCCGUACUGGAAGGUGCGGCUGGAUCACCUCUUUUUCAGGAUCCAGGAUUUUCUUGUUGGGGGGCGAAAUAUAAGACUAAAAAAAAUUCAUUGAAUAUUAUAUAAACUUUAAAUUAUAAAAGAUUAUUUAAAUACAACUCUUCGUUGUUUUAUAGUACUAAAUUUACCUAUUAUUGUAUCAAUAUAAAUUUUUUCAGCAAUUUCUCUCUCGAUCUAUACAACUAAUAAAUUUCAUAGAAGAUUAUCUUCAAUUUUGUUGCAAAGCCGAAGUCUUAUCAACUUUCAUUGCAUAAAAAGAUUGCUCUGUAGAUGUUGUUGAAAGAGAGAAUGUCAAAACAAGACGUAACAAUCUAACAACAAGUGGAAAUAUUGUUGUUUUUCCAGUUUCAACUAAUUUCUGAUAAAACUCGGAUAAAAUGGAAAUAUUUUCUAAAUUAGGAUCUCGGUAAACAUCUGAAUGAUAAUGUCUUAGUUGGAACGACAAAUUUCUCUUUUCUAGCUCGAAAAAAUCAUCUGCAUAAAACUUCUCAACAAGCUUACAAAUUUUCUCAUUGCCAAAUGAUUUAAAAUUUUUUUUAGGAUCUAAAGCUGAACUAAGUAUGAGAAGUUCCACAACCUCUACAUUAAAUCUUCUAUUUAAUUCAUAUAGUUGCAAAUCAAUUGCAGAAUAAAAUACAUAUAUCAUAUAAUGAUGUUCAAUAUAUCUCCAUCUUGUUUCUUAUGAAGAUCAUUACCCAUAAAAUAAGGGGUUUUCAUGUCAGGAACUUCAACUUGAUGAGUAUCACAAAAUGUUAUAACAUCUUCUAUAUAAAAUUACCUAUAGUCGAUGAACAUUUCAAAAUUAUUGGGGGGCGAUGGCCCUGCCUGCCCCAACCUAGAUACGCCCCUGAUGAACCAAUAAUAUUUUGUUGAAUUGGAAGCGAUAAUUAUCACAAGUGAGAAUUGUUUCAAUGCUUCAAGGAAAAUGAGUGGGAUUUUGCAUGGUGGUCUUCUUCUAUACACAUAAAGAUGGUUGUUUUUAAGAAAUUGUUUUGAGCUCUUUCAUUUUGACACUUUUUUUGUGUACCAUUGUGGCACAUUUGUUAAUGUAACAUAGAUGCUUUUCAGAUGAGGCAAGAUCGAAAGUCUCAUUUGUACUUUUAUAUAUAACCUUAAGUUCAUGUAUAAAUUUCACUUCAGAAAUUUUAUGAUUAUACCUCCCUCCAUCUCCAUGAAUAUCAAUAAGAUCCCACCUAUCUCAAGGUGUGUAACUUACCGAUUAUUCAACUGAACUAGAGUCCGAUCCGUUUGGUUAUUAUUUAUCACCAUAUUAUCACUUGGAGAGGCACAAGACCUUUUAUUUUUUUGGUCCUUGACGGGUGUAAUCAUGUUUGCGAUGAUAAUCUCUCUCAACAAAUAACUUUUCCAAAGUUCGACCUUGUGACAUCAUCCUUAUGAGAAUCUAUUCUAGACCAACAUCUUGUUGAUACCAGACCUUUUUAUUAAACUAUUAAACCGUUGAGAGUAUGUUUCCUCUUUGCAAUUUUAAUUAAAAAUAAUUACGCUUAAGUGUUGAAAUUAAUAUCAUUCAACAUAAAUUACAACUGGGCAACUUUUUCUACUAGGUAAAGAUACAUUUACAAGUGAAAUACAUUAACAGAAGUAAAAAUAGGUAAAAAGCCAUAAAAUAUAGCUAUAUCUCCGCCUCAAAAGUAAUUCCAUUUUACUAUCCAAAUAAAUAAAUAAAAACUUACAAUCACUUUUAAACACAUUCAUUUCUUCAAGCUUGAUUCUACCAAACUUAAUGAUAAUAUACCUAAACUUUGAUAUAAAACCCUUAGGAAAACAUAAAACUCCCCUUUUCAGCACAUUGACCAUGUAAAAAAGCAGCUUAUAUCAAAGGUAGUUCUGGCAGUUAGGGACUGCUAUACACAACCAAUAUGCAAAAAUCCUGCUUUUGUUGUUUCGUUAAAUUAAUUCACCAAAACCUAACAAAUAAACAUGUAAAGCCAAAAACGAGAGAAGAAAAGAAUAACUCAAUGCGUAGUACUUGGAGCUCACUGCUCAUCAUUCGUGAACUGGUAAGUCAAGGAGCUUCAUGAUGAUGAGCAUUGACCGAAUAUCUUCAACCAACAAAAAAGAAAUGCGAAGGCAUUAGUUAAACUGGGUGCAUGUCAUUCACUACUCCAAAAUAAACAUUCAAGUAAACAAACAUCCAGGAACCGAACUGAUAUAUACACCACAGAGUUCACAAGUUUUAGGUGAAAGAGCUAGAAAUGCUACAUGUUAAACAGUUGUUGUCUCAUCUAGCAAAGUUCAGUUUCAAAUUUGAGAUUAAUGCCCAUGCUAAAAAGCUCUUGGCUCAAUAACUUAGCUCCAUAAGGGACAUUGGCUACCACAAUGUCAUCAGCAGAUUCACAGAAGCGGCAAUAGGGACCUCGUAUUUUACGGCCACCAGCCACCGGCCUUAAGAUCACAUUUGCAACAUUUUUGCAUUUACUGCAAAUGUGUAUCUGGGACGAGUCACUCAGAGUGAAGAGGCGUUCAUACAGGUUUGCUGAUGCGCCAUGUGCUAUGAGGCAAUCACGCUCCAUUUCACCAAACUUGAUACCUCCAAAUCGCUUCCGGUCAGCAACAGGCUGUCGGGUUAGCGGGUGAACCGGACCAGUGUUCCUGAAUUUUACUUUGUCCUCAGACAUGUGGUGUAGUCUCUGAUAGAAGGUGGGGCCCAUAAAUAUGAGCGAACGCACCAUCUCACCAGUCCUCCCAUCAUAUACCCUCUCAGUUCCCGACCUUGAAAACCCAGCUCUGUGAUAUACCAAAAAACCAAAGUGAAUCAAGGCUCAGUAAACAACAAAACAAAAUACACAACUUCAAAGUGGAACUAGGAAAGUAAUUCCUAAAUUUAAAGUGACCCCAGAAAAAUGCAAGAGACCAUCAGCGUGGAAGACAUUUUUGGCAAAUAGUAAACAUCAUAGCAAGAGCAGAAGAUAAAAUACAAGUUCUACCUCUAGUGAAUGGCCCAUAUAACAUACAACACGCCAAACUGCAUUUGAAGUAAACUGAAUAACAAGAUUAAACUGCACCUGUGAAGCUGGUCCAUAAUGGCUUCGACAGAGGGAGUGGAGAAAGGGGUAGCAUGUCUCAAUAAUCCACGACGAGAAAACCUCUUUUCUAAAGCACCAGCAAUCCCCUUUCCUAAAGCAGCUUCAAGGAGUUGCCCAGGAGUUUGUCGUGAGGGAAAUGCAUGCGGAUUAAUGACAAUAUCAGGAACAAUGCCUUGGCUUGUGAAAUGAAAAUUUUCCUGAGACUCCAGAAAUCCUAAGACACCCUUUUGACCAUGCAUGCUGGAGAACUUGUCUCCAAGAACUGGACUACGAACCUGCAGUGUAAUUAAAUAACAAAUUAUACCAGUGAUCAAAUUCAAUUUAGAAGUUAGAAAGGUUGGCUUUCAGUAGAGUAACAUAACACAUCCAUGUUCAAAUGAUGUACUAAUCUAUAUAUGUGCAUUUCGACAUGGAUGCAUGGAAGUACUCGUGCAUAAAAUAACACGCAUCCUCGUUAAUGCAGUUUUGGGUUUCACCAGUUACCUGUCUUAAUGAAACUGUGGCAAAAUUCUUUCCCUCGUCAUUGGAAGAUAAGACAACCUUUUGAACAUAACCCCUUUCAGUGUGUUUUAACUUAAUACUAUGGUCUGCUCCUGACUCAGCACCCCGCCCAAUAAUGAUAUCCCCACUUUGCAAAUUUGCACCAACAUAUGGAAAGCCAUCAUCAUCAAGGCUAUCGACUCGGCCAAUUUUACUUUCAACCUUCCCAAAAUUGACAAUAUCAUCUGGUUUCCGUUUCUUCUCUGCAGAGUCCUUAUUUUCAAUCUCAGAUUUGUAACUCCGUACGUGCUCAGAUCUAAACAUACCACGCUGCAAAGAAGCACGAUUCAUCACCAGAGAAUCUUCCUGAUUGUAUCCCAUAUGUACAUUGACAGCAACAAUUGCAUUCUGCCCAUUAUAGAACUCAGCCUUUGGAAGAACUUGAUUUUGAGCUAGUGGCUGUGGUUUUCCCAGGCAGUCAGAUAUCAUUGUUCGGAAAAGUGGCUUUUGGGGAUAAUGCAAUUGAUGAGAUAAAGUAUCAACUCUAAUAUCAGGGUUUGUUGUGGAAUAGCCAAUAGCCUGUGAAGAGUGUUUUUGAGACUGGUAGAGUACCCUCCUUGCAUGGUCAUGAUUUGGAAAUGGAAUAAGUGAACAGCCUAAACCCAAUAAGAAUGACUUGUCAAGUUCGCAAUGUGUGUACUUUACAGAGGAUUUUCCCACUUUUUCAAAUAAACUCUGAACACCCCAAGCAGUGCAGCAGUCCUCUUCUUCUUCUGGUCCUACCAGUUCAAUCACACCAUUAUCCAAUAGGGACUGGAAAGUUUGAGGUUCCGACUUAGAUCCUUUAAUCUUGAGCAAAUUACGAACUACCAAAAGAGGACGUAGAAUCCUUCCAGCAUCAGAGUAUAUGCGCACUUCUUGUUGAUGUUGAUCUCUUUUAAUUUCCACCUGCCACCGAGAUAGUUAUCAUUAGGCUCAAUUUGAGACAAAUCAACAAAGGGUGUGUUUGGGGAAACUGUUUAAUUAAGCACUUAAGGCAACAACCACUUACCCAACCUUAUUUGAGAAGCUUACUGAAAAAAAAGCUAAAAACAGCUUAUAGGUAGAUUAAAUAUAAGUGCUUUUUCAUAAGCUAGUCUGAGCAACUUAUGGAAAUAAGAUCAAAAUAAGCUCAAAACAACUUAUAGGUAGGUCAUAAGCUAUUUUCAUAAACUUACCCAAACACUUGCAUAAGUGCUUAUGCUAAGAUAAGCUCAAAUAAGCUCUCUUCCAAAUGCAGCCUAAAUCAUACAAUUUUAUUGCUAAUACAGCAGCCUCCAGAAAAACAAAAUUAGCCACACAAUAUACAAUAGAAGGCUUGUGACGAAAGGUAUCUCCCUCGCAAAGUUAAUUUAAAAAAUACCCAGCAGAGGAGAGCAACAACCUCAUCAAAACAAUAAAGAUACCCAAACCUGAUAUAAUGACAAGUUAUUGAUGAGUGUAAAGAGAGAGACAACUGAAAGCAAAGUUCAAACAGUUAAUCCAAUCACGUGAAACAUAUACCAUAUCUUAGACAUAAAGAAAGUUCCACAAUUAUUACCCGAUAAGAGACUAAGUUUCCAAAUGUAAUCAAUAACUAUAUUAUUUGUUAAUUAAGGCUUCAUCCACUCGGCAGGAAGACAUGCUUUAAGCUAUUGAACCUGCCAGCCUUUACAACAUUUGACAAUGUAUGGCUCAAAUUUAUAGCAUACAAAAACAACAACAAUAAACACAUUUUUCCACUCAAUGGGUCCUCUACAUGGCUUAAAUGAAAAUCACAUUCUAUAAAAUAUAUGAAGUAUGACUAUUAUAGAAUAGAAAACCAACUUAAAAUGGGAGAUUAAAAGUGAACCUGGUGUGGCAAUUCAUUUCUACGCCUUUUACUCCGUAGACCUGCCACAAAUGAAAUUGGAUCUGGACAAACUCCAACCCAAUCCCCAUUUAGGAAGACUUUGUCUUUUUUGCUCAGAAAAGUGGUAGUAUCAUCAACAAGCUCUUCCAUUCCACAAUCAAGCAACUGAGGAAAUAUAGAUUCACUUAUGUUUGUACUCACUAGUCCUGUGACAGACAAAUUUUUUACUAGUCCACAAUUUUCACCAUCCGGGGUAGAGAGGAAACAGACCUUGCCCCAGUGAGAAGGAUGCCUGCAACAACAAACUUGCGUUACAAUAAAUGGAAGAACUUAUUCACCCACAGCACAACUAAAGAUAAAGAAAAUAAUAAUAUCAAAGAACUAAAAUAGACAAAGCUUAAAGUAACUUACGGGUAUCUAGCAUCCCCAACCUUUCCAGUGUACUGAACUUGUUGCCUUGUUCUUCUUAAUUCAGCCAUGGUCUGUAAUGGAUUAGUUCGCCCAAGAUUUGCAACAACACCAGAGGUCCUUUCUAACCUUUUAUAAGGAUGAGUCCACGCUCCAGUGGAAAAGGCCCUUUGGAGACCAUUGGUAAUAAUUGAAGCAUCGAGAUAGUGCUCAAUUGGGCGCACAUCACGAUCUCCAUUCAGAUCUCUCUGCAAAGCCUUAGACAUUCGCUUUCGGGCGUGUGCAAAGUGCACUUUCAGCUCACGCUCAAGCAGCUCAGCAGCCAACUCAAACCUCUUAUUGCGGAAAUCAUCCCUGUUAUCGCAUUUUCUGCGGCCCGUAUAUGCAAGCAACAGACUCUUCACCAUAUACGCAAGGAAGCGUGCCUUCCUAUUCAAACCGCUGCUGCCAGGAAAGAGGUACAAGUUCAGGCACUCCUCCAUAGACUCUGAAGGAGGAUACUGGAUACCUUUCACAUGUUCCUCCAUGUAGUGCAGUGCGUUCUUCCCUUUACGAAAACCAGAACAUUUCUCAUCGGCAUCACGAAUGGAUCCAAAGAAGAUAUUCUGAAUUUGGGUAUCUUCAUUCCCAUAAUCAAUGAGAUCUAUGAUCUCUUUGUCUGAUGAGACGCCAAGACUGAAAAACAGUAUCCAUACGGGAACCUCCACACCCAAGAAAUAAACACUCAGGACCUUCUCCCCAUUGUUUAUUUCUUCAAAUUUGGAAUUGCCAACAAGUUUCAGAAUCAACCGAUUUCGCUUGUUCAGCGACUUGUACCCAAUUGCCCAAUCUGGAGUAUUUGAAACCCAGAGCUUCUUAAGAAAUAGUUGUUCCUGUGCAACAAAGGCCUGCAACAAUUUUGCACACAAAUGACCAAACAAUUUCACAAAAAAAGCAAGUAAAGUUAAUGUCAAAACACAACAAAUAUCUACCUAAAAAAUCAAACACAUGAAUACAAAUACAACCGAAACCAAAAUUACAGCACCGAGAAGCAUAAAAACUAAAACAGGCAGGACAUAAAACUUUCGAAAUAAAUCAAACAGAGCUAACCUUCUCAGCACCCUUAAUCAAGAAAUAGCCUCCGUGAUCAAAAUCGCAAUCACCCUUUUCAGCUUCCUUCAUCCAGCACAGAUCAGACAUAACCAUAACAGGCAAUCUCCCAAUAAUUAUCUCUCUCUUAUCUUCCUUUAUAAUCUCUCUGUCAAUGUAAUCUUCUUUCCCAGUCUUAAACUUAUCACUCCGAACCUUAUGCGGCGUAAACACCUACAAAAACAAACAACAAACCAACCCAGCCACAAAUUUCAAAUCAAACCCAUCAGAAACCAAAAAACAACACCAACCCAUAACCUCAUUUUCAUUUUCACAGUGAAUAGCUAACAUUCUCACCUGAACUUCAACAGUGACUUUCAUUUUAGCAGCAUAAGUCAUCCUCUGAAGGCGUGCAUGUCUCGGAAGCAUCUUAAACUCCUGAGCAUUCGCCGCGCCGCCCCAGAACUUCGGCCGAUCAAGCGUUACCUUCCCGAACUUGACGGUGGCGUAUUUGAAAUGCUCGUUGUCACCCUUCUUGGAAGGAUCGUAGCUGGGCGUGACAUUGAGGUCGCCGAAGGCAUCGAACGCGGCUUGAAGACCGGCGGCGAUGAACUGGUUGUAGGAGUUUAUCUGGUGGCUGACGAGGCCGUGCUCGUCGAAGAACAUUCUGGAAGCUUUGGUGCAGAAAUGCUUGACCAUGUCUUCUCCUAGCUCCUUGAGAAUCUCGGCGUUGGAAGAGGAAUCUUCGUCGUCGUCGUCGAGGUCGAAGUCGACGUCGACGUCCAUGGCGUCGACGAUGUCGUCGUCGAGGUUGAUGCCAAUGCCGUCCUUGCUGCUACCAAUGUGACCCAUCGGAAAUGGAAGGAAAGGGGGUUAGGGUUUUGGUUCAGAGGGUUUGUUCUUCAAGCUCACUCUCUAUGGAGUGUUGGAGUGUUGGAGUGAGUGUUGAGUUUUUCAAUUUAAGUAACAAAUUAUUUAUUUUCCUUACAAUGCAAAAUGAAAAAGGACAAAAAAUAACAAAUGAAUUUUGUAACCUUAUUAAUCUUGUGCUUAUUAACUAUUCAUUCAGAUUUUAAAAUAUUAUUUCUAUAUACCUACUUACUUAAAAUUUCAAGAGUGUUAAUUGAUGUUUUUCCCGAUAAAUAGACAUAAAGUAUAUUUUAAAAGGUAAUAUGAAAAUAAAUUAAACUUUUCUUAAAGUUAGCAAAAAAAAAUAAUUGUAUUUCUUAAUAUUUGAAUUUUCAUUACAUUCACUUUUUUUUCUUAAAGAAACAUUCGCUUCAAUUCAAUAUGGAUUUUCAUUACUUUCAAAAAAAAAUAUGGAUUUUCAUUUCAAUUCUAUUAGCAACAUGAAUUUUAAUUAAAAAUGUUAAAAUUAGUACAGGUGUGAGUAUCAUACCCUGGUCAAAAAAAUUAGAAAUUCAAAUUCAUUAUUUAUUUACCAUUUUUGUUGUGAGAAUUAGGAUGACUUUUGGUUUUUUUUUUUUUUGUCAAUUAUGACUUUUGGUUUAUAACACAACAUCACAGAAAAAAAAUGAAAUAGAGCCAAAUUCCUUUGAAGGCCUUUUACAGUGAGGCAGGCCGGUCAAAGUUUGCCUACAUCUUGGGCUAAAAACGAUGUAGAGCCCAUUUAACAAAACAACAAAAAUUGAAAUUAUCUUUUAAAAUAAAUAAAAGAAUAGUGACUUUAACCAAAAAAAAUUAUAGUUAUUAAUAUUAUAGUGAUUAAAUAACCAUUCAUGAUGGUGAAGAAAAUGAAAUCAUAUAAUGGAGAAGGAGAAGGUUUGAACAAGAUAAUGGAUGCUUAAAAGCUAAGCCCUCCAAAUUGAUGCAGUGAGUCAAGAGCAUGCUGAGAUUGUGUUCAUGGCUAAUUCCAUUUAAAAUCUUACAGUCACCUCAACUAAAAUCUUGACAUUAGAAAUUUAGAAUAGAGUAAAAUACACUCCCCACCCUUGAGAUUUGCCAAAAUGACACUCAGCCCUAUUCUUAACCAAAAUCUACACUCCACCCCACUCAAUUUAACAAGUUAACUACUACAUGUUAAAAGAUGCUAAUAGAAUAUUCUCUUUAAUUCCAAACUAAUAAAUUUAAAUAUUUAAAUAAUAAUAAAAUUAAAAAAUUCCGUUUAUUACCUUUUAUUUCAAAAAGUUUAAGAUAUUUACAAUUAAAUAUUUUCACAAUGUUGUAUAGAAAUAUCAAUAACAUUUAAGUUUACAAAUAUAAAUUUAGACUAAACAAAUACUUCUAUUUUUCUUUUAACUUAUUUUCAUGAUUAAUUGUACUAACAAAAUUUCAUGAUUAAUUAGAUGAUAUUUAUUCCAAUGAAAAGCCCAAAAACAAAUUUAUGAUUGUUCUAGUCACCUUCUCAAUUAGUAUAUUAUUAGCUUCAUAGAUUGGUUGCACUUGCAACAUGCAAUAUUAUCUUAGCAAAUAAAAUCCGAAAUGCAACAAAUAACAGAUGAUUAUUACGUGAGGUGCUUGGUCUACUAGAAUAACUGAAUGAGGUAUAGUUUCAUAUCUAAAAAAAAAGGAUUUAAAUUCUUAGUAAUCUCAAUCACAUGAUGUUACAUGUCCUCCAAUGAUAACUCAAGUGGUAAGAGCUUGAGGAUAUAUGAGUUGGGUAUGGGCAGUUGCAAUUUAUCUUUUCAAUGUACCAAUAUAAAAUUAAAAUAUAAUUCAUAUAUCUUGAAAUUAUAUAAUCCAAGAUGAAUUUUAUGAUGAAAAAAGUCAUAUAAUAUCAUAAAUUAUAUUGUGAGAAUAUUUGCAGCUUUCGUCAACAUAUAAUACAGUAAAUAGUUUAAAAUAGAUUAUUAUAAAAAUAUUAAUCGUAAAUUUCUAAAACUUUUUUAAAUAAAAAUAAUAAAAAAAGAUUUUUUUAUUAUUUGAAAAUUUAAAUCUAUUAGUUUGGAAUUAAAAAGAAUAUUCCGUGAGCAUCUUUUAAGAUGUAGUUAACUUGGUGGAGUUGGUGGGGUGGAGUGUGGAUUUUAAUUAAGAAUGGGGCUGAGUGUCAUAUUGGCAAACCUCAAGGGAGGGGAGUGUAUUUUACUCUUUAGAAUAAUCUCAAAAAAGCUCCACAACAGAACAAUCACUUUCACACAUCAUGAGUACCACUCUACAAUUUUAAAGGCUAUUUUGACUCUUUCGUUUUCUAUAGUCUCAUUGAUCAUUAGUUCAUUGCAAAACCUAUUGGACAUUAUCCUCCCAACCCUUUAAUGGAGAGGACUAAACCAAAAACUUGAGAAAAAAGAUCUGUUCAAGCAACAUGCCAUUAAUCAGUUUCACAUUAUUCAAAAGCUACCCUACAACUUGUCUCAACUUCAAAUCAGUGUCAGGAUCAAGUUGGAAAGUAAAUCGAUAAGUUUCUGGAACAUGUAGUGCGAUGAGUCGAGCAGUGUCUUUCCACCAAGUAACCUCUAACUCUUUCUCAUCAAGCUUCUGCGUGGUACAUUCUAAUUUAGACUCCAGCUCUGAUAUGUGUUCAUGCAGUCUUGUUUCAAGUAGUUCAUGCAACCUUCUCUCUAGUUCAACUGGAGGGACUCCAAAUGAUACAUCAUAACUUGCUACCUGAGGCUCCAUUGUUAUUUCACCGAAACUUGAGCUAUUGCUUUCAGAACAAGAGUCUUUAACAUUUACCUGCCAAUUUGCAAACCAUUCUAGAAUGUCAUAACAGCCAAGAAUAAGAUUACAUAUUAAACACAGUAUAAUCAGAUAAGUUUACCAACAACAGACAAAGAAUGGUUAGAUUAGAUAGAAUCAAUAACACAAGAAGUGAAGGAAAAGCAGCAUAUAGUUGCAAAGUAAUAAUACAUAUUUCAUAAUCCACAUCUACCAUGGCCCAUUGGUAGCCUCCUUUUCUAGAAGCAGCUCUUGGUAACCAAAGGGCAUUACAUUGAAACAUCUAGAUGUUGCCUUUCAACUGAUUGGAGAGACUAUUCCCAAAUUGAAAUUUGAAAAGUCAUGUAUCUAAUAGUAUCUGUGGAAAAAUAUUUAAAAAGUAGAAAUUCACACCAGAUUGUAUACUAACCAGUUAGGUAACCACAUAAGGGUAUGUUAGGUUAUUAGUUUAAAUUAGUGAAAACAAACAUUCACUUGCACUUCAAGAUAAAAAGUGGACUAUAUGUUUGAAAAAUUGUUGAGUUCAAUGAAAAAAUGAGCAAAAAGACUUCUCUCUUAUCCAGUAAUUUGUUUACAGUAGCUUUUAACAUCUUGAAAUUUUUGAAACAGGUGAAAAAUCACUUUAACUCUCAAAGAAAACAUGCACUUCUAAAUUGAACUGAAAGUUCAUUAAUGUUAUACUCAACUCCUAUCCUUAACACAACUCCUAUCCUUAACACAUACAUAUUAGUUUCCUAAGUGUAAAUUGGUUGAAUCAGUGCAAACAAACAUUCACUUGCACUUCAAGAUAAAAAGUGGACUAUAUGUUUGAAAAAUUAUUGAGUUCAAUGAAAAAGUAAGAAAAUAAGACUUUCCUCUGAUCCAGUAAAUUGUUUAGCUUUUAACAUCUUGAAAACAUGCACUUCUAGAUUGAAAAAUCACUUUAACUCUCAAUGAAAACAUGCACUUCUAGAUUGAACUGAAAUUCAUUCAUGUUAUCCUCAACUUAUAUCCUUAACACAUACUGACAUACAUAUUAGUUUCCUAAGUGUAAAUUGGUUGACAUCCCUCAGUGACACAACAAACCACAGACAAAAUUGACAUAGUUUCUGAUAUGAUACACGAUUACACAGUGGAAAAUUACGGUGAAACUAAAAUCACGGUGGACAGAGCAGCUAUCUCUACCUUUUGCAACUGUCCAUCAUGAUUUUGGUCUCACCCCAUAUCCAAACAAGUUGUUCCAUGGUUGAGUCAUCCCGAUAUAAAGUUGCUCAAUGUUCAUCAUCAACAAAAAUCAGAAAACAGAUAUAAAUAUAAUCAUGGCAAGUCAAGCUAUGAACUAAUCUACCUCAACUCUUCCUCCUUGUGCAUCUUCAAAUGCAGCUUCUCCAUCCAAAUACAGCUGCAACCGUUGUAACUCAAAUUCAAAUUCCUCCUGAAGCUCAGUAAUUUCUCCAGCAUACUCAUCAUGUUCACUCACCCCAUAAUCCAGAAACCGGUUACGAACCAUAUUGGUUUUACUCUCCAGCUGAGCACGCGGUUUCCGCGAGUGAACUGACAAAUGGCUGUUAGAGCUAGAACAAAAUUCAGGAACAUCAGUAAUGGAACAGGCAAAGGCUCCACCACCACCACCACCAUCAUCACUUUGUUUGAAUGGCUUAAGAAUCGCGCCGCCGCCUUUACUUUCUAACUCUCCUUUCACGUUUUGAAGGAGCAUUUCCAUUUCUUUCCGCAACUCAACCAUCUUCCCAAACUCGUUCUUACUCGCUGCAAUCAGAUACAUCAAUCCACAACCAACUCCUACCUUGAACGAUGCAUCGUUCAAUUGUAACUCUCCUGCAGAAUAUCAACAACAAGAUCAUAAACCUAACAGCCAAAUUAUGAACAGAAAUUCAUCAUUGCAAUGAAAUCAAUCAAGCAUAAAUUGCAGAAAUUAGGCAUCAAAUUGCAAAUUAGAGGUUCUGACUCGAUUCAUCGGUACCUGGUGUUAGAUCGUUGGUGAUCGGCGACGACGACGGCGUCUCUGAAUCGGUGGCGUUGCUUAGGCAGCGUCGGUGGUGUUUGGUUGGUUUGAGCGCCGCCAGCAACCAAGCAACGAGCCGGCGAGGCGAGUAGCGGCUUCUCGGCGAGGGCGGCGUUUUUUGGACGCCGUCCAUGAAAUCUUCGUCGGAGAGGAGGAUAUCGGCGAUUCGUAAGCGGCGGCGAUGGGCGGAGUGGGAGUGAGAGUGAGGGAGAGUGAGAUUGGGGGAUUUAUAGGAGAGGGGUUUCAUCGUUGAUUGCAGAAAGCGCACGGCACAGAAGAGAGAGAGAGCAUUGAAUUCGUUGCUGAAAAUGAUGGGUUCAAUUUCGAAGGGCACUCAGGGAGGAAGGAGAGAAGAGAGAGACUGUUUUGGAUUUUGGAGGGAAAACGUGGGUCCUUCUUUUCUUCUCCCUCUUUCUUUCACUAUCCCACGUUCUAUUUAUUUAUUUCUCAAGAUAAACAUAAUUAUAAUUAUAAUUAUAAUAUAUAAGUACUAUUUUAUAUACCAACUCUUUUGGGUUAAGACUCAACAACUUACAACCACUAUAUGAUGAUUAUGUAUGCUAAUACAACUGCUAGAUAGUUUGACUCGUUGAGUAUUUAGUUCGGGGUUCUAUCUUUAGGUGGCGUUUGAAAAAGCAUUUGUUGGGAGAGGUUUAUUCACUUAAUGUGAUAUAAGAGUCUAUGAGGAAAAAUCAUGAAUAAAAAAGUAUUGAUUAUAGCAAGUCUAGCACAACUUAUAGAUAAUUGAACUCCAAAAACAUAUAGUUAAUGGUUCAAUCUCUUCGGUGUGGUUCGAUCGAUCUCUGACGAUAUGUGUGGAGAAUAAUUUGUUAAGAGAUGUCAUUGUUGUCGCCUUUUAAGAUGCCUUGGUAUAAAAUAAUGAUUGAUCAUGAAAAUGUUAAUGAUAAUUUUUUUAAUUCACAGUAUUUUUCAGCUCAUAGUUAGAGUUUAUGUGGAUUUUACUUUAGAUUACUAUUUCAUCAUUUUUCAAAAUAAUGUCCAUUCAAAGUAUAAGAAUAUCGGUACCACUCCUAAUUAAGAAUAAUAUAUUUUUUAUUUUGUGGAUUAUUAAUUGCUAUCAAUAGAAAAAAUGGUCAAAUGGUCAUGUAAUAAUAUAUGGUUUCUAAUUCAUUCAACAAAUCAAAAUCAAAUUUGAUUAUAUUCCACUGAUUUUUUUAUGAGAAUUUUAAAUGGUAUGCGCACAAAAGUACAGAAUGUACAACCUCAAUUUAAGGACUCCUCCAAUGAGACCUUGCUGGUUUAGCUUAUUCUUUUGGUUGUUGUGAAUGGUCCCCUGAUGUUGGUUUAGGUGUUUUUUCCUUUGAUAAUAUUGUAUUAAUAGACUAAUGAAAGCCACAAAUCAAAAGUUAGGACUUUUUUAUAGUGAAAAAGAUAGUAUAUGUUAUCAAAAUAUAUAGUAUUAUUUAUAUUCUUAUUGUGAUAACAUUUUCUUGUAAUAAUUAAUGGAGUAUUACGUACUAACAAUGACUAUUAUGUUUGUUUAGGUUGAAGGAAUCUUUAGAACAAUAUGAAAUAUAAUAAUAUAAUAAGAUACUAUUAUUGGGCUGAAACCAGGAUUGAGGUCCUAAGCAGUAAGCCCAAUGCCUACGAACUGUUACAGGACCAAACUUUUUGUCCGAAUUCAACCCGAGUAAUAAGCACUAAGCAAUCACUAACCAUGAAGUUGUCAGAGAUUGUCUUCGAACUUCAAGCAUUAAGCAUGAACAAGAUAUCUUUAAUUCAUUUGUAUUAGAUUCUCCCCCUCUUGAGUUGGAAUUGUACCUCAUGAGAGAUUGUCUAAAUAGGUAUUAGUUUUGUGUAUUUUCUUGAAUAAAAAAUAAUUAAUUGUGAUAUUAACAAUUAAGGUAAGAAAUAAAGAAUUUUAUAUUUAUAAUUUUUAUGAGUUUAGGAUAUUCAUCGCAGUCGACAACAGUGAUUAAUUCUUUAAUCGCAUGUACUCACAUUAAAAGGUAAACAAUUGGUCGUAAAAUGUGAUUCAUCAUGUGAGCAAUAAUCGAACGCUCGACAUAUAAUCACGUGACACAUAGUUUUUUUUUAAUUACAGUUAAAAUUGAAUUAACUAAAAUUUUCUAUUUAUCAGCUUUUAAAACUAAUAAUGUUAUAGUGUAUAAUCUCAAAUUUUGAAAAUAACUUUUAAAAUGUUUUUUUUUUGUCAAGUUUUUCAAAUAUUAAAUAGUACCACAAAAUCCAACCCACGUGUGUUCCAUGAUUUGUUAAUUUAAUUACCAUAAUAAUAUUCCCGUGAUUUUCAUUUAUUGUUCCCAGCAAACUUAUAGCAUAGUGUAAUAUCAGUGGUAUUUAAUACCUUGUGCUAUAAAUGUUACAGCUACUUGUAAAAAAAUUCAAAAAAGUUAAAAUACUUGUAAAAAAAAUUUUACUCCCUUAAAAAUAUAGUAGAAUUAAUUUUAAGGAAAAUGGUAUGCAAUGUACUUAAAUAAACGAUGGAUUUCCUCCUAACAAAUGACUUCUCCAAAGUUAGAUUUUAUGACCUCACCCUUACAUGAAUCUAGUUUGUCUACCACUAGACCACCUUGUUGGCCUCCCCUUCCUCAUCACCAAUAAAACCUUGUGCCACCGUGCAUGAGACCCCAUCGCGUCGCGCUCCAAGCAGUUGUGCCUCAAAGUGGUUGACGCACCCAUAAUUGCAUCCUUUGAGCUGAGUGAAGAAAAAAAGGAAAACCACUACACAUUUUCCACUCUGUCAAUCAGCCUUUCCAACCUAGGUCAAACCCUCUUCGCCACAACUUAAUUAAUCAUCGUCGCAUAUGUUCUAUAACCUUCUCUUCAUGACCCUUCUUCACAACACGCUAGAGCAGUCGAGCUUCAAGCCACCCCUAAGGAAACCAAGUUUGACCAUCAACUUAAAGCCCAACCCCUUGCCUUCAAGCCCAUCCUCAUCACCAUCAGCUUCCAAUCACAACCAAGCCUUCACUGUGCCGCCUAAGCCUCCAAUGAAACCGUUAUCUCUCUCAUCAGUCUCCCUCACCUCUCUCGGUCGAUCUCCUUAAUUAUGUGUUUAGUUCACUCACUCUAUCUUUCACUCACGCUUUGUUUCUUGAAAUGAGACUUUCUUCGUAUGCACCAAGUUUUGACACAGUGAGAUCGUCACAUGGUCAUCUUCCCCUAUUCAAUCUAAUAUGUGUCGUCAUUAUCAUGAAGGCCGUUGCUAGAGAAGACACCAUGAAUUCAAAUUGUUGGUCAACAGUCCCAUAAGACACAAGAGACAGACACAUAAAGAGGUGACAUUAGGGGCAAUUUUGUAAGAGUGGUACACCUGGAGCUAGAGCUGUCAAUACGGGACAGCCCGGCCCAUAUGGGUCAGUCCGUAUGAGUUGGGUUGUGUCAACCCGGGGUCUUAACGAGUCAGGAAAAUAUGAACUCAACCCGACUCGCUACAAACUCGCAGGUUGAGUGAAAUAAAUAUAAAAAAUAGAGAAAUUUGAUUAGGAAAUGUUUAAAAUGUUAUAAAAAAAUAAUUUUAAAAAAAUACUUACAGAAAUUGGUAUCAACUCAUAAGAAAGAAAAGAAGUUUAUCAACGCAAUUAUUUUUAUCUCAGAUUUAAAAUAUAAAAAAGAAUUUAGUUUACAGGAUUUAAGAAUACGAUUAUUUUACUGUCACAUUUAAAAUGAGAUAAAUAAUAGGAUAACAAUAAAUAAAACACAAAAAAUCUACUCAAAUUUAAAGAAAUGAAAAUUUUCAUUUUUCUUUCUAAAAAUAAUUCAUAAAACUAACCUGGAAUUAAAGACAAAUAAAAUAAUUUUUAAUAAAAAAAUAACUCUAACCCGACGGGUUGGCUCGCUUGACCCGCGGGUUAAACGAGCCGGGUUGCACUAACUCAAGUUCUUUUCGAGCUGGAGUUUAACCAACCCAACCCGACUCAUUUAACUAACCCGUCGAGCUGGCCCGCGGGUUGAAACUCAUAUUGACAGCUCUACCUGGAGCACUAUUAAUUUAAUAUAAAUAUAAGUUAACUUAAAUUGGGCUUCUGUCCGUUAGUCGUCCACCAAAAAAAAACAUUAGGUUGUGGUUAUUGAAUUGGAAAAGAAAACUAUUGUUCAAAAAGUCAGCCUGAUUCACUGAUUUACUGUUCGUAGAAAUUUAGGGGUUGGUUUUAUUUAGUAUUUUAGCUACCUUGUAUGUUUGGUCCUUAAUGUUUUAUCUGAUUGCAUUGCUUUUUUUUUUUUUUAACCUAUCUGAUUGCAUUGCUAUCACUCUUGUGAUUUUAGUUUCAUUAAUAUAAAUAUCGUGAGAUAUAUAACUAGUUAGUAUUAAUGAAAGCAACAUAGAAAAAAAAAGAUUUUAAAGUUGUAUAUGAUGAAAAUCAAUGAGAGCUUGUCUGCAUUAUUUGCAUUAGCACGAGCAUUUAUAAAUUUUGAAUGAAAUUCUACGCCACGUUGAGAGAGACCAACUUUCUAAGUUGAGUUUACUCGUUAGUAGUUAGUUGGAAGUAAUCUCAAGAUUACUUAGAGUCAGUUACACUUUCUGUUUUCAAUUAGUUGAAACUUGUAAUUGUGUGAGGCACUAUAUAAAGUCCUCUAUUGUACAGAAUAGUCAGUUUUUCAUUAAAUGAAUUGCACAAUUAUAUUUUCCACAUGGUAUCAGAUAUUUUCUCUCGUUUUCCCUCGUUUUCUCUCGGUUGCUUCCGCUUUCAUGAUAGAUCCACUCUUGAUUUCGUGAUGGAUCCAUUCUCGCCUUCGUGAUUUUUUUGGUUGAGGCGUUGAUUCCUUUCCCUCCGGCCUCUGUUCUUCGAUUUCUUCUCCGUUCGUUCCUUUCUUCGUGUUGGUUGUUUUUUUUUGUUGUUGACUGUUGAAGAUUCAUGGUGAAUCCUCCGAUUGAUGUUCAUAGUCCUUAUGUUGGUCAAUCCGCAAGUGUACGUAAUUCACCCGGUUUUAAUUUAUCGAACCACAGGGAAUUGGUGUGGCAAUUCAGUUUAAGAGUCAAGUUCAAGGUUAAAAAGCGAGUAAAAUUCAGUUUUUAAGAUUGGUUGUUUCUUUGAUUAUGUAAAGAUAAAUGAACAAGUAGUAAAGUGUUCGAAAUUCAGAAAUGAGAUUGCCUUGGGUUCUUGUCCAACUAAUUCAGUUUUAGCAAACCUUCCUAUCCAAUAAAUCCUGAGUCUCUCAUUGAAGUUCUAGCCUAGAUAGUCAUAUAUCGAUGCCUCGUAAAGAAAACUCUUUCUAACCAAAAGAUAGGUUCAAUUCCUUGAUAACCUAAACAUUUGAUAGAAGAUAUAAGCAUACAAUUCAAACCAACCAACCCCAACUCUUCCUCUAUUCCUAGCAGCAAGUAUAGAAGGAGUAAUCUCACAACAAGUCUCAAUUCUAUAACAAACUAUCGUUAUGAUUAUAGAAAAGUAAGAAGCUAGCAUGCAUUCAAGCUUGAAAGAUUAAGCAUAGAAGUGAGAUUCAAGGGUUUACUCAGAAUAUUACGAAUAGGAAAGGAAUUAAAAGCUAAAACAUCCAAAGUCUUACAAAGAACCCAAAACAAAGGGGUUUUUAGCCAAGCAUGGCUAUGGAAUCCAUACAAGAAGAUGAAGAUAAAACCUGGAACAUAAGGCCUAGGAGAAGUUCCUCAAGCUCCAGAACUCAAACCCUCUCUUCUAACUUAUUGAAAUAUGAUAAAAUGACAAAAGGUUCCAAAAAAAUGACAAAAAGUCAAUUUAUAGGCAAUCUGGGCGCACUGGGGCGCUCAAGCGCUGCCCUGGGGCGCUUGGGCGCCCAUAUGGCAGAAGCAAAGCUCCAAGCUUCUGGAGUACUGGCGCUUGAGCGCCAGGUGAGGGCGCUUGAGCGCCAGCUUCACGUUGCUGGUGGCUUUUCAGCUUUUGUAACUCCUCCUUUGAAUGCUUCCUUCAAUUCCUUUGCUUCUUGGUCUUCCUUUUCCAUGAGUUAUCUGCUGAAGCACUAAAAGACCAAGACAAGAGAAAAAUCAAGAAAUUUAAAGGGUCUUUAACCACCUUAGUCCUCACAAAUCCACGGAAAAUAAAUGCAAAUCCUAAACUUACUUAAAAUGCAAGAAAGGUCCCUAUAAAACUAUGAAAUUACCAAAAUCGAGGAAAACAUUAAUAAAGAUAAAAAUGCAUGGAAAUGCAUGAAACACUACAUGAGACUCAAUAAAAAGACUCAAAACUAACAAAGGAAUGACCCUAAAAACAUCACUAAACUAGGGUCAUCACCUUACUAUCUUCAUCCUACUGAAAAUCCUGGUGCGAAUUUGGUUACUGCAUCUCUGGUUGGUAGCAAUUACCAUUCUUGGUCUCAGGCUAUGUGGCGUUCUUUGAAGACCAAGAACAAACAUGGGUUUGUUGAUGGUUCCAUUCCGAAACCUGCAGCUGAUGAUCCUUUAUUUGGCUUAUGGGAUCGCUGCAAUACUUUGGUGAUUUCUUGGCUUACACAAGCAAUGGAUCCGGUUAUAGCUCAAAGCAUUUUGUGGAUGGAUCUUGCUUCUGAGAUUUGGGCAGAUUUGAAGUCCAGAUAUUAUCAAGGCGAUUUGUUCAGAAUUUCAGAUCUUCAAAAAGAUUUGUAUUCUCUUAAACAAGGUGACAUGCCUAUCACUACUUACUUUACUCGAUUGAAGAGUUUAUGGCAAGAAUUUGAAGCUUUUAGGCCAAUUCCUUCUUGUACCUGUGCUGUUUCUUGUACUUGUGAUUUGAUUCCAAUUGUUAAAAGCUAUAGAGACAGUGAUUAUGUGAUAAGAUUUCUCAAGGGUUUGCAUGAGAAUUAUGCUGCUGUGAGGUCCAGUAUCAUGUUAAUGGAUCCUUUGCCCCCAAUUUCCAAGGUUUUUUCCUUGCUAGUCCAGCAAGAGAGACAGUUUAAAUCAGUCAAUCUUGAAGAGAGCAAAAUCUUAGCCUAUCAUUCAGAUGCUGGAAAGAAGUAUGCUCCGAAUGUAGAUCAUGAUAGUCAUGAACAAAAUAGAUCCAAAAGAACUUCAUAUCCUUCAAAGGGAAAAGGAAAUAGUGGUCGAUAUGCUGCAAAAGAGUGUAGUUUUUGUCUCAGGUCUGGUCAUACAGUUGAUUACUGUUACAAGAAAUAUGGGUACCCUCCUAAUUUCAAGAAGAAUGGGAGUUUUAAUUGUGUUACUCAAGAAGAUGGUGAUGAUUUUGAUGCUAAAUCAGCUUGUUCUUUUAAGCCUGAAGUUAAUCAUUCAACACUGGGGUUUACUGCUGAGCAACAGAAGACUCUAUUGGCUUUAAUGUCUCAGUUUUCUACCAGUUCUGGUCAGGCUUCAUCAAGUAAUCAGAUUGCUACUGUUGUAGCAGAAAAUGGUACUGGAAAUACAUCAGGUAUACAUUGUACUCCUGCUGCAGUUUCUGGGGUUAUUUUAGCAGCUUCUGGAAUUUUUGCUAAGCAUGAUUGGUUAUUAGACACUGGUGCUACUCAUCAUGUGUGUCAUAAUUUGGAUGUUUUUCAAGCCCUAAGACAGGUUCAUCCAGUGCUUUUGUCUAUGCCUAAUGGACAAAAAGAAAUUGCACAUAUGGCAGGCUCAGUUUAUUUCUCAGAGAAGUUCUUUUUAGCCAAUGUCCUAUAUGUUCCAUCUUUUAAUUUCAACCUUAUCUCAGUUUCAGCUCUUGUUAAGUCCUUAAACUGCAGAUUAGUCAUUUUUUAUGAAUGUUGUUUGCUUCAUGAACGCCCUACCCUGAAGACGAUUGGUGCAACUGAGGAGAGGGGUGGUUUAUAUGCAGUGAUAGAUCCAGCAGUCAAGGUCAAGCAUCCACCAGUUGAAGACAACAUCAAGACUCAAGCCUCUCAUUUCAAUUUCUGCCAAUUUGAUUGUAAUUUGUGGCAUUUGCGAUUAGGACACACUUCUUCUAAGAAGUUAGCUAUUCCUCAGAAAAUUUUCCCUUUUAUUACUUGUAAGCAUAUUACUUCUCCUUGUGAUACUUGCCAUAUGGCAAAACAAAAAAAACUGUCUUUUCCAAAUAGUGUAACAUUGUCUUCUGAGAUUUUUGAUCUUAUUCACACUGAUAUUUGGGGUCCCAUUGCAACUGUGUCUACUUCUGGUCAUCGAUAUUUUUUUGUCAAUUGUUGAUGAUAAAUCUAGAUUCACUUGGAUUUAUUUCAUGAAACAAAAGUCAGAAACUUCCAGUUUGAUUCAGUCUUUCAUAGCUUAUGUUCAAACUCAGUUUCAUAGAAAAGUUAAAACCAUUCGAUCAGAUAAUGGAUUGGAGUUUCAAAUGCUAGAUUUUUAUGCUAAACAGGGCAUUAUUCAUCAAACUUCUUGUCCAUAUACUCCACAACAGAAUGGAGUGGUGGAGAGGAAGCAUCAACAUUUGUUAGAAGUCACUAGAGCUUUGUUUUUUCAGUCACAUGUGCCUAAAACUCUAUGGCAUUUUGCAAUGGCACAUGCAGUUUACAUUAUUAACAGGUUGCCAUCAGUAAAGUUACAAUCUCAAUCUCCUUUUCAAAUUCUCUACAAUGCUUUACCUGACUUCGAGCAUCUUAAAAUCAUUGGCUGUCUUUGCUAUGUUUCUUCUUUGCCAGUUCAUAGAGGUAAAUUAGAUCCUAGGUCCCAUAAAUCAGUUUUCUUAGGUUAUAAAUCAGGGGUCAAGGGUUACAUUACUCUAAAUCUUACAACCAAGGAAGUCACAAUUUCUAGGCAUGUGCAUUUUCAUGAGCACAUUUAUCCUUUUGUUGACAAAACUGUUUCUUUAGUCCCAAGUGAACUACCGGUUGUUCCUGUGUUUCCUAAGACCACUUCUCUGGACUUAUCUUAUUCUGAUGACCAACCACAAAAUCAUACUAAGGCAGAACAAUUGAAUGAGGAGAUUCUUAUACCUGAACUAAGAAGAUCUAUGAGGCAAAGAGUAGCACCACAGCGGCUGGCAGAUUAUUACUGCAACUUGACCACCACCUCAGCCGCACCAUCUUCUUCUAUUGUCAGGUAUCCUCUUACCAAUCACAUGACAUAUUCACAUUUAUCUAAACCUCACCAGAAUUAUUCUUUAGCUAUAUCUGCUGUGAUAGAACCAAAAACAUACAAAGAGGCCAUUACACAGCCAUGUUGGAAAGAAGCUAUCAAUUCUGAGUUGCAGGCUUUGCAUAACACUCAUACUUGGGUUUUAACUCCUCUUCCUGUAAGUAAGAAGACUAUUGGCUGUAAAUGGGUUUUUAGAGUAAAACACAGGGCAGAUGGUACAGUUGAAAGUUGCAAAGCUAGGUUAGUAACUAAAGGAUUCACACAAACUGAAGGCAUUGAUUUUCCGGAAACUUUCAGUCCAGUGGUGAAGAUGACAACAGUCAGAGUUAUUUUAGCCUUGGCUUCUAUUCAUAAUUGGCAUCUGAAGCAGCUUGAUGUUAACACAACUUUUCUUCAUGGUGAUCUUGAUGAAGAAGUCUACAUGGAACCUCCUCCUGGUCUUGAUUUACCUCAACCUGGCAUGGUCUGCAAGCUCACCAAGUCCUUAUAUGGAUUGCGACAAACAAGUAGGCAAUGGAAUGCUAAGUUGACAGAAGUAUUGAUGCAACAAGUUUACAUUCAAUCCAAGGCUGAUUAUUCUCUUUUUACCAAAAGAGGAAAUGCUUCAUUUACAGUGAUCUUGGUUUAUGUUGAUGAUUUGAUGUUAACUGGCAAUGACAUAACUGAGAUCAAUUCCAUCAAAACCUUAUUGGAUGACAAGUUCAGCAUCAAAGACUUAGGUGAUCUUAAGUAUUUCCUUGGUCUUGAAGUGGCUAGGUCUAAGCAAGGUAUUGCAUUGUACCAAAGGAAGUAUGCAUUGGAUCUUCUUGCUGAUACAAGCUUGACAGCUACUAAGCCAGUAACCAGCCCUAUGGAUUCCACAGUUAAAAUACAUAAGGGUUCUGGGGAGAGACUACAAGAUGUUAGCAGUUACAGAAGAUUAAUUGGUAGAUUACUAUAUCUAACCAAUACUCGAGCUGAUAUUACAUUUGUUGUCCAUCAUCUUAGUCAGUUCCCAGAUUGUGCUACUGAUGUUCAUUUUGAAGCAGCCUUAAGGAUACUGAAAUAUGUCAAAGCAGCACCAGCAAAGAGACUCUUUUUCCCUUCUACUUCUUCUAUCACACUGAAAUGCUACAGUGAUUCUGAUUGGGGUGUUUGCAUAGAUACAAGGAGAUCUGUCACUGGUUAUUGUUUCUUCUUAGGCAACUCAUUAAUUUCCUGGUGAAGUAAGAAACAAACCACAGUUUCCAGGUCAUCUAGUGAGGCAGAGUAUAGAGCUUUAUCACAGUCUAGCUGUGAAGCUUUAUGGUUAACUUACCUGCUCAAUGAUUUGCAUCCAAGCUCCUUGCAACCAGUGAGCAUCUUUUGUGACAAUCAAUCUGCUCUACAGAUUGUCAAUAAUCCAGUUAAUCAUGAAAGAACCAAACACAUUGAAAUGGAUGUUCAUUUCAUUAGAGAUAAGCUUCAGGAAGGAUCCAUACACUUGCUACCAGUUGGUUCAAAGGAACAAACAACUGAUAUAUUCACAAAACCCCUCUCUUGUGGUCCAUUUCAGCACUUGAUCUCCAAGCUAGGAAUGUUAGAUAUCCAUUCUAGCUUGAGGGGGGGUAUUGAGGAAGUUUUAAUUAGUAGUUAGUUAGAAGUAAUCUCAAGAUUAGUUAGAGUCAGUUACACUUUCUGUUUUCAAUUAGUUGAAACUUGUAAUUGUGUGAGGCACUAUAUAAAGUCCUCUACUGUACAGAAUAGUCAGUUUUUCAUUAAAUGAAUUGCACAAUUAUAUUUUCCACAUAUAUUAUGAGAGGAAUUUGGUACACUAAAACAGAUUUUAUAAACAAAUAAAAAAUUAACAAUCCACUUAAAAUGAGAUUGUUAAACACGUGAUGUAAAAAAAAGUCUCUUAGGCUAUGUUUGGAUCGAUGGUACAUAAUGGAGCGGAGCGGAACGGAAUAUAAUGGAAUGGAAUAGAGCGGAACGGAAUGAAGCAAAGAUCUCAUUCCCCUGUUUGGAUAUUUUUUGAUGGAACGGAACAAAGUUACCACUCCACUGUUUGGAUAACGAACGGAGCAUAAUGAGUUAUAACUUUAUUAUUCCUAUAUUACCCUUAUUAUAACAUAUUAAUUUUCUUUAAAGUCCAAAAUUCUUUCAUUAAAAAUUUGUCAACCGACAGAUUUGCUCUUCAAAUUUGCUUGCUUAAUUCAUGAUAACUAAUUUAGAUCCAUCCAGAGACUUGUACUAAUAGUUGGUUGUAUUUUAAUUAUCAUGACUUAAAGAUGCAGAAGCCUUGUUCAUGUAGGUAUAAAAUCAACAUCUGUUUUUCUCAAGAAAAUAACAUAUGAAUGCUAAUUUUUUAACCGCAAAGCAAUUGAUUAUGAAUUCUCAGUGACCAAUAUACAUUGCUUUAACAAAGUAUACAAACACACAUUGCAAGGAAAGAAUACAAUGGACAGUGCAUUUGAAAACCCUUGUUUUCAUUCAAUGGCUGUUGAGAUGCUGAGAAGGAACAUGAAAGAAUAUAUUUCAAUUCCAUCAACGUGGCUGCCAAUUUUUUUCUAACGUGAAGGCAGAAAUUUAGGUCACAACUUGCAGGAGUUAUGGAGUGAGGUUAUUAGGGGUAAAAUAGUAUUUUUCAUAAUUUAAUUAAUGGUCAGUUUUCCUUUCCAUCCAAUUUGGGGGGAGCAAAUAUGAGGGAAACCAAUGGAGCAUGAUGGAGCUUGGACCAUUACUUACCACUCCCUUCCAUCCUAUUUUAAAUAAAACAAACAAUGAAGCCUUCACUCCUUCCACUCCACUCCACUCCUUCCCCUCCCUCAAUCCAAACAGACCCUUUGGCCUCGUUCGAGGUGGUUUUUGGUUUUAUGUUUUGAAAUUUUAAAAAACUAAAACUAGUUUUCAGUUUUAUAAAUACUAUUUUUGUUUUUUGUGGUUUUGAGUUUUAAAACAUUGGUGCUAACUUUGUAAAUUCAUAAUAGUCACAACAAUUAUAAAUUUUGUGAAUUCACAACAAUGGGUGGUAGUGACGACACGAUAAUAUAGGGGCCGAAUAGCAGCGGUGAUAGAGUUUUGAUGUUACCUAACGACGGUGACAGUGGCGAGUGGCGACUAUGGUUGUGGUGGCAGAAGCGACAGUGGUGGCGGAGGUGGGGGCUGUGACCGCGUUGGGGAUGGUGAUGCUAGUGGAAGUAGUAGUGCAGGUGGUGGUGAUGGUGGAGGUGAUUGUAGUGACAAUGAAGGUGUGGUGGUGGAGAGGAUGUUACCCGGUGUUCGUGAUGAUGAUAGUGGUGGCAACGACAUGGUGGUUGUGGUGGUUACAGUCGGCAGCGGUGGUGGAGUUGGAAGUGGUGGUAUUGGAGGGUGGUGGUGGUAGUGACAACGAUAGGAGUAGUGGUGACGAUGGGGUGGAGGUGGUGGCGGCGCAUGUGAAUGGUGAAGGGUGGUGGGGCGGUGGUGAGGUGGUAGUGGCAGUGAAGGGUGAUGGUGGCGAUAGUGACACGGGUGGAGGAUGCAUGUGGAGAUGGUGGCGGUGGAGAUUGGCGAUGGUGGUGGAGGCAGUGGCGGUGGUGAUGAUGGAAGUGACACGGAUGGAGGAUGCAUGUGGUGAUGAUGGUGGUGGCGGCGAUGGUGGUGGCGGCGGUGGUGGUGAAGGUGGUUGUGGUGGUGAUGACGAUGGGUGACGAUGGUGAUGAAGUUACUUGUUAUUGAAACAAAAAAUCAUAAUCACAAAACCAUAUUUCGUGGUUUUGAAAAACAGGCUAAAGCGGUUUUGAAAAUCAAUAAAAACCCACUUCAGCUCCAUUUUGGCCGAACACGUUUUGUUUUCAAAAUUGCAUUUAAAAAUUAAAAACUGAAAAUUGGCAACUACCCCAGACGAGCCCUUAAACACUUGAUGCAUGUCAACGUUAUUACACCCCCUUAUUUUUAUUAUUCUGAUCAACUAUAGGUAAAUUUUACUGCAAAAAUCUUUCCCACCAAAUGGGAGCUCUCAAUUCAUUAUAUAUAUAUAUAUAUAUAUAUAUAUAUAUAUCAAUGUAAUUUUAUUUUAUAAGGCACUCUCUAUUCCUAAUUGUAAGAUUUUCUUUGAGACAAUCAUGUUUGUUAAGAAAAUAUAUAAUAAACUUAAUUAAUUAAGAUGGAUAUAAAAAAAAUAUACAAUCUUCUAUAGUUACUCUUGAUUAAUUACAUAUUGAAUAGUGUUGAAGAAAAUUAACAAUCAAAAUUUUAAAAUUAUAAAAAUUUAAUAAAUGCAAGGAUGCAUAUGGAAAAAAGUGACAAAUUAUUCCAAAACUAGGAAUGAAGGGAGUAUCUCAUCACAACUAGAAGUUAUAAGACACUUUUAAAAAGAUUUGGGUCAUCUCCGGCCAAAUCUACUCCAGCCCCCUCCAAUCACAUCCUAUCCAUUGAUUUUAAAUUUAAGGGUCAUAAUUAAUUUGGAGUGUGAGAUUAAUUAUUUAUAUUUUUACUGUGCUAUCCAUUUAUACACAAGCUGCAGUGCAUCCGUGGGAGAGAGUUUUGUUUCCCUCUUAAAACUCUAAAAUCACAUUUAGUGGAUAAGACUCCCAAUAAAUUCUUCUUGAUGUAAUUGAAGCCUCCAACUAUCGACAGUACUCUGACCAACAUUAGCUCUGCGUAUUGUUUGUCACUUUUUCUAACGAAACACACUUUUCCUACCAAAUGGCAGCUCUCAAUUCGUUACAAUGCAGUUUUCUUAGAACUCUAUUGGAAAUAUAGUUCCUCAUGGCAAGAACUUGCUUGGUCAAUAUUGAUAAACAAUUACAGAUCACAUAUAGUUGUAACAUGGCUCCAUCCUCCACAUGCAUGUAGCAAAAACAGUAACAACAAUACAUAUUUGUUAAUUCACCUUUUUUCCAUAGAAGUAGUGUGGUCUAGAAACCUUCCUGAAAUGGCUGUAGCAAGUGCGGCUGUAAAAUUAGGAUCUCUUGUCAAAGAAGAAGCCAUUUGUUGAACUAAAAACUGCUGGAUAGAAGAUGGUGACUUUUGAGCAUUGUGAUUGUCAACUAAUCUUGACUGGAUCAAGUCAAGCGUAAAAGUUGGACCUAUCCUCGGAUUCAUGAGAGUGGGUGAGGAAGCUGUAGGAACUGAACCUGAAGUUUCACUUUGGCUUGAACACAGUGAUAUUUCAGCUUGAUGAUGCGCAUGAUUGUGCUCUCCUUCAUAAGUUGUUACCAAUAUGGUAGGGUCUUCUACACUUCUUUGCACCUAUAUUAACAUAUGAUCAUCAUGAUCAUAAAAGUGAUCACUAUUUCAGAUGAUGUCUAUUAGCAUAGUUAGAUUAACUGAUUUUUAUAUUGGGAAUCAAAUUUGACACUCAGGAAUAAGCUUCUAGCCACAAUUAAUUGGGUUUUCACUUUAAAAUGGUUGAAUAUGUUUUUUUUUUCCUGUAUAAAUUAUUGACUUUGGUUCUUCAAAUUCUUUUCUUUGAAACACAUUUCAAAGAUUGGGAGGGUCAAUACUUAAAAGAAAAAGUUAUUUUGAAUGAUUAGUUCAAAUGCAUUUCUAAAAUUUGGAGAUAUAUUUCAAAAGAAAUAUUUUAAAUAUUGGCUGAAAUUAAUAAUUCACUAUUUUCCCAUCUUAAAAUCAGCUGUAGAGUAAUUUUAAAAUAUGCAUUGUAUCUACAAUUUGUGAACACCACUUUUGACGACACACCUACAACUUGUGAUGUUUUGCAGAGUUAUAUUUUUCCUAACUCUGAAAUUGGUGGCCGCUAGAAACCUUUCACAAAUUUCAGCUGGUGUUGUCGAGUGUGUGUCCAUCAAAAGCGGUGCAUGCCCAUCGAUCGAUUAUUUUUUUCAUAUCUUGUAUACAAUCAAGAGUUCUGAUUUAUUCACAUAUCAUUUUUUUUUUCAUUUCAUGUUCACUUUAUUUAUCUUUUUAUCCAUCUCUUCUCUCAUAUCACGUCGUUCAUCGAAUCUUCCAUUCUUCUCUAUUUUCACUUGGUGUGUGUUUUAAAAUUGUGAAUCGAACUUUAAUAUUCUAUAAUCAAGAACAACAAAGUUUUGUGUCAAUUACCUUCUUCUUGACAGGGCAGCUAGGGGCGUAAGAGCACUUGAAGUAAGCCCUAGGAGAGGGGUUAUCUCUGGUAACUUUCUGACCAUAUUUUCUCCACUGAUAUCCAUCUCUCACAUACUUCAAUACCCAAAAACACAAAUAAAUUAAUAAUCCUUAGUCAGUACUUGCAAUUAACCUGAGAAACUUUACUCAUAAGCCCAAAUGCUACACAAAUAUAUAUGGUAAAUAAGAUUGAACUUACUAAGCUGGUAUCAGAUGCUUCAGUCCGAACAAGAACCUUGGAAACCUUUGGCGAAGUGCUAGGCCUUUUGAAUAUUGUAUCCUCCUCCUCAGUAAUGGUGCUGCACUCAGUAUAGCCACUGCUACCAUAAACAAACAGAUUCUCAGCCUUUCUCUUCCGCGAUGGUAUCCCUGCUUCUUUUUCAAAAUCAUCCGGGCUGUUACUGUUGAGUUGGGCUAAAUGUUUUUGCAUGGUGAGAUAGUUGUCGCAUAUGUGGUUCAGCGUCUCAGUUAACCUCUUAUUCUCACUAUUCAGACGCUCUAACUCUUCAACCAAAACCGAAACGUCAACAACUGUGUCCCAAGAAGGAGCAACGUUGAGGUUCAGAGAAGUGUCCACCACGCUGCAGGUUGUUGGUUCCAUAGAAGAAGAAUUAAGUAAUACAGAAACUAAGUAAUUAAAAUAUAGAGUUGAAGCAAAAAUUGUACUCCUGUGAAGUGUGAGAUGAAAGGAUGGAAAUAUGGAGUAAUAAUUAAAGGAGUGGCUGUGAAGUGUGAGAUGAAAGGAUGGAAAUAAAUAUGUAGAGAGAUGCGUGGAGAGACUUGUCUGAGAGAGGAAGGAAAGUAGCAGGAAAAUGAGGGUGAGAUAGCAGUCAUAAUCUCCUACAGUUUCGUCGUGUCAAUCAUAAACACACACGCAUUCAACACAGAAAGGAAGGAAAAUGAUUAAUUAUUCUAUAUUUCUAUUUGUCUAUUUAAUUUUACAUUAACUCGUUUCCAUCAAUCUAGAGGAAUUCGCGAAUGUCGUGUUGGUUGGCUAUGAUGACUAAAGUAAAAUUUAUCUCGUCCAACAGUUGGCUGAGCAAAAACAUGCCCAACAUAAUUAAACACUAAAAAGUCAGCCAAACAUAGUCAUUAUAUCUUCAAGUUCUGUACAAUGACUCCAUUAAGGCCAAGUAUCUCAAACACAUGUCAUAUAUAUUGCGCCUUAUAAAUACAUGUUUGGUUGCUUAAUUACAUAAACAUUACUCAUUUUACGUACUCGUUGAAUAUUCUUAAGACUUUGAGUUUCUCUCUCUAAUUUACAAGCACUUUAAGCAUCAUAGUCCCUUUAGUUUGCAGGUACAUUUAAUUUUUUGCUCCUUCAUGGACGUUUCACAUAUCACCGUGCCUACGGAGUUCAAACUUUAUCAACUACACAAAAAGGAGAACUCACCAACAAGGGGUAAAUAGCCAAGUUGGUCCUUGAAUGUGUCAACCGCCUUCAAGUUGGUCCCUAAACUUCUAAAAUGCCUCCCGCAGUCCUUAAAUGUAGCAAACUCCUUCACGGUAGUCCCUGGUUUAAAAAAAGUUGACGGACGUUAACGGAGUGCUGACAUGAUUUUUUUUGUAUAUGCUGAAGCUACGUGGCACCAAAAAAUAAUAAAAUAAAAUAGUUAAAUAAAUAAAUAAACAACUUCAGUAAAUAAAAAACUUCAACCCUAAAUUAGAGCUUCAUCAUCUCAUAGUUCUUCAUCAUCACAUCAACACUACAUCAGAACCUCCUUCCAUUUUGCUUCAAAAUCUAAAUGGGUCGCUGCUUCAGCAAAGCCACAACCCAAAAUCCACAAAACCAAAACUAUUUGAAGAACCAGCAGCAACCCCAUGUGAGAUCUCACUCCCCAAAUCAAAUUCAACCCAUGAAGAACCCCCACCACCGCUAGAAGAGGAGUCAGUGAAGGAGGUUCUUUCUGAAACACCCAUUUCCAAGCAUGAAUCAGCACCACCAUCUUCCUCCGCCGUCAAGCCCGACCAUUCAACCAUCGUAUUCAACAUCAACAUCAUAUCUAAAACACUCACGUGGCCUCCACGAACCAUUGCUUGCAGAUCUGGAUGAAGUUGUUGUGGUAAAUGGGUUAUGGAUUCAAUUUUUCUAGUUUUUGGCCUUCUGGGUUCAUUUUGUAUGGGUUAUGAGUCAUAAAUCAGAGGGGAACAUGGUUCUGGAUUCAAUUUUUAUGAGUCAUGGGUUCAAUUAUUUAUGGAACAGAGAUUCUGAAGAUAAAAAACUGGGGUUUAGGAAGGAGAUUUGGGUUGGGAGAGGAGGAUGAAAGUGGAAUUGAGACCACCAGAUAAACAUCGCCGUCCUCCGUUUUCUUUUCCGAUUUGAAGCUCAGAUUUGAGGUGCUGACAAAUUAACAUGAAAAUUGACAUUGGGUUGUUGCGUAGCGUAUGGCUCUGUCUAUCUAUGAAUCAGUGCUUUACAAUUGCAAUUGUGGUUUCGUGGUUCUUCAAUCCUGGUUUUGUGAUUCCACAACGUUGCAGUUUCUAGCUUCGGUUUUGUUUGAUUUUGUGCAUGAAGAACAAAAAGGUCUCGUGCUUUGUUGGAUUUUUAAAAUGCCACUUAUAUACAAUGCUAUUCUUAUAUCCUGAGAUUGAGUUGUGAUGAGAGAGGUGUUGUAGAAUAGAGGAGAAGAAUUGAAAAAAUUAUGGGUUUGAUUUUAAUAGGAGAAGAUGAUUUUUUUUUUUUUUGAACUUGAAGAAGAUGAAUUUAAUAUUAGAAAAGUUUAGGGGUUUUAAAUUUUUUUUCUGGAAUUAAUCUUUUUUGGGAAGGCUUCAAGGACUAAAUUGAAGUCUUUCCAAACUUUCCCAAUGUUCAUAUGCCACAUAAGCUUCAGUAUUUAAAAAAAAAUUCCAGGUCACACUUCCGUUAACGUCCGUCUGCCUUUUUUAAGUCAGGGACUAGCGUGAAGGGGUUUUACCACAUUCAGGGACCACGGGAUACAUUUUAGAAGUUUAGGGAUCAAGUUGAAGGCGGCUGACACAUUCAGGGACCAACUUGGCUAUUUACCCCACCAACAAGUCUCAAAUCUCAACAGAGUUGUCACCAACAAGUCUCAAAUCUCAACAGAGUUGGCUAGCUAAAUUUCUUAAACAUUUAAUUGAGAAUAUAAUUUAAUAUCUAGACGUGGUGCAUGGAAAAUAAAUUAUAUCUCAUCUCAAUCUCAAUCUAUUAUGAGAAUACAUCGAUAAUACUAGCUUAUAGCUUAUUUGACUAGCUUAAAAGCUCUUCAAAAGUGUUUGGUGAAGAAGCUUAUUUCAGUAGCUUAAAGCUUUAAGCUAUAAGCUAUCUCAGGUAGCUUAUAGCUUAAGGCUUAUAGCUUAUUAAAUUUAUUCUCAUUUUUAUCUUUAUUAUUUUAUUAAAAUUUCAUCAUUAUCCUUAUACAUUUAUAAAAACACUAAACUAUUCCCCCUCACACUUACCUAUGCAGUUCCCGCACCAUUUCCGCACCCACUGCGCCCACAAGGUUUAAAUAUUUUUUAAUGGAUAUAACCUGGAGUAUAAAAUAUUUUAGAGGAAAAAUUUAAUUUAAUGCAUAUGGUAUAUGGGAAAAAGGAUGUAAUUAAAAUAUUACCAGUUGCUUUACACUCAGUGGUACAUUAUUACCAACACUUGUACAUACGACUUAGCUCAUGCUAUACUUNNNNNNNNNNNNNNNNNNNNNNNNNNNNNNNNNNNNNNNNNNNNNNNNNNNNNNNNNNNNNNNNNNNNNNNNNNNNNNNNNNNNNNNNNNNNNNNNNNNNNNNNNNNNNNNNNNNNNNNNNNNNNNNNNNNNNNNNNNNNNNNNNNNNNNNNNNNNNNNNNNNNNNNNNNNNNNNNNNNNNNNNNNNNNNNNNNNNNNNNNNNNNNNNNNNNNNNNNNNNNNNNNNNNNNNNNNNNNNNNNNNNNNNNNNNNNNNNNNNNNNNNNNNNNNNNNNNNNNNNNNNNNNNNNNNNNNNNNNNNNNNNNNNNNNNNNNNNNNNNNNNNNNNNNNNNNNNNNNNNNNNNNNNNNNNNNNNNNNNNNNNNNNNNNNNNNNNNNNNNNNNNNNNNNNNNNNNNNNNNNNNNNNNNNNNNNNNNNNNNNNNNNNNNNNNNNNNNNNNNNNNNNNNNNNNNNNNNNNNNNNNNNNNNNNNNNNNNNNNNNNNNNNNNNNNNNNNNNNNNNNNNNNNNNNNNNNNNNNNNNNNNNNNNNNNNNNNNNNNNNNNNNNNNNNNNNNNNNNNNNNNNNNNNNNNNNNNNNNNNNNNNNNNNNNNNNNNNNNNNNNNNNNNNNNNNNNNNNNNNNNNNNNNNNNNNNNNNNNNNNNNNNNNNNNNNNNNNNNNNNNNNNNNNNNNNNNNNNNNNNNNNNNNNNNNNNNNNNNNNNNNNNNNNNNNNNNNNNNNNNNNNNNNNNNNNNNNNNNNNNNNNNNNNNNNNNNNNNNNNNNNNNNNNNNNNNNNNNNNNNNNNNNNNNNNNNNNNNNNNNNNNNNNNNNNNNNNNNNNNNNNNNNNNNNNNNNNNNNNNNNNNNNNNNNNNNNNNNNNNNNNNNNNNNNNNNNNNNNNNNNNNNNNNNNNNNNNNNNNNNNNNNNNNNNNNNNNNNNNNNNNNNNNNNNNNNNNNNNNNNNNNNNNNNNNNNNNNNNNNNNNNNNNNNNNNNNNNNNNNNNNNNNNNNNNNNNNNNNNNUGCAUAAAGAAAAAAUAUCCAUGCUUCAUUCAAUUUUCUGUUGUCUAGCAUGCAUCGACAGUAGGGCCUCAUGUAUUUUGAACUGCUUACUGAUUCCCCACCAACCAAAACAAUCAUACCAUGCUUAAUUGAAGUUCUAAAUAGGACAAUCCGGUAGAAAUCCUUGAAUGAUGGAAAUCAUGGUAAUUUUCAAACCGAAAAAUCAUACAAUCCAAAGUAAGCAAUCUGGAGUUCAUAAAUUGAGAUUGGAGGAAUCCUCUCACGUGAAAAUUAUGUUUCUCUUUCAUUAUGAUGUAAUAGUUACACCAUCUUAUUUCAAGUAAAUUUACAAUGCGAUACAAAAACGAUAAUAACUUUUUUGGUACAUAUAAAGCAAAUUUCUGGGUGGGGGUGGAUAUAUUUGUUUUCUUCUCAUAUAGCAUGUCCGAUUCCACAUUUGUAAAUGUGAGAAUCGAUUAUUAGAAUCUAUUUUUAGGUGUUUGAAAUUAGGAUUUAUCAUUUCACAAUUGAUCAUAGCUUCUAAUCAAUUCUGGAAUGAACCUACAAAUCCUAACAUGUGCACCAGACUUAAAGUCAGCUUGUCUUUCAUUAUUUCACUUGUGAAAAUUUCAUUCAUUUUUUAUUAUGUAUAUCAUAUUCUAUCAUUAUUUUAUUUUGUCCACAUCAAACACACAAAAUAGAAUAAGAGCUUAUCUAAACAAGUUAUUAACAUAAAUCUUUAUUCUUCAGGUGACACUUUCUCAUUUAAUUAUUUUAUAUCUAAACAUAUUUAUGAGAAGUUUUUCUAUCCUUUAAUAUAAUUUUGUAUGAAAAGACUCUUCUAAAUUUUUACAUUCAAAUGAAAAAAAAAAUUAAGAUCAAUAUUUAGGCUAUAUUUGGCAUGUCAUUUCAGCUAGCUUAUAGCUUAUUUAACUAGCUUAAAGCUUAUUUGACUAGUUUAAAAGCUCUUCAAAAGUGUUUGGUGAAAGAGCUUAUUUCAGUAGCUUAAAGCUUUAAGCUAUAAGCUAUCUCAGGUAGCUUAUAGCUUAUUACAUUUAUUCUCAUUUUUAUCCUUAUUAUUUUAUUAAGUUCCACCAUUACUCUUAUAUAUUUAUAAAAACACUAAACAUAUUUCCCCUCACACUUACGUAUGCAGUUCCCGCCAUCAUUCCCGCCACACCGCUGCGCACCACAAGUAUUAAAAAUAUUAUAUUAAGAUGAUAAAUAACUUGAGUUAAUAAAAAUAUUUAAUGUGAUAAUAAUUUUAAUAUUAAUAUCAUAUAGGUAUUAAUGGAAAAUAAAGAAAUGUUAAAUAUAAAAAUAAUUAUACAAGUAUGUCAUUUUACAACUUCAGCUUGUUUAACAUCUAAUUUUACCAAACACUUUUGUUUCAAUCACGUAACUUUUCAGCUUUCAGCUAGCUUAUCAACUUUCAGCUAUCAGCUAGCUUAUAAGCUUUUAGCAAGCUUUUCAACUUUCAACUAGCUUAUUAGUUAAACAUGUGAAACAUAACUUUAGACUGAAUAACAGUUUGUAGCUGAAAUAAUUGUUUUUGUUUUUCUUUUACAAUUCCAGAGUGCAUGAACCAUAAUUUCAUCCAGUUUGGUCAAUUACAUCUUUUUCUAGUAAGGAAAUUAAAGUCUAACCUAAUAUGCACCAUUUUUAUGUGGUGUAAUUUUACACCACCUACUUUGACUGAGUAUAGCAGGUCAACACAUUAUAUUUUUUAAGAAAAAACAUUAUUAAAAAUUUGUUAUAUAUUAAAUAUCUUUAAAAAAAAUGUGUUAAUCUGUUAUAGUAAGUUAAAAAAAGUGGUCUAAAAUUAGACCACUUUAAAAAUGGUCCACAUUAGGGUCACCGGAAAUUAAAAGGCAAGUUGAUGGUGCAUUUUAAGAUUUGGAAGUUUUCCCAUUGACUGCAACAUUAUCUCAUUGACUCCAACGUGUCCUGUCAGAUUUCUGUAACUACAGCAUUUAAUUAAGUCUACAUGGCUUAUCUUGCACUUUUUGUGAUUCCUUUCUCCUCUGUACUUCUAAUUGGUCCAGCAAUUUAUUCAACCUCCUCUAGAUUGAUCGUUAAAAUCCAAAUCUCAUAUCCUUCCAAGUUCCAAACAUCAUAAACAUAUUGUCACAAACAAAUAUUUUUAUUGAACUUACAAAUCAUAAGUUUUUAGAAAAUUACAAUUUGCAAUAUAUAUUUGGAGAGCCAUUAAUUUUAACAUUAGGGUGGAAACAAGUUACUCGUCAGGAACAUGUUGCCUUGCUCAUCAAAAGUCUAUUCUAACCCUGAAUCAUUUAUUUAAAAUGUCAAGCUUAAUUUUUUUUUUUCUAAAAAUACUGAUUAACUAAAAAGGCAGAUCCAUACUAAAAAAAAGUAUUUCAAUCACCUCUAAAGUAAAAAAUAAAACAUUUGUGGUCAGGGAUAUCACCACCAUAUCCCGAGCCUGCAGAUUAGUCACAUGAGACAUCUUUCCCCGUGAAGAUUGGUGGCUAAAGGACCAAAAAAUACUAAAAAAGUAUGUUUGAUCUGAUAGGCUCGCUUAUUUACAUGUAAUUGUUAAUAUAAAUAAAUAUAAUAUCUAUUUAAUUAAUUUUUUAAAACUCAUAAUUUUUUAUUCCUUUUGAAAAGGGACAAUGAUGUGUAGAAGAAAAGACUUAUUAACCUGCUAGCAUAUUAACCCAUUGCUUUAUUGUGGUCCGUUUAAAAGUUACAUUUCCUAUUAAAUAGACAUGUAAACAAACUAGUAAGUAGAUCAGUUCGCCUAAAACGUCAGACGAAACCUUAAAAUUUGAACGUAGACCAAGCUUGGGUCACACGAAACUUGACAUGAUGAGCUAUUUUUACACCUAUUUAUUAGCAUUCAAUGAAAAGUAGCUGGGAGGUAAUGUGAAACACAAUGCCUAUAUAGCAUCAAACCUCAGUGUGAAAGUAGAAUUGAUUCCGGUCGAUCUGUGUUAAAUGAAGGCUGCGAUAACUACAACUCACAAACAAACGACAUUAACGAUAUCACGUUGAAGUCGGCAAAUUAAUGAUCAAUUUCAACAAGACUUCCAGAAACGUUAACGUGCAAGAUGUCAGGUGUUAAGACAAAGACAAGGAACCUACGCGCAAAUGGAAGGAAAAAAUGGUUUCAAUUUUAAAAGGAAUGUUGACUCUAGAAAGGACCUUGACUUGAACCCCAGAACUAGAACAAAACUUCGAGACAACUUGGAUGCCCCAAAACUCAAACUUUGCGUCUCAGUUCUCACUAACUAAAUAAGACGUAAGGCUUAAGUUUGUGAACCAAUUAACUUUCCAUUUCAAUUUUUAAGGAUAUCCACACAAUUUACAAAUUGUACUUUAAUUCUAUACAAAAAUCAAGAGUAUUGAUACGUGAAUCUCAUGUUUCUGGACAUACUUCCGACACACUCCCUCCAUUCUAAAAUGAUUGUUUUAGCUUUCACAUAUUUUCCAAAUUGGUUGCUGUUUUAGAAGUCAAAGACUAUUUGUCACCUCUUUUUUCAUAUAUACCCUCAUUUAAUAUUAUGUUUCGCACCUGUCACCUCCAAUUUUCACCUAUAAUAAUUCUCACCAACCACUUAAUCAAUAAUUAUUAUUCUCUCUUAAAUAUACUUUAACUUUAAAUAGGGCUACUUUAGUCAAAUUUUAUAUCAAUAAAUUAGCUCUUAAACUAUGUGCACUAUCUUAAAUAACAAUCAUUUUGGAAUGGAGGGAGUAUGUGUUUAGCUAUUUUUCUUACAAGGCCUAGAGUUAAAAAAAAAUGUAGACCUUCCACAUGCUAGCUCUUUCUUAUGUUUCAAGUGAUCAUCAAGACGGGCCUAAUCCUGAGCCAUUAGGUCUAACAUUUUUCGAAGUGUGAAUCAUUCCAGUACUUUGCAACUUCCUAUGAACUCUAGCCUAAAUUACUUGGGUGUCGGUUCGGUUGAUUGGAAAUUCAUUAUCCCAAGAAGAGUAUAAGGCCUUCUUGACACCUCCCUCUCAAAGAGGAAAAUCGGGUCUCUAGACCAUGGGGGCUCAAUCGUGGCCCCCUCUCAUUCCUUCUUAUCUUCAUUAGGGCUCUCAUCAAUGACGACAAUCUCGCUCGCAAGAGGCACAACCUAUAGCACAAUCGCCAGUGGAGCGAGACAGAACUCCAUCUUGAACAACAGCUAUAGCCUUUAUUGAAGUCUCAGUUUGCACUACUUGAGAAUAAUUCUUGGUUUGGGAGAUAGUAGAGCAGGAAGAAGCAAGUUUUUGCAACUGCCUUAGACAGAGUUUCUUCAUGGCAGAGCCAAAUGUCCUCACUAAAAUAAAUUAUUUAGAAUUGACGAGGAGACAAGAAAAACAAGAAGAGGAAAUAUUGCACACAUUGAUGAUAUCCUUGACACGAUGGUCUCUGAUCCUUAUGGGGGAAUUGAUGAGAUCCCAACACUUAAAGGACUUACCCAUCUCAACAAUGAUCUUCGCCAAAGUCUCAUUCGAGCGUAAAUCCAUUAAGGAUAAUUGGUCUUCCUUGACCAGAUUACACUCUACGUGAAAAUCGCAGUGCAUCUUCGUCCAAUAAAGUGACCAGAUAAUCAAAUAACAUUACAAUCUUGAGGCUUUCGUAUCAAGUUUAUCUAUCUCUUCUAUAUGUUUGCUUGCAUACUCACUUCAAACAUCUUCAGUAUUAUUCUCCUUAAACUAUGAAUCACCUGAUGCUUAGUUGUCCACAUAGUCCCUUAGGUUUGAUAACUGAGACUUGCUUUCCUAUAUUACUUGAGCGACAUAGUGCACUUGCUCUACCUUGCGUGUGUAUUUCUAUCACAACAAGGCUAUUGAAAACAAUACUCAUUUUAACUUGAAGAUGCUAGGUCAAGUUCUACUCGAUGUUAGCCUAAAAAGGGGAGUGUCAUACUUGUAAGUUUGCGAAGGUAGUGUAAAUACCCUUAAUUAGUUAAGGGACCAAACGUAGUUUAAGGUUGAGUUGAACUUAGUAUAAACGCUUAUGUGAUGGUUCUUUGUCCCUUAUCUUUGUCAUUUUCUUUUCAUUACUAACUAAGGAAUUGAAUUAUAACUUAUAAAAAUAUACUUUUAGUCUGAAGAGAUCAAUUUAUUAGCCUAACUUCUAAGGUUCCGCUUUGGGGCUGAACCUAAUCAACAUGUGUUGUUCUUUAGAACUUACUUUCAGCAUGUUCUAACAUUUAGCAUCUCUACAAAAGUUUAUAAAAAAUGGCAAAAAUUCUGAAUAAAUUGAAAAGAAUUUUAUAAAUAUAAUUCAAGCCAUCUUCUUGUAUUAUCUUGGUUUGUUUCUAUAUGGUGACUAAAAGUCAAGUCGUGUAUUGCGUUAUUUAUUAGUUUAAUAUUUUUAAAUAAUACCCAAUAAAAUUAUUAUUAAUAUGAUUAAAUAUAAUAUAUAAUAUUAUAAACAAUUAUAUAUUAUAUUUAUCAAUAUCUAUAAAAAAAUAUUAAAUAUAAUAUUUUCACGUCAAUGGUCAACCUAACUAUUAACAAACAUGAGUUAAAAAUUUAGUUUUUUGUGGAUUAUAAAUAAGAAUAUCAAAAUAAGGAGAGAAGGAGAGAAAACAAAGCUUAUGGCAGGUGUGGAUUUCAUCAAUAAUCUUCCUGACUCCCUUCUGAUUGUUAUCGUUUCUCUCCUUCCGAUCACAGAACGUGUGAGAACAAGUGUUCUUUCUGAACGAUGGAAAACUAUCUGGAAGGAGUCUUCCCACAUCAGCCUCGAUCAAAGAAAAAUGUUGAAGCAUUUAAUCGAGAAUUAUCUUCAAGAUACAAGCCCGCGAAAACGUCUUGCAAAAGCCAUAGGUCGUAAGGUAUAAAUUAAUUUGUUGAUAUUCACUUAGUACAUUUUUUUAUGAUCAUUAGGGUAUGGUAUCAUAUCCUAUCACAUCAUCAAGUCUAGAGUUUGACUACUUAAACUACUCAGUGAAUGGUUUGAAAUUUCAUAGUAAGAUAAAUUAGUCUGCAACAUAAAAUAUUUCUUUCUCAAAGGAGGUGCAAGAUAUAUAAUAUAUAUAAUUAAUGCAUCUUCACUUCAUAUUUUUUCAAAUGGGUAAUGACAGGAACCUCCGAUAAAGGAAGAAGAUGUGGAUGCAAUUGCUGAAGCAGCCAUGUUAAUCAACAUGGUCGUGAAUGCUCACUUUGGCUUGAAAAGUUGUAGGAUUCGACAUUUGCCAGAGAGCUGCAUUAGUGGCGAAGUUGAGGGAUGGAUGAGGAAGCUUUUGGAGAAAGGGGUGAAACAAAUUUCAAUGGAGCGGGAACCUGAUUGUGCGAUUUCCCAACAACAACUAAAUCAAUUUCAAAUUUAUAUCAGGGGGAUUAUCAAUUUACCAUUUGAUAUUUUCUCAGGUUUUGAGGUUCUUGAGUUGAAGAACUAUUAUCUUAAAAUUUCACCCACUAGAAAUCAUCCCCAAUUUUUGAAAACCCUAACCCUUAAUGACGUGGGUCUGUCGCCAAAUGGUUUACAGAAGAUUCUUUCUCAUUGUUUAUCUCUUGAAAACCUAACCCUAGAGAAAUGUCAUGUCGAGAAUGUUAUGAUCCAGAGUCCAAGUCUCAAAUUUUUUAAAAUAUGUGACAUGUUUGUAUCAAAGAUUGCAGUUUUUGCAGUUAACAUUGAGGUCAUUGUGAUUGAUACGGUUUUUUGCAAUGCUAAGAAACUGAUUUUUAAGACUCCGACACUUCGGGUUCUAUAUUCUUACUAUGAUAUGAAGAAGGAAGGGCUUCAUUUUUUCCCAAUUCGAGACUAUCUUUUGACUGCAAAGGAGAUCCUAGAAGUUUCAAGUAGAAAUCUGGUACGUGUUUUACUCUUUAUUUGGUACACAUGAUAUUUUAGUGAUGUGUUGUAUACAUAUGGUUACAUUUGUAUGAAUAGGGUUAUAGUCCAAUAUUUGAGAUUAUAGUUCCCUCAAGAUUAAUCUAAUUCAAUUACACACUAUAUGAGUUAUCCCUAUUUAGUUGAAAUGUUGUUGAUACAAUUUCUAAUUUCAAACCUUAAGUUACACUAAUUUAUUUUAGAAUUUUUGUUUAAACCCUUACCUUUAUUUCAUAGUGAAGAAAAGUUAAACAAAAUUUUCAUAGUUUUUAACACAAAAUUUAAAUAUUGGUACAUGUUAAUUAUAUUACGAGUGACACUAGUAAAAUUUCCAAGAACAACCCUUUUGAAUCUAUUUAAAUUGUACGAAAGUUCUAACUCUGAUUUUUAGAUCAUGUAAAAUUACUAUUUAUAUUGAUAUUUUUGUCCAUUUCUUUUAUAUAUUUAUUUUAUUAUUAUCUCAGAUCCUUCAAGAUUCAAGACUCGUCUGUGUAUUUGAGAAUCUGCUAACUCUCAAGAUCAAUCUAGAUUUGAAAAAUAUAAAAAAUGGCACAAUUCUCUCAUCAGCCCUUAAAACAUGUCAUAAGUUGGAGAAUCUUGAAAUUAAUAGUCAGGUACAGACAUGAUUACUUCAUCCACAUUCUUGUUAAAUUUCUAUUUAUGGGUAAAUGCAUUGCAUUUCAUAGUUCUCCCCUUAUAUAGGUCGAUGAUGGUGGUAGUGAGACGUAUAAUCAAAACGAAGAUGAUUGUCUACCUUUCAACAAACAUUUAUUUUGGCAAAGGGAGUUCUCUCAGAAUAUUGGUCAACAUCUAAAGACCCUCAGCAUAAAGGGAUUUAUGGGUAGAGAUUUUGAAGUGGAAUUUGUAAAAUACAUAAUCACAAAUGUAGAAACGAUGGAGAAGAUUACAAUUUGGUUUGUUGAUGGUUGUACAUGGACUGAAGCCACAACAACUUUGUGCUUGCUAGCCUUUCCAAAGGCCUCUACCAAAUUAUCCAUUACUCUUAAACCUGAGGUGAAGUACUUAAGAAAAUUUGGUGGGAGCUUUCAAAAGUGGGUCUCAACUCUGAAAGACUAGAAAUUUGGCGGCGUUUUUCUUGUAUUGGGAAAGGACAAAAUUGGAGGGUGGUAUAUUAGCUUUGUGUCUGGGUCGAUUGGUUAGAAAGGUUUAAUUAGCUUUUGGGUUUGUGGACUUUGGUAUUUUUGUUUGAUGUAAGCUUGUUUUGGCUUUUGGCUUGGAAAUUUGGUUGAUUAAUAUAUGAAUACUCUUUUUCCUUCACUAGGUUUUUUCCUAUUGAGUUUUUACUAGAAAGGUUUUAAUGAGGCUCACAUUUGAUUAACUAUCCAAGGGGGUUUUGUUUAGUUGUGGUCUUUGUGUCUUGUUUUACCUUUCCUCAUGAGAGGUUUCCUCUCAUGGGUUUCUCUUUUAUUCAAUAAAUUGCUUUUGCUUAAAAAAAUUUGUUGCUAAAUUAGAUAAAUUUAUUUUUAUUACAAUUUAAUUGUUUUGAAUUCUACAAACAAGUUUGUUUCUGAUUUUAUAUGUUGUAAUCUUCUUUCAUUAUUUCAUACUUAUGCCUAUUACUUUUGCAAGUAAUAAUUGUUUUGCUCAAAUCGUGCUAUUCGCUUUCUGAAUUAGUUAAAUGAGUCAUGUUUUCACAUAAGAAAAUUUAAAAUAACAUAAGUGAGUGACCGUAUUAGAAAAUCAGGACAUCAUACGUAUAGAGAUGUAAAUUUUACAACACCGUGAAACCUUUGUAUCAUGUUCGACAAAGUAUUUGGACAAAAAUGAUAACGAAUUAAAAGGAGUAGGUUUUACGGAGAGCUGGAUUUGACACCCCAACCCUUAGAUUUCACACCCCCAAUUUUCUAAUUUUCGGGUUCCGAAUUAUUUCGGAAUCUUAUAUUCCGAAAUUAAUUCAUGAUUUGUAGUGCAAAAUACAUGUAACACCCCACUUUUGAGUGAAAAAAUACUUCGAAAACCUUAUUUCCGAAAUAUUUCGGAAAAUAAGUUUCCGAAAGUGAAGUGACAUUUCUAAUGAGUGGGGUGCCAAAUCUAACUCUCGGUUUUAUGGAGAAGAAACAAUUCCGAGAGAAUUAAAAAUAUAUUCAAUCACGAUUGACGAGGUGAAGAUUGUGAUGAUCGGUUCACGACAAUCGCGGCCAUGAACUUGUUAAUCCUCUCCGGCUGAGGUUCUCUACAGCACACUAUCCAGCAAGCUUUUCCACCGUUGGAUAUAUCUAAAGGGCCAAAUUAUAAAGCUACAAAACGUCGUCGUUUACCCUCUCAUAUCAUAUCACAGCUUCUACCCUUCCAUCUUCUCUGACCUCUCUGCGACGCGAUCUCACUCUCGCUGCCUCGCUCCGCCGCACUUGGGUUCCUGCCACCGUGCAACGCCGCCGUAAUAAGGUGCCACUCCUGCCUCAACUCCUCCCUUCCAGCCACGUUCCGAAGAAGAAUGGAUGAAGAUGAAAUCGUCGGAUACGUGACUGCGUACUUGAAGAAGAAAGGGUUUACGCAGACUGAGAAGGUUUUCCAGGAAGAGUUUCAGCACAACAAGAACACCACCACCACCGUCGAACCUGACAUUGCCAACCACCUUCAAGCUCUUUCUCAGUAUGCUAUUUUCUUCACUCAAUUCCACUUCUCUUCUCUUUCGCUAACCGCUAUUUCACACUUCAUGCGUUGAUUGCUUGUUGCAGAUUGGAGACUGGUCCUGCUAGGUUUCACGAUGGAUAUAGCGGGCUUAGAACAUGGACUUACUCUUCACUGGAUUUGUACAAGGUAGGUAACACUAUCAAUAACAAUACCAUGGUGUUUAUUGAAUAAUGAUUCAAGUUUUUCAUGGGUGCUUAUUACGUUGUUCGCCAUUUUUAUUGCAGCAUGAGUUGCUUCGUGUGCUUUAUCCAGUGUUUAUACAUUGCUUUAUGGAUCUUGUUGCAAAAGGGCAUAUUCAGGAAGGUAUGUGUGACUAUGAGAGUAUGUAUGUAUGGAUGAAUGUAUCAGCAUUGUUUUUUUCUUCUUUUUAUGUUGUUGUGUUUGGUAUUCGCAGCUCGGAAUUUUUUCAAUGCCUUCCGUGAAGACCAUGAAAUGAUGCACUUGCGUGACCUUCAGAAGUUGGAAGGGGUUCUUACUCCUACUCACCUGGAGGUUUGUUGCUCUCUUAAAUCUUAUGUCGAACUUAAGUUUCUUCUCGGUGUUGGGUUGAUUGUUAGCUUUAAAUAACCCACUGUACAAUUCUUCUUAUCAGGAAAUGGAAUUUGCGCAUUCACUUAGGCAGAGCAAAUUCAACAUCAAGAUAUGUGAGGUAAUAUCUUGAUUCGUGGAAUAAAUUAUUUUACUUAACUAGUUUCAGAAACAUCCAGAACUUUGUUUCCCCUUCUGUGCUUUAUGCCUUUAUAAUCUAUGUAGCAAUGAUCAAAGUGUGUAUUUAUUUCUGAGUCUCACCAAUAUUUAGCUAUCGGGAUUUGUGUCGUCACUUGGUUUACAAACCGAGAAUAGGUAGAACAAAAAAGACAAUUAAUGUGACUCUGCUUACAAUGCAUUUAGGCCUAUAUAAUUAGAGUAUGUUCAUUAUGAUGAAUGAAGACUACAAGGGUUUGCAGUUUGCCACCCAACCCCACUCCCCACACCCAAAUUACUUGUGUUGCACCUUGGGCAUUCUGGGUUGUUAUACUUAUACAUGUUGGCCUGUACCCAUAAUUCAAUUCAAACCACUUUAUAUCAAUUUGAUUUGUAAUUAGCUGUAAGUUUUUGUGAGAUCUACAGUCUACCUUAUUGUUGCUUUGAAUCCGACUAUAUGUGCUGGAUUAUGCCUGCAGAUGAUAGUACACUUCACUGUACUAAUAUUAUGCAUUGAGCAAAACAUUUGACACGCUUGCAGUGUUGAAACGAAAUUUCCAUAGAUUUUAUAGAUGUGCGGUAUCACUUUGACAAUUCACUGCUUCCCACUCAAAUUACAUAUGAUUCUGUAUGACUAAUGAUUGUGGUACAUUCACAUACUGGAAUAACUGGAUCACUAAGAGAAGAGAAUCUAAAAGAGCAGAGAAGAGGAUAUGUAGGCUUACCUGGAUGACUCUAUCAAGUUCGUACUUGCUGCAGACAUGAAUGCCAUGGAGGAUGAUAUAUCAUUGUGUCCUAAACUCCAAGUCUAGAUUUGUGAAAAACUAAGAUACUAUGAAAUGCUCAACGCUGCCAUAAUUUCCUCUCAUUUAGAAAGAAUUAUAUUAUUUUUCUUGUACAUAAUAAGGAUAUAAUCAUAGUGAGGCGAGACUGUGCUAUACCAAAUAGCACACCACCUAAGCCUAACUUGCAUAUUAUAAUUAUACUCAAUGUCAUGCUAUGGACCGGUGUACUGCAUAGCCAGCGAAUUGUGAGGUCAACAAUUCAUUGGGUAUUAUUGAUGCUACACUGCAUUGGUGACAAGUCUACAUCUUAGUGCAUUAGACCUAGCUUAUUGAUUGGGAGUUGAAAUUUGGGAUGUACAUAAUUUCCACCCUAUAUCUGUGACUCUGUUAUGGCAUGCCAUUGCUGUUGUUUACCCUAUUAUCACAGUGGAUUUAGCUCAUGAGAGGGCUUAGUCGAAGUAUUCUGCUGGUUUCGACUUCGGAGAUUAGAUUAUACUAUUUAUCUUAUCGAUAUAUGUAAUUCCUCGACAUCAUGACUCAACUCCUUUGUUUCCUUUUUCUUUUUACCAUCUUUGCUUUUUUAUGUUGGUUCUUGUUUCUGAAUUUUAAUCACUGUAGUGUUACAUGUUUCAUUAAAAAAUAGUUAAGUAUGUUUGGAAACCUGAUAACAGUUAAUGUUUUCCUAGUAUUCCUAUGAGCUUCUGUUGCAACAUCUACAUAGGACACAAUCCACCACUAUACUUGGUAUAAUCAAUGAGCAUAUCAACUUCCAAGGUACUCUUUUUCACAUGAAGUUGCAUUGUAUCUGCUCAUUUGAACUUGCUGUUUUGAUGUUUGUCGUUUUUUUUAAUCCUUUUCCAAAAUAUAGUUAGCCCUGGACAACCGAGCUUAAUCUCUGAUGAUCCUGAGGCUGUUACCCUUAGUGGAAGCAGCCAGGACGCAGCAAACCGGAUAAAUCAGAAAGAAAUACAUUGGGGGGUGAGUCUAUUACUAUAUCUAAAAAACUGACAAAAUUAGAAAUUAUCUUGCUGAAGUUGUUUCUGCUCAAAUGGCCCCUUUUUAUUUACUUUUUCCCUGGGCAGUGGUUCAAAAGAGUUUAUGCUUCUGUAUUUUAAUGAAUGGCUUUUCUAAUUUAAUUUAUUAAUGUCUGGUUUCAAUCUCAAUAUGCUUCUCCAAUAGCUGCUUGAAGACUCUAUAGAAGAGCGGCUGGAGAAAGCUGGAGCCUUGCUUUCAGACUCUGAAAAGGGUGAUGGAGAAGCAAAAGAAGGGGAGAAUGAUGAGAGUAAGGUAUGUCUCUUCCAAAGUGCACCUCUGAUUUAUAUCGGGUAACCCAGUAUCAUAUGUUUCUUGAAUCUGGGCAUUUCCAUCUAAAGACUUUUGCAUCACUUCAGUUCUUUUAGUCUUUUAAUUGAGUGUUUUUUCACUCUUGUUUUUCCAUGUUUCUCUUUUAGAAAAGAUCAAUUGAAGUCGGAAAGCAAGGUUCUUCUGUCAAAAAGGUAAAAAAGGACAAGGGUGGAAGUGCAACAGGAAAAAAUGCAAAACCUGAAGUUAACACUGUACCAGCAGCUCCUCGAGUUAAGCCAGAACUUUCCUUGCCCAUAAUGUAUUCUCUCAAGCCUAAAUCUUCAUUUAAUUUACUGUAUUAGGUAUUGAACCUUACAGGAAGACAGUUUUACCUGUAAAGAAUGAUGAGGAGAACUUAGUCCUUCAAGCCAGGCUGGUUUGUAGUUUAUUUUUUGGAGGGAUAAAUAAAGAAAAAAUCUAUAGAGUGAGACUGGGGUUAAAGUUCAACUGGGAGGAGGAUAAGGAAUCCUCUAAAGCAAGAAAUUCUUUAUACAGAUAAUCAAGUAAAACUGUUAGUAUGGCAAAGUUUCCCGAUCUCUGCAUUUUGAAGCUGUGAGUACCCUGAUGUAACCAUGAGCACAACACCAAAGGGAAGCAAAAUGUACCUAUAUCCCAAAUUAACUUUGGGGCAAAGAAUUUAACUCUUAACACCUGCCAAUAUGCAACUCACACUCUUGUGUCAAAACUUUUAAGAAUGUACAGUUAUCUAGUGUAUGGUUAUGAGUGUAUUGUAUAAAUAUAGUAAGUACAUUGUGUUUAGUUGUAGUUUCUUAUUGGUUACUGCUGUUGAAUUUGUUAUGAGUUGGUUAGAGAGCUCCUCGAUGGAGCUCCCUCCUCUAUACAAGUGAGAACUUUGUCAACUGUUAUUCAGAUUCAGAAACUACUUUUCAGAAUCAAUCUCUCUCUCUCUCUCUAAACGCUAAAAUUCUAAAGAACCAAACUUUGGUUGGUAUUAUUUUGAAAAAAAAGCGAGCGUUUGGAAAGGUUGGUAAUGUUAGGUCUUGGUAUUGAUGGACAAUAACUUUUAGGAUCUCUAGUGCAUGUUUUUAUUUCUGUAUUAAAAGGGUGUGAUGGGCAAUAACUUUUAGGAUCUCUAAAUUUAGAUUCAGCAUUCAUCAAAAUGAAUGGAAAAAAAUCCUUUCAUUUAUGUCAUAUCAAGCAAUAAUGUUAAUGCUUGAAUCCAUUUAGAUAUUUAAAUAUUUGAAAUUGAAUCUCAAAAGUCAAAUGAAUUUUCAAGUACUUCCACCACUGUAUUUUUGUUAUCAUAUGAUGUCAGCUAGUAAAGUAAGGUUUUAAUAUUUGAGGUCAGAUUCUCAUCACAAACUAGUAAGGCAUUAAUAAUAUUUGCAUUAUUGCAGUUCAACUGAGGUAGAACACUCCAUCCUUGAUGAUCUAAGGAACCGUGUACAACUUAGUAGUGUUGCACUUCCAUCGGUUAGCUUUUACACAUUUAUCAAUACUCACAACAGGUAAUGUCUAAUGCAUAUUUUGUCUAUGUUAUUCAUCACUUUCCGGUUUCUGUUGCUUAAUGCUUUUAAUAUUUUGCCCAACUAUCUCAGUUUAAGCUGUUCGUCGAUAUCCCAUGAUGGAUCAUUAGUUGCUGGGGGAUUUUCUGACUCAUCGCUGAAGGUUUAUUUUUUUAUUUUUCCUUUAGCCCCCUUCCAUGAACCCUUCUGAAAGCAAACCCUCUUCCAAUGGAGCUUUUAUCUUACCUCAUGGUUGAAUUUCUGAAUUGUAUCUGCAGGUUUGGGAUAUGGCAAAGCUUGGACAACAGCCCACCAGUUGUGAGUUUUUAUUUGUAAACUUCUUCUGUUUAGAUCAAGCAAUGACUCUUGCAUUCUUUGCUUGACAAAUGUGUCCGUAGAAACAAGUAUAAUGUUUAAGACUUGUGAGAAUAUACUUAUAAAAGGUAAUAUGCUGCAGUGAUCUGAUACAGUUUAAAGAAUGCACUAGGUAAAUCAAGUUAUAUACAGGAUAUUUGGUGUUAUUGCUUUUACAUAUGAAAGUCAUUUGUAAAGAAAGGUUCUGGGCUAUAUCUCCCUGUUUAGUGAUAAUUAUUAGGUUUAGACUUUGUGGAGAUAACCUAACCUCUUUAUGGUGCAUUAUCUUUUAGAUUAUUAACUUUGAAAAGACCGGCAAAAAUGAAAAAAAGGUUUUGCAGUUUAAGAAUGUGACACAGGCCAAUGUAGAUAUUGUAUUUCAAAAUAGCCGGGAGUAGAAUAUUUUUGGGUUUCAUCUUUGUUAUCAAUGGAUGUUAAUUGUUAAGUAACCAUCAGAGAAAAAUGUGAUGCUAUGUGAUCUAUAUGCAAAUAAUGCAAUGAGUGAUUCAAUGGUGCUUAAAGACAGGGAUGAAAUUCAUCAGUCACCCUGCUUAUAUGCAUACCAACGUGGCUACUUACGCUAAAAAACCAUGUCUAUUGCUAAAACUGUAAAACACCAGGAUACGAACAAAAAAUUAACACAGAGAGUUUGUUUGGAGGGAAGCUUAUGCGAGUCUUGAGCAUUUGAACAAGCCCUAAUAUAAGUUAAAACUUUGAAUGUUGCUUUGCUAUAAAUAUCCAGUUACCAAUUCGGCUUUCAUCAGCUUCACAGGGUGAGAAUGACACAUCACAAAAUGAACAAGUGCUCGGGCAAAGUGGUGGGAAGAGACAGUAUACAUUGUUUCAAGGUCAUUCUGGGCCUGUUUAUGCAGCCUCUUUUAGUCCUGUUGGGGACUUCAUUCUUUCAUCAUCAGCAGACUCGACAAGUAUGUCUACUUGAUCUCAUUUCAAUUUUUAUCCUCAAUCUGUUUCUUAUAAUAAUUUUCGUCUUGUUUCUUUUAUAUUAUAGUUUUCAUUCUCAAUCUUGUGAAUCUUAAAUGGAUUAUAUGCAGUUCGACUCUGGAGCACAAAGCUUAAUGCCAAUCUUGUUUGUUACAAGGGUCACAAUUACCCUGUCUGGGAUGUUCAGGUAAAACGUUGUCUUCUAAAAUUCUGUUCUGUUGAUAAAUGUAGAUCAGCAUAUGAAAUACUUCCUCAAAAUUUUGUUGAUCAAAAAAAAAAUUUCCUUUGUGUGUGUAUAGCGUUUUGUUUGAGAGUCUGCUGUGCAUUGUACUCUCAAAUCAACUGCAGCCUGCAAAUUUUUAUUUCUUCCUUUUGCCAAUGAUAUUUGAUCUGAUCAUCGUUUUUCCUUCUUUUUUGGUACGCUUGGGACAUUAUUGUUAGUAUUUAAAUUCUGGAUUUUUUUCCCUGGAUGCAGUUUAGUCCCGUGGGGCAUUAUUUUGCCAGCUCUUCACACGACAGAACUGCUAGGGUUUGGUCCAUGGACAGGAUACAGCCAUUACGAAUAAUGGCAGGGCACUUGUCUGAUGUCGAUGUGAGUUAUUAUGUCCUAUAUCCUCUCUUGCUAGUUCUAGUUUUCUCCAAAUUUUGUGCUUUUAGAUUUAUAUUCUCUAAAACUCCUUUAGUUUUAUAUAUACUUAAUUACAUAUUGAUUUCAUGUAGUCAUAUAACUUUUGAUUUAAUUAUUCACGCUUCUGUUUAGCGAUACAUAGCAGGACUUUGAAUGGUUUUAUGUUAUAUUUUUAACAGUUAAUAAAAGGAUAAAGGAAAAUUAUAUUUUAUUGAAUUAAAAUGCUGAGGUUUAUCUAUAUAGAUAUCUAUUGGGUAUAGGUGUGGGCAUUACAUGUGCUAAUCAUGUGGUUUUGAAUCCGGCCAUUCGGGUCUCAGUAGAAAUUAUAUCCUAUUAGGUAUCUACGAAAUGGAGGAUUAAUUUCAAGAUGUUCUAUGCAUCUGUUUGUGCGAAUCCUCAACUUAAUUUCAUGAGAUUGAACCAAGCAGUUUAUGAGAAUUUGGCAGUUAGAACUGUGAAGGAAAAUAAACUGGGAACCUAUGAAAUAUUCUGCAAAAUUAUGCUAAAUGAGUGAGUGUGAUAAUUGAUUAACAGUUGAUUGGCAUGUGUUUCUAGGUUUAUAUUUUUGGAUCUACAGGUCAAUGAUUUCAAGUUUUACUCGUUCUCCUCACCAUUGUUAUCUGUGGUGUUUCUUUUACAUCUCUUUCUACAUUUUUUUACUUAGUCUGAAAGUGCACUAUUCAUGUAAUUUUUAAUUGAUUUGGUUUCCUGCAACUAGUCCAAGCUCUCACUCAGUUCGAGUAUAGCUGGCUGAUUUGCUGACUUUGUCAAGUUUUUAGAAAAUGGCUGCUAGUUGAUUUUAAGAAUAUUGUUUGUCUCGGUCUUGAUUUGAUCAAAUGAUUUAUUAUUAGCAGUAUUCUCUGUUUGUUUUAAAGCAUCAAAGCAAAACCUCAUUCUCCAAUAAAAACUGAUAGGGCACUGCAUGAACAGUGCCUGCAGUAGCAGUUGCACCCAGCAGUAGCAGUUAGAGGUUGUUUUUAUUUAAAUUGGGUCAGUUAUUAUUUGCUAGUUGUGUCUGGUUGUAACUGUCUAGGGGUGGUUAUUAAAUAGGGGUUGUGUUAGUUGAUUUGUUUCAUUCAGUAGUGUGUUUUAGGAGAGGGUCUGGACUCUCGAAUUCCAGAAUUAGGAGAGGCUGGGUCUCGAAAACCAGUGCUCGUACAAUUAUUCUAUAAUAUAAUUUUGUUCUUAUCAAUUUGGUACAGUAAGCUCUUCAGUUUGUAUUAAAGCUAAAAUGUUUGCCUGUUUUGUGUUCUUAUUUAGUGCGUGCAAUGGCAUGUCAACUGCAACUACAUCGCAACUGGCUCCAGUGACAAAACUGUUAGACUAUGGGAUGUGCAGAGUGGAGAGUGUGUCCGAGUUUUUGUUGGUCACAGGGGUAUGAUUUUGGCUUUGGCAAUGUCUCCUGACGGUCGCUAUAUGGCAUCCGGUGAUGAAGAUGGCACCAUCAUGAUGUGGGACCUCUCUAGUGGUCGCUGUCUCACACCUUUGAUCGGUCACACAUCCUGUGUCUGGUCACUAGCUUUCAGGUAAUUUUUCAACUUCAUCACAGCUUGAAAGUAAACUAAUGGUGUUUAAGGUUGCUAUCAUCGUCAUAGCGCUAAUGUUCAUUCAUAAUUGUUGGAUGUAUCAGUUCUGAAGGUUCUAUGCUAGCUUCUGGAUCUGCUGAUAGCUCUGUGAAAUUAUGGGAUGUAAAUACAAGCACUAAGGUUUCUAGGACUGAGGAAAAGUAAGUUUUGUUUAAUAUUGCAAGCAGAUUAGGAAUUUUGUUUCUAUGGUAUGACUAACUGACAACUUCUUACUUCAUUAGAAGUGGGAAUACUAACAGACUCAGAUCGCUGAAAACUCUGCCUACCAAAUCUACUCCUGUUUCGUCUUUGCGGGUAAAUACUCCAAUGGUUUAUAUAUCUAUUCAUGGAUGUUAAUAUGUUUUUCUGGGGUUUCAUUCAUAUGAUUUGAUGCUUCUUGCAUUCUGUUGAAAGCAGUUUUCUCGAAGGAAUCUUCUUUUUGCAGCUGGAGCUCUUGCAAAAAACGGCUAAUAUAUUCUGAGCAAAAGUAUCAAGUCGUAGUUAGAGGCUGAAUUCUUAUCGGAGGACCAUGAAGGAAAUGCACACGAUCCCUUUAUUUAUACAAGUUUAUUUCCUCUAGUGUAUACUUUGCCGCCGGUCCUUCUUCCUUCUGUGUGCAUAUGUAUCUCAAAAUUAAUUAACUUGAUAGAUAAUCUUUUGAUGUGUCGUUUUUCCAAUCAUUAUUUUGCAUCUCUGAACACCUUAUCUCUAUUUGUGCCUGUUGUAUGUUUUUUUUUCCGGGUCAAAGCAUUAUAGUCAAGGCCUGAGCCAAACUAAACAACACUUACAAAUAAAAUGAGAAACAACCUCCAAAGCUCGGUACAAUACAUGAUUUGCUGCAAACAAAAUCGAAAAUUUGAAGUUUUGGAUUUCACUUUUUUCUAAACCUUACCUAUUCUGCCGAAAUUCAUUUCUGUUACAAGGCCAUCAAUGCAACACCUUUAAAUAGGGGACCAAGACAAGCAGAAGACUAGAAUUGGAUGGAAGGAGAGGUGUGGCCAUGGAGGUGCCGAUGGUGUCCAAACCCUAGCCAACCAUGACAGAGAAGCAGUAAGGGAAAAGGAAGAUGGUGGUGGUGAACGUGAUUGAAGUGAAGGAGGUGGCACAGCGGCAAAAUGGUGGUGGAGGUGUAACAGCAGCAUGACGGCGAAGGUUGACAGGAAGGAACAGGAUGGAGGCAACAAUGUUAGAGGGAAUUAAGGGAUGCAGUAGAAAAGGGAAAGAUCCACACUAAAGAGAAAAAACUCACUUGUUGAAUAACGAAACCAUAUAAUGUGGUAGAGAACUUUUUUUGUGGGAGAAACAUCUACCACAUAGAAGUCCAGAAGAGAAAGCCUUCCUAAGAACCCGAAUUGGGAAGGAGACGCACAAAGGGUAGGUUACUGUGCCCUAGCAGAGGCAACGAAAAGGGUCUGCAUGCGUUCUUAUUUACCCCCCUCAAGUACAAGUUACUUAUAUACUUUGUCUUUCAAAAUUCUUCUUAUCUCACACACGCCAUUUAAUGACAACUGUUAGAUGCAAUUUAAAACACUGUAAUCUAACAAAUGCAAAACAUCCCUCAGAGCCGUUCAAAAUCUAGUUUUUAACAUAAUUUGUAAUUGGAAACGAUAGAAUAAAUUUACCCAGUUUUCAGGUACAAACGAAAAUCAUAAAUUUCAUUGUUGUAACUGGAAAAUAAAUAAAAUAGAAUUUAACACCCUAAAAAUGAAUCAUUAGAGAUUUAGAGUGCAGACUUUAACUUCAUUGACACUGAUCUAAGCUGCAAAGGCAAGGAAGUCCCAAUCAUUUUUAUUACAGUUGGAGUUGGAUGUGAAGGACUCAAACUCAGUCCUUUUACCCAAUCUUACUCUUUUCAUUAUUUGAUUCUUCCUGCCUUGAAAUGUGUGAUUUAGUUGCAGAUAAACAACUGAAAACAAGAUAAAUGGUUGAACGAUAUGACGUGAUAAAGAUGACAUGCUUUGUGAUAUUCUUGUGUUGACUCUUCCAAUCCAUAGUUUGAGACACAGAUGAAGAACUCUCUUACAAUCUCCUACUCCCCAUAGUCUACAGCAAAGUGAAUUGUUUCCUUCCCAGGAUAUCCAGAACUCAAAACUGAAAUGCAUCAUCAACAAAAAUGACUACAAACAUACACCACGAAGGUACUAGAUAAGGUACUAAACAAGAAAACAUGAUCCCAAUUUUCAAUGCAAAAGGGUAAAAUUAAAAUGUUCCAGAAACAUAAAGGUCAGCAAAGUAUUUGCUGUUUCUCUCCGCCAUUUACCUUUAGCAUUAACAAUCAUCAAGACAUUUUCUCCAUUACAAUGGCAAUCCAAGGGAUGCCAUUGUUUUCUCUUCAUGAUCUAACUGAUCUGAUAACACAGGAUGAAUCCAACUACUCAUCCAAAUCUGCAUUUGAUAAAUGGAAAAUUACUACCACACCCAAAAUUAAGUGUCAGUCCAUAAUAAAUAAGUCAAUGCAAGAGGAUAUAAAUAAGGAAAUGUAUUCUUGACCAUUUUGGUAAAAUUUCACUGAGGUAUCAUUAGGCAGGUGGAUAUAAUAGCAAGAAAUAUUUUGUUUUGUUCUCUUUGGUUCCAUCUGUUCACAAGGAACUAAACUGUAUUACUCUUUUCACUUUUUCUUGCUCAGUUCUUUUUUGCACAUUCACUUCAGUCCCAUUCUGAUAUAUCUACCAAACCCUACAAAAUAUGUAUACACUAAAAUAUAGUUACAAAAAGAUGCUAGCUUAGAGGAGUCAAUAACCAUAUUCCUAAGCUAAGUUAUAAAAAACACAUUUAAAAAGCACAAUUUACAAUUAAAUUUACUAUACUCUUGGCAACCACUAUUUCGAUGUCUUAUUGAAAUAAGAGGUAAAUUAAUAAUUUGGUAUUCAAUAUGAUUUGAUUCCACCAAGAUGCACAUGAAAUAAAUUGCACUAUAUGAUCACUUGCUAAAAUUAGAAAAGAUCUCUCUGAAAAUUUUGUAAAAGUUUAGCAUAAAUAGAUAAAGCAUAAUCUAAAACACUCGGGAUGAGUUCUAAAAGAAGAUUCAAUUGAAGCCCUUUAACUAACCAAAAAAUAAACUACAAAACUCAGCAGUAGCUAUUGAAUUGGAGCUUGAAACAAAAGCCAAAAUAUGUCACAAGCAAACAGCAAAAAACAAGAUCAACUGACAAGUCAUGCCAAACACUCAAUUACGUGAUCCAAUAAGGGGUAAAAAGAAUGGAUAAAAGGAAACAAUUUCAUCGAAACUAGCAAAAAAUACAAUAUACUUCUUUAACUCCGUGUUGGAAUGAAUAUAAAUCUAAUUAUACUAAAAUAUAACUCCACUUCCAAACAGCAUGUUAAGAAUAUACUAGUUAGAAAUCAUUGAGCCCCAUAAAAAAGGACAUAUCUAUGAGUAAAAAUGUCUUCAUUUUAUAUAAUAUACAAGGGUAUAUAUGAAAUCAAAACAUUCACAUAGUGUUUGGUUGGAGGGGGGAAUGGAGGGAAGAAGAUUUUUUAAACUCAUCAUGUUUAGUUCAAUUUUUAGGAGGGCAGGGAAAUGGAGGGGGGCCAAAACCCCUCCUAACUCAAUUUUGUCUCCCCUCCAAAAGGGGAGGGAAUUGGAGGGGAAACGUUUCAAAUGUCUUUCCUCAUGUUCAGUUUCUCAAAAGAAGCAAGGACAAUAUAAGUAAAUAUGUUUUAAAAUCCCUCCCUUUCAAACAAGAAAGAGAUUACUUCCCCUCCCCUCCUCUUAACCAAACAUGAUAAGAUUUAAAACCACUUUCCCACCCUUCCCCUUCCCUCCCCUCCCCUCUUUUGAACCAAACACCCUCAAAGUAAUUUUAGUUAAGGCCGAAAUCAGAAUAGAAGGUUGUAAUCAAUUAACCAGGAUGGUACCGUAAAGCCUGCUUAACUAGCCAAGGGAGGCAACUACUAGUGUGGAUAGUAAUACCAAUAAAAUAACCAAACACUCUCCCAUUGUGUGAGGUUAGCUACAUGGAUUAUAAAAACCACAACUCUUUAGCUCUAAUUAUUAAAUUAUCUUCCAUCUCAUAAACCUUCCUCGCUCAUGCUUCUACUUAUUUUCUGCACACACACUCAAACCACCCAAGACAAGACUACAUUUAUCUCUAAUAAUUAUAUUCUUAAAUCUAUAUAAUCUCAUAUAGCCACUCAUAUCCUAACAAUUUUAUUUAUGCAAGACUAAGUAAACAUUCAUUCAUUCAUUCCAUCCACUCAAUGUAGACCCUAUCAUUGAUAUCUCCCUCUAACUUCUUAUUUUUGGGUGAUAAGAUACUCAAAAUGUGAAACUUGUGGUAUUUUGUAUUCUUCAAUUUUCACCUCUAAAAUAGUAUGUGUCGCUAACUAAACUUGCAUACCACAUCGUAUUCUGACACUAGAGUUGAUCCCUCAUACAUAUGAAUUUGAUUCCUUGAAUGUAAGCAAUCUGAACUCAUUUCAAUUGAAGAGUCUUCCGCAAAACCUCUUUAUCGUAUGAAUUCAUUAAUGAAAACAUCUAAUCUGUACCCAGAAAAACCCAUUUAAUGUAUGAAGAGAAAUCCAUAGCAUUAAUGUUUAUCUUUAAAAUAUAAAUGGAAGGGAAAAACAUGUAUUAAACGAUACAUUUAAAUCAAUAAUCCAUAUCAUCCUAAAUUACAAGAAUCACCACCACAUAAUCAUUUUUCUGGAAAGGCUAUUUCAAAUUACAAACAAAAUUGAAAGACAAAUAUAAAGUAGCAAAGGAAAUUCAAAUAUAGACCAUAUAUUUAUAAACAAGUAUAUCAGGAUAUAGGAGUUGCAAAUAUUAUGAAGCAACAGUGUUCCUUAAUGCACUAAACUUGUUGAUCUCUAGUAAAAUUUGACAACAUGAUCUCAUGUAAAUUAUUACUAUAAUGGAAACAUGAAGCUAAUUUGACAUUCAUGUGAAUACUAAACUUGAGAAAGGUCUUGAAGGAUUUGAGAAAAGAGAUUUUUCAAAAUUUCUUAGAAGAAUCAAUAUUAUACUUCAUGAAAAAUCUAGAAAUAAAUAAAUAAAUGCGUUCAGUUUAUAUUCACAAGAUAACUAAUGAGGAUGCAACCUUUUGUACAUGAUUCUAUAUAAGCUUAGAAUCCCUAUUUGAAUUUAAUAACAGUGAACUUUUGUUUUUGUAAAAAUUAUGGUUUAAAUUCAUAUAUAUAAUAAUGGAUUAUCAUAUAAGUGCAUAAAAACCAAAAUAUGAUCCAAAAGAAUAUUUUAAAAAUAACAUUGAUUGAUCACCCCAAAAUUGAGAGUACUACAUUUCAAGUAUACAUAUUUACUUGGAAGGAUCACCAUAGAGGCACUAACAAAUUCCUGGGGUAGGAUUAAACAAUUACUACCAUUGGAUUUUAUCAUGUAUGUAACAGGAGUAUGUGACUUGAAUUAACUUUUAAUUGCAUGUUUGAAAAUUCUUCUACAAUUAAUUCUAAAGUAAAAAGAGGUUAGAUUGCGUUUACCGGACGGAGAGUGAUAGAAAUAGGAUAUAUCUGCAUAAAACUUCAGAUGAAAAUUCCAGCCACAGCUUGUGCACAAAAUCAACCAUUAAAUCAUACCCAAGAUCUUGAUUAUAUCUGGAGAUAAAGGAAUAGCAAAAUAUUAAGGGGGAGGAGGAAUUAGAAUGAUGAUCACAUGCUCUAACUCAAGCACAAGAAAUUCUGCAGUUCCAGAUUCAGCAUAAAACAACCCUACACUACAAAGCUCACUUGAUAGGGUUUAUCACAUAACCAAAAGUCUUUUUUUUGGAAGGCCAAAUAAGACCCACUUGAAAUGCAAGAAGCAUAACCGGAGUUCAGUCAACAUUAUACCACUUACUGAGUUGGGGCACAAGAAUUAUAAAAUAUUGGGUGUGAAUAUGAAAUUAGAAGAUGAAGAUGAGGAUAGAUAGAAAGCAAGCAACGAUGGGAAGAAAAUUGGUGAGGACCAUAACUAAUCUACGAGCAGUAUGGAUAUGUUAAAAAAUGUGAAUUCGUGAUAUUAAAUAAUCAUCUAGAGUCAUCAAGAGUCACGCUUUCAGUUUAACAACAACAGACAAUAUUAUUUUAUGUUUUCGGUUUAACUAUAUGUAUCAUCCACUAUCUACUGAUGCAAUAUCAACUCGGGUGUGAGAAAUAUCACACCUAAGAAUCGAACUUUCGACCAUAAAUAGAUUUAAACGACAACUUUUAACCACUGCAAUAACCACCACAACUGAGCAUAGAUAAUGUUAAAUUGAAUCAUGAGUAAUGUAUUGAUGACUGGAAUAUAAUAUAAUAUAAAUCAAUUGAAAGAGAAAAAAAUGGAAAAAAAUAAGCGCCAAAGCAACAGUAGAGACAGCCUUACACUGUUCGAUAAAGAAAUGAUAUAACCUGUGUUGCAGUGUUGUUCAGCUCCUUCAUCAGAGAGUCAGUCGAGAGAGAAAGAAAGGUUUCAGGUUUCAGGUGGGCUGGGGUUUGGGUUUGGAACAAGAUAACAGAGCCAGAAUGAAGCAAACUUCCGGCACUGGAAGGUGACAGAGAGAGCAGUGAGCACACAAAAGCAAUAGUGUAUGCCUAUACAAUUUGCCUCUCUGUGCUCACUCUCUUCUGUCAAUUUCUAUGUCCCAAAACAGAAAACAAAAAACCACCCAAAUUGGGAAAGGGAAAAAAGCAUCUCACUUUGGAGAAAAAAUCAGAUCUGAAGGAAGGAAGAGAGAGAUACCCAUUAAUGGAAAAAAAACAAGUAUUUAUGAUCUACUCACCUACCAUCUUCAUGAGUAUGAUCAGAACUCUGAGAACAUAUAUGAAUAUGGAGAUUUUAUUAGGGUUUGCUAGCUACCAAACAUGGAAAAAACUCAAGGAAACAAAAAGGAGAAAGAUUAGAAUGAAGACAUGAAAUCAAUAGAGAUCAGAAGAAAAGAAAACAAAGCUAAAGAGCACAGCCACAAACUCCAACCAAAACCUUGUUUGAUAUUUCUCUCUCUUUCUCUCUUUGUGUCUCUGUCUUCAUUCAUUGAGAGUCUGAGACGAAGGUGUACCUUGGUGACAAGAGAGGCAACCGUGGCACUCAUGCAACCAGUAGGGUUGACACGUAGAGAUCCACUAGGAAUCUGAAUCCGUUCUCUUGUACAGAACAGAGUAAAGAGAAGGAAGGAAACAAGGGUUGCACCGUUUUGAAGAGAAGAGAAAGAGAAGGUUUCCAAAAUCCCAAUCCAACCCCCAAAACGGAGGAGAUUGAGCAGCCUUUGCGUCCACUCACUCACUCAGUCAAUGAGGGGACCUUUCCUUUCCUUUAAAUACUUAAAUCUCCACCUACAAAUCAGAUUCUUAAAUUCCUUUGAAUACUUUUUUUUUUUGAACGGCAAAUUCCUUUGAAUACUUAAUUACCCACUUAUUGUAUGACAAAUUAUCAUCAUUACUUGCCAUCACCCUUGAAUUUUCCCGUUUGGUAUUUGAUUGUUAAUUUAUCCUAAUAAUAUAACAUUAUAAGAGUUUUUUAGGGUUUUUAUGUUAUAGUAUAAAGUUUGAUAGUAUUAGGCCUGAUAAAAUUUUAAUAUUAUACAUUGUUUGGUGACAUACUAUAUAACUUAUCAUUUCGUUUAAACUAAUAUAAAUUUAUAUUUUGUGAAGUAUUGAAUAAUUAUAAUUAUGUAUUAUAAAAAUGAAGAUGUUGUAAGUGGGUGGUAAAGCUAGCGGUGGCGGCCAAGAUGGCUGCGAUAAUGGCGGUGGUGAUGAUGGAGGGUGAUGGUUGUAGAUGUGGCAGAGGUGAUGCUGUAGAGUGGUGGUUAGAGUGGUGGCGACGACAGUGUUGGAAGUGAUGGUGUUGGUGGCGGUGGUGGGAGGUUGUGGUGGUGUUGGUGGGGGGUUGUAGUGGCGAUAAUGGUUUAGGUGGUAGCAGCGGUUGUGGUGGUGUUGGUAGUGAUGGUUGUGAUAGUGGUGGUCGUGGCAAUGGUGGUGGUGGCGGCGGUGGAGGUAGGUGGUUGUAGCGGUAAUGGUGGUGUUGAGUCAUGGCAGUAUGUAGUGGUAGCAGCGAUGACAGUGGCGGUUGAGGUGGUGGAGGCGGCGGUGGCGGUGGUGGUGAUGGAAGGUGAUGAUGCUGGUUGCAGUGGUGGGUAGUGGUAAGAGUUGUGGUAGUGGCAAUAGCACGACAACGACAGUAGUGGUAGCGACAGCGGUUGCGAUGGUGGCAGCGGAGGUGGUGGCAGCGAUGACAGUGGCGGUUGAGGUGGUGGUGGAGAGUGGUGGUAGCAAUGAUGCAGGGUGGUGUGGUAGCGAUUGUGGAGGAUUGUGGUUGUCGCUUAUACAUCACAUUCUUAUCAUGUUUUAUCUAUCAUCUAUAGGAUGGAUUAAAUAAUCCAUCAUUUUAAUGUAUAAGAGAGGAUUGAUGUAUAAGUUUAUACAAUUGUUAGCAUCAAACAAUGGAUAAGUCCAUAAUGUAUUGUAAAAACUUAUACUAUCAUGCCUAAUACGACAUAUCAAACGAGUCCUUAGUGUUCUAACAAAUCAAACAUGGGUUGGGUUAGAUUUUCUGAUUUUUGCUUUUGGAUCGAACCAAAUCAAGACAAUCUCAACUGGGUUGGUUCGGUUCAGAUAGUCAAAUUCAGAAUAAAAAAAUAUUAUUGCGCACGAAAUUUAUUCUAAAAUGUGAAAAAAUAUAAAAACUCCAUAUAAUCCAACAUCUCUAAAAGAACAUAACAUUCUUUCAAAAAAAAAACAUAACAUUCUAUAAUCCAUAUAAUUCAAAAUAAGCAAACUAAAACCAACAUCUCCAGUACAAACAUAAAUAAACAACAUAAUAUUAAACCCAUAAGUAACUUAGGUCUUAACAAACAAACAUUAUGUAGUAGGCUAAUGCUCUUUGGGAUGAAUGGUAACAAAAAAUAACUGUUCCCAAUACCAUCAAGUUUAUUCAGAUUCAUCGGAUAUUCGAUCCUCAAAUCAUCACCCAAACCGAUGUUGAUCGGAUACAGUAAAUACAAUCUGCACCGGACCAAUGCCCAAAUCCAAUCCACUUUUAACGUGUUUGGUUUGGUUUAAUUUGAUCGGGUAUACGGACUGGACCUUACCCGUUGACACUCCUACCUAAAUGGCUCAUGACAUAUGAUGCCUAACUCCUAAGCCAAACACUUCUUAUAUUUAAAGAAGUCUUGAAGCAAACUUGGAAAAUAACAUCCCUUAUAUAGUGAAGUUUGUCUUGAGAAGUGUUGGAAUCAAGUGUUAGAGUCAAGUCCCACAUCGAAGAAACCAAGGUGAGAGGGAAAGUUUAUAAGGAGAUGGACCCAUAAACCUAAUGCCUUAAGGUUUUGGGUUAAGAUGUGGAGUCCAAGAUCUCCUUGGUGUUUCCCCUCGACCUAAACUAAAGAUUUUAGCCCAAGAUACAAUGAGCCAAAUCUCAACAAGAAGUUCUAGCCAGCACAGAUCAGACAUGGACUCAAUUAUGGUAUGCUUAUGAAAGUAACAACUUAUAAGGGACUAGGGGUGAAAAUUUUAAGCUAUUAUAUAAAGAGGGAGUAGAGCUUUUGAUAAUUCUAGGUCUUACUGAGUUACCUUAUUUAAGAAAGAUGUAAGCAUAUGUCUCUCCAUUGAUACAAAAUCAAACAAAUGUGACAUACAUGGAUUCACUCUGUAGCUCUUCCAAAUGGUUCAAAAUGGUAGAGUGUAGGGCAAAGCAUAUAUGUCAGCAUCAGGCAAAUAAUGGGCAUGUGGUUGGAUUCCUUGAUAGAUGCCAUUGCCAGUGUCAUUGCUAACAUGUUUGGUUUUUGUUGUUUUGCUUCCAGACACAUUUUCCCUAUAAAGCCACUCUUCAUCUGCAACUUCAGUUGAAACCAAUUCCAUUGGAGGAGGGACCCAAUCCACAAUCAACUCUCUGUACUUUGCUUCGGUCUUCAACAUGCUUCUUUCAAAAGUUGACAUAGAUGCUUUCAAGUUCUCAUUUGCAACAAAUUUACCCUUUCCCAUAUAACAAGUGUCACCUACAUCAGAUUCCAUUUUCUGAGGGGCGACUUGGGAAGGAGAAGCAGAGAACUUCACUUUCCCAUUUGCAUGAGGAGAAGCAGGGGACUUCUCUGCAGCUGCAUAGAACUUCAUUUUCCAAUUUGCAGGAGGUAAUUCACAUUUGCCAGAGUAGUCACCACCAAACUUGUCUUUCCCAUUUUCAUGCUUGUUGUCAUCAUGGCCAAUCCUUUCCAUCCCAGCCUCAUUUUCAUUGCGUUCAAGUUUCCUCCUUCUCUUCCUUUCUUUUCUUUCCUUCUUCCUUUCUUUCCUUUCCUUCCUUCUUUUGUGCUUCAAAAUGCCAAAACAAAAAGUCAGCAUGUCAAUUAAAAAAGCUUAAAAUGGUCAAAUAUCUUUGCAAUAAUUAUUUACAUUGAUUUAGAUGAUGAGAACAAGUCUUCAUCAGUUUCUACAAAUUGAACUAACCCUGUCAAAAGUGAGAAUUGCAUGUGACAACAUUAUGGGUAACAAUCACCAAUUUCAGGUUAAUUCCAUAGAGCAAAUACAUACCAGAAAAAUAACAAAUCUACUAAUGAAGUAAUAUGAGAUAACAUCUGAUUUUUAAAAUCAAGGGAUAAAGAAAGUCUUAAAUACAUUUAAAUUUAUAUGUAAUCUUGAUUUUAAGAAUAACUAAUAUUAUUUUAAUAUAAUCAUAAUAUGAAAACAAAUCAAAACAAUAUCUGAAAAUAAAAUCUAAAUCUUAACCAGAAAUCUCCUCUUAAUUGCAACUAUUAUAAGCACAAAUAGGUCAAAAUUUUAAUCAAAAUCAGCCCCAAUAGGUCAAAAUUACAAUUUGUUUAGACCAUUCAUAUUUGUAUAAAUUUCAUAUAUAAUUUUCUUACAUGUCUCCGAAUCAUGUUUAUAACCAGCUACCAAUAGUCACUACACUAAAUUAUGAAUGCAAAGAUUGUUACGACUAGACACUUCGGUGUGUCAUACAAAACAAACGAAGAAUAAUUUUAAAAACUGCUACCAAAUCGAAGUACAAAUAUAUCUGAUCCACUCAAAGAUUCCUAUAGGCAUUGAACUAAUAAACCUUAAUUGCUCUUAUAUACGCCCAAAGAAUAUGCAAAUCUAAUAUAAAAAACCCAAUCGAAGUAUAAAUAUAUCUGAUCCACUCAUAAAUAAGAAGAAAAACUUUCAUUUUCAAAGUGUCAAUAAAUCAUCUAUUCCUGCUUCGAUUAUAAAGAAAUGGAGCAGAUGAGUAGUCAAUGCUUAUGGUUCUAUUAAAACUAAGUUUUUUUUUUCCAUUUCCUGUGCACAUUUUACAUGAAUCGCAAUCCAAUAAAUUUAAAAGAAAAAAACUUUUACACGACGUUGGAACUGACCUCUAGUUGUUUUAAGAGUGCAUCACCUCCUAUACCAUCUUUCACAUAGUUUGGUGGAGGGAAAGGUAGACAUCUUGACAUUUUUUGAGAGAGAAAAAAAAUCAAUUAUCCCAAUUUUUUGUGCGGAAAAUUUGUUUGUUCACACCUAAUACACUCGCAGACAAUAGAGGGAUAUAAAGAUAUAACAGAGUGACAAGUCGAAAUGUGGUAGAUGAUGUAAUAUGAAAGGAAAAAAUGAAAUUUAAAAAGAUAACAUCAUUGAAAUUGGAACCCAAGGGUAAAUGGAUGUAAAUCUAUUAAAUUGUUUUUGUGCUGAACUAAGCACAGUAGCUUUGAUUUUACCGUUACUUGAUGGUAAAUGCAGGGUAUCAUAGAAUAUUUAAGAUUAUACACUAAAAAUUGCGAUCUAAUAUAUUGGGAAGGAAAGAAAACCUGAAAAUGCUUUUAGGUUAUUAUUAUUUUCAUAAUUCAUCAGAAAAAGUUUAUUUUUCCCUGUUUUGUCAGCCGCUGUAAUACACAAUUUUUCAAAGUUAACUCUUUUCACAUAUUAAAAAUGCAGAAAAAUAUUACUAUUGGAAUGGCACCAUCUUACUCUAUCCCUCUUUCAAUUCCAGUCGGAGCUAAAACAAGUCUCACAAGUCUAAAGAAAGAAUUCCCCUCACUCUCACUUCGCUGAACAAAGCCCACUUUCUAGGGAUUUUAGAUGGGUUGGGUUUCAAUCAAAUAUCUCAUUUGAUAAAUAUUAAUAUGUUCCCAUUUGUGGUAAAUAAUAAAAAAAAAAUAUCAAAAUAUAUAUAUUCCCAGUUAUAGUAGAUAUUAAUAGAAAAUACUCAUCUAAAUUAAUGUGAUUAAUUACUACAAGAUUGCUUUUCAACUGUCCAUUAAAGAUUUUGGCAUGAGUAUUAAACAAACAGUAAUAAUUAAUAAGUAACCGAUGAAAAGUCAAUGUAAAUAAUUAGUACUCCAUAAACAAUAAUUAUUAUUAUAAUAUUUAUAUAUUAUUUUUCUAAAGAAGGAAAAAGAAAAAAAAUAAAUUUUGAAUAUUGUGUAAUAAAUUAAGAAAUAAAUUAAAGAAUAAGUUGCCGAAUCAGAAAAUGACCUUUAAAUUUAAUUAAAAUAAAAAGGAACAUUAAUGCUUAUAAAUACGUGACAUUCAAUUAUUAAACGUCUGUGUAAAAAUAUUUUACAACGACAGUGCACAGUCAUUAAACUUUAAAUUAAAUAUAGUUGAUUGAGGAUUUCAUUCAUUCAUAAUCAUAAUGUAUGUGUAAAAAUAUUUUACAGCGAGACAGUGCAAAACCAUUAAACUCUAUAUUAAAUUUAGUUGAUUGAGAAAAGAGCAAGAAGAAGAGAUAUUUUGAGAGAGAAAUAAAUUGAAGGAUCCAAUUGUAGCAUAAAAAUAUUUGAUUGAUGGAUAAACAUGGGCCGUGAGUGGGAUCGGACCCAAUUUGGAAGAACUCAUUUGAGUUUAUCUGAUAACAUAAACUCUUAUAUCAGUGUUUGAGAGAGUUUAUGUAACGAGCUUAUGGCAUACCAAAAGUUAUUUUGAGCUAAUUUUCAUAAGAUAUUCAGAAUAGCUUAUGAAAAAGAGCUUAUGCUUAUAUAUAGCUUAUUUUCAAUUUAUUUUAAUAAAUAUUUUAAAAUAGCUAAUGAACAAGCGCUUAUUGUCAAGACAAUAAAUGGUUAAUUAAGUCGUGUUUCAAACGGGGCCUAUUGUACAAUAAAGUCAGCAUGCAUUUUACACUCAAUGUUGGAUUAGAAAGGGUAUGAACUCACUCAUAGAAGCAUUAGCUAGGCAGGUAACCAUUACCAAGUAGUUAAGGAAGAUGAAUUGGAAGAAUCAUGAUUCAUGAUUGAGCUCAAAACCAAAAUACUAGUAAUUUACAAGGAAGGAACAUGAGAAAUCUAAUCUGCCCAAUUUGAUUUAAUGUUACAGACUUACAGGGAAGGAAGAAAGCAAAAAGCUAGCUACUAGGCAAGCAAGCAUUCCUCCUAUUCAUUCAUAAUCAUAUCAUAACUAGUACUAUAUAGUUUGGUUUAAUUACAAAUUCACAUUCACAUGACGACACAGGCGGUGGGGUUUUCGUCGCUGAAAGCGGUGGUGUACCGGACCUCCGUGGAGCUGGCACGUGUGAGCUGGGAAUACUGAGUUUGCUCAGCGUCUCUGACAUAACCAGAAGGUGCUCUCUUAUCAUACACACCAGGGGCAUAGGGGUGAGCAACGACGUCGUAUGGAACAUAGGGCCAGAUCUCUGCCUUUUUCCCAGUGUGGUGAGCGAUGCGGGACACAACCUUGUUGGGUUCCACAUACCCAGUAACGGUGACCUUGCUGGCCUUGCGCUCAAUAUCCACCGAGUUCACUCCUUUCAUACCCUCCACCGCCUUCCUCACCUUCCUCUCGCAUCCGUCGCAGUCCAUCUUCACUUUCACCUCCACCGUCUGCAUCCAUCAGUAUCACACAUAUAUACAUGAAUAAAGAAAUAAUGAAAGAAGAAGUAAUUUAUGGAUCUGAGAUCUAUGGAUUGGAUUACGUACCUGCAAUUGUUUGCGUUUUUUGUGUGAACUUCCGCUGGAGCAGUCAAAGAGAUCAGAGAUGUGAUCAAGAGCACCCAUUUUUGUAAAUCUAAGUAGUAUAAUUUCUAGCAGUAACUGAACACUACUGAACAAAGAACUGUGAGAGAUUCUAAUUCUAUGCUUUGGUUUGGGCAAUUUUAUAAGCAAGUACUGCAAACAGAUAACAACACAGAUUGAUUAGCUUAGGGGAAUGAAUCUGAGACGUCCGUCCGUUGGAUGAGAUUUGAAGACACGUGUCCAACUCUAGUGAACUGUGAUGGUUACAGAAAUCGAUAGUAACAAGUUUUUUUUUUAUUGGAAAAUGUUAGUGGUUCGUGGCUAGUAAGUUAGAAAAUUCCUUCAAAUUCUUCUUUCAGGAUUUGAACACUGGACUUUCCCAUCCCAAACUCGUAUGUCCCCUAGUUCUUAUUACUUGAGUUAACUCUCGGGAACAUCCAUGGUAGCAAAUGGUGGAUUGGAUUCAUUCACACACGGGCCUAAGCGAAGCGUGGAACAGGGGAAGAGACAAGUGAGUAGUGUCCCAAAACAGUGUCUGUGGGGACGCGUAACGCUGGAACCCAAUAUAUGGAACGCGCUACAUUUGGUCCCAUUCCACAUUUUAAUUGUUUCCUUUUCUUUUCGGCUCUUACGGUUGUUGUUAUCACAACAGACUCCAUUACUUUUCCAUUAAUCAUUCAUAAUCACAUAUUUGAAUCUCCACAUUGUAGGUUGGGCCCAACACAAAUAUCUUCAAUGCUAUACAAACAAAAUAUCUUCUCUUCUCACCCUGGCCUCAAUACUAAAUUCUUCUUAGAGCAUCAGCAACAAAGAAACUAAAAUUUCUUUAUGACAUGUUAUCUGAAGUAAAAUUUUUUAACUGUUGCAGAAAAUUAAGUUUCUCUACAUGACAAGCAACUUUGCUCCAAAGUUUCUUUCUAGAGAAAUUUGCUCAAAGUUUCUCUUCUAAAUUUAAUGAUUAAAAAAUAAAUAAAAAACAAAUAAAAAAGUAAAUAAAUAGGUAACUGGAUUUACAAGAAAGUAGUGGGGUAUAUUGUGGGAUCCAUUUAAGAAACUUUUUAGAAUUUCUGGAUUAGAGUAAACAGUGAGUAGAGUUUAUGAAAGUGGUUUAAAUAAUGUGGCAUUACCAAAAUUUAAAUUAGAAACUCUAAUGAGUUUCUUGGAUAAUGAUGCUCUUAAACUACAAAAUGCAUAUGUAAACCUUUAUUUACCGAGUUACUAGUUAACAAUCAAAAUUAGGUAAUCCUUUACUCGGUCCUCUCUUUUGUUUUUAUGUUGUUCUAAAUGAGUUAUUAUUUUUGGAAUUACGAAGGUCUAACUAAACUCAAAAGUUAGCUCAAGAGUUGAGGGUUGCUCUACGUUUUAUAAUCACGUAUUUAGUCAUAUUUAUAACCAAUGUGUAACUUCUAGAAAUUAUUAUGGUGCUAGCUACAGUGCUCUUCAAUCAUUUUAUUGCUAUUGUAAAUGAAAAACUUAGCUUCCUUUUGGGUCGGUUGAUACUGAAAAUCUUAGUGGGCUCACAGAAUAUUGUUGUUGGAUCUCGGAAUGAAUUGGGCUAGCCCAUCGAUAAAAAAAAUAGGAGAACGCAAUCAUUAUAUGGUUGUUUGACAAAAACAAAAUCAUUAUUUGGUUAUGAAAUAUAAGUGAGAUUUUGACAAAAAAAAAAGAUAUUUAACAUUUCGAUAUAUUCUUUAAUAAAGUUAUUAAAUAUUUUAAUAUUAAUUAUUUCCCUAUUUGAAGGAAAAAAAUUAAACGAAAGAAAAAUUAAUGGUUCAGCUCAAACUGUUUGAAAUUUGAUUGAAUGUAAAUUUUAAACAAAAAGAUUAGAUGAUAAAAAGCUAUUGUUUAAAAGGAUUUUUUCUCUGCUCAUAAGUCAAUUAGCUACUCUGGUUUCUGCGAUUUUCUAGAGGCUUUUGAAUGACCUAGCUUUGCAUCAUGUUUUUAGCUUUUUGCUUUAGUGUGCACGCUUGUUUUUCAUUUCCUCAUGUAUUUGUGAAUUGUUGCAUCAUUCUUAAAGAUUUAGUGCCGGUUUGUUUUUCCAUUCACUUGAAAGUGAAAGUACUACUGUCCAACCCAACACAAGAGUUCCAUUGGGAAAAAAAGGGCCUAGGAAUUCAGGAUUCUACAUGGCAUGGCAACCCAACUUAUACCAACCCAUAAAUAAACAAUGUCUUUAUUUUCAUGUUGUUCCUUUUGUUGAGAAUUCAAGUGUGAGUUAGAGUCUCACACUAGUUAAAUAUGGGUGAGGUAUAGACUUUAUAGAAAUGGAACCCAUAAACUCAAUGUCUUAAGGUUUUUAGUAAAAUUAUUGCGUCAGAUUCUCUGGACGUCUUAUUUCUUUGGUCCAAGAACUCCCUCUGUCUUCUCAACCCCUUUGCGUAUUUAUUUAAACAUUUUGAUAAAAAAGAAUUGGCUUACUCUUUGAAAUCAAUUCAUUCCAAUCUAUAAAUACUUUUAUGGUACACCAUAUAUAAACUUUGAUUUUUAUGUAUAUACCAUGAGUUCAUGACACCAACCCUGGGAACUGGGAAGGACCUGAAUUUUGGUGCAGUAAAAAAGUUACUAAAAUGAGUUCAGUUAACAAAUCAGAGCUGUUAAAUAAUAAAGAUCACAAGACUCAAUUAUUUUGGGGUUGAUGUCUGAUUUAUUAGAUCGAUAUAUUUGUGCUGUUCUACAAUCAUCCAAUAUCUUCAUUUCACUUGCCUCACUAACUAGCUACACCAUUUUGAACUGUACCAAAUCCGGUCCCCUAUAUAUGUGAUGAUUUAUUGAAAGACUUAUAUGAUAUGAAAAUCUUGUUAAGGUUAUAUAAACAUGCCAUCUUUGAUACUGGUUGGUAUUAUUUUUUUUGAAAUAUUACUGGUUGGUAUUCGUAACCAAUAAAAGGUGCAAGUUGUAGCGGGGUGUUGACUUAUAGUCAAUGUUACAAGAGAUCAAUUAAGCACUCUAACCUCUAUCUCAAGUCUCAUUACUCUGUUUUGGGUUAGGCAAAGACAAGCGACCCCAUCCCAAUCCCAAUAUAUAUCCCAAUCCCAAUAUAUAUCCGAAAGGGGUCUUUAAAUUUGCCCACAAACAGAGACUUCCAAAAUUCACAUGAGUUGCGUGCGUUGGCCUCCAAUGUAGUGGUAUAUGUAUAAUGUAUAGGAGAAAUCAAUAUCGACAUGAUCGCACCAACCAACACUCUAUAUAGUAUAUACCCACUGAAUUGAAUUUUCUUCCACUAGACCAGACCAAGGCUAUGUUUGAAACUAAAGAAAUUAAACAUGACUCAAGAAAACAGUGUGAAAAAGUACAUUGUCUCUAGAAAACACACAUGAAAGAAAAGAUUANNNNNNNNNNNNNNNNNNNNNNNNNNNNNNNNNNNNNNNNNNNNNNNNNNNNNNNNNNNNNNNNNNNNNNNNNNNNNNNNNNNNNNNNNNNNNNNNNNNNNNNNNNNNNNNNNNNNNNNNNNNNNNNNNNNNNNNNNNNNNNNNNNNNNNNNNNNNNNNNNNNNNNNNNNNNNNNNNNNNNNNNNNNNNNNNNNNNNNNNNNNNNNNNNNNNNNNNNNNNNNNNNNNNNNNNNNNNNNNNNNNNNNNNNNNNNNNNNNNNNNNNNNNNNNNNNNNNNNNNNNNNNNNNNNNNNNNNNNNNNNNNNNNNNNNNNNNNNNNNNNNNNNNNNNNNNNNNNNNNNNNNNNNNNNNNNNNNNNNNNNNNNNNNNNNNNNNNNNNNNNNNNNNNNNNNNNNNNNNNNNNNNNNNNNNNNNNNNNNNNNNNNNNNNNNNNNNNNNNNNNNNNNNNNNNNNNNNNNNNNNNNNNNNNNNNNNNNNNNNNNNNNNNNNNNNNNNNNNNNNNNNNNNNNNNNNNNNNNNNNNNNNNNNNNNNNNNNNNNNNNNNNNNNNNNNNNNNNNNNNNNNNNNNNNNNNNNNNNNNNNNNNNNNNNNNNNNNNNNNNNNNNNNNNNNNNNNNNNNNNNNNNNNNNNNNNNNNNNNNNNNNNNNNNNNNNNNNNNNNNNNNNNNNNNNNNNNNNNNNNNNNNNNNNNNNNNNNNNNNNNNNNNNNNNNNNNNNNNNNNNNNNNNNNNNNNNNNNNNNNNNNNNNNNNNNNNNNNNNNNNNNNNNNNNNNNNNNNNNNNNNNNNNNNNNNNNNNNNNNNNNNNNNNNNNNNNNNNNNNNNNNNNNNNNNNNNNNNNNNNNNNNNNNNNNNNNNNNNNNNNNNNNNNNNNNNNNNNNNNNNNNNNNNNNNNNNNNNNNNNNNNNNNNNNNNNNNNNNNNNNNNNNNNNNNNNNNNNNNNNNNNNNNNNNNNNNNNNNNNNNNNNNNNNNNNNNNNNNNNNNNNNNNNNNNNNNNNNNNNUUUGUAACACCCCGAUUUCGGUGGCGUCACUUUAGUAACCAAAAAGAAAUUAAAGCGGAAAAACGUGAAUAUUUUUUUUUUGAUGAAUUGUUUAACUGAUAAAACUACGAACUUAAUGAAAUAAAACUCAAGAUAAAAGACAGCAUGACUAAUGUACAAUAUAUAAUUACAGCCCCCGUUGUAAGUAGCGAACCACGUCACGAGUAUCCUCCAGUGACGGGAAGUGACAGAAAGUAACGCCCGUAGGCAAUAUGUACAAUCCAAAAGGAAAGGUCAAGUGUCCGCAACACAAUCCCUCAAAAAUGAGAAUAAGUCAGCCCAAACGGCCUAAAACAAGACCCCCUAGUCCAACCAACUCUCUGUGAUUUCCGUAGAGAAACCACACAAAAAGCUAUCGGUCAGGAAACUACCCUGUCCCCAAAUGAAACAUGACGGUCAGAGCUAUGACUCUACUCCUACACUAAUCAUGUCUAGAGGAGCUCACACCAGCACUCACAACUACAUGCUAGCAUGGUCAUCGUCCGAAUCGGAAUCCAGAACGACUAAGUCAAUUUACAACAUCCUCCCUCCUCUUGCUACCGCGACACGCUCCUGUGCUGGCCUCACGGGCUUAGGGCCCGAGCCAUGGUCAUCAAUGACAGCAACAGUGGGUGAGCUAGACUCCGGAGAAGUCCCUCCCACAGGCUCCUCCUCUGAGGGGUCCUCAUCAUCCGAAGAUGACGGUGGUGGUGGUGCUCCUACACCGAGUCCGCAGUGCACGCCGGGUGGCAGGUUGAAGCUCACAGUGUAUCUCCUCAGCACUCCUUCCGUCAAGUGUCCCAGACGGUCGACACGGUCCUCCAUAAUCCUCCCCGAGUAAGUCGCUCGGUGGCCAGCGGGGUCGACCACCCAUGAGUCGGGGUCAUCCUGAUCGAGCAUUUCGAAUCUAGUCCCCCCCGAAGGAUGAACCAUCGUGAACCAGUCUGCCAUGGACAUCUGACCAAGGGCGUAGUCCGCCAAAACACACACAGAAGACGCGAGGGUCAACUCCAAAGAAUUAUGUAAGUAAUAACUCCAAUAGAUACAGUUUAAGGGAUAACUACUUAGGCUUAGUAGUUAGUGAUAGCAUCAUAACAUUGUAUAUCUCCCAAUGAAUAUAAAUGACAAUAAUAACAAUUAACAUGCAUCAAGUAAGAUUAACAAGUAUCAAUCACACUCGGCAACUAAGUCAGUAUGCAUGUUGCAUGAAUGAGAUGCCGGUUGACAAGAUGCAUUCCGGAGGGAUGAGCAUCAACGGAUCAGCCCUAACACCAGCCACGGUGGGACCAUUUCGGCCCGCGUGCCUCUUACACCAACAAACAACGGUAGUCAGAUCAGCAGUAAACCCGAAGGUCUGCCAUUUCGGUCUGCUACUAAGAAUCACCGCAGUGUUCUUACGUGGAAAUCCGGGUCUUAUGACCAUUUUGGAAUCCACCGAGGUCCGGCAUCCCACCGUGUAUUAACCUCUUAAUGUGUGCAUGAAUGCAAAGUGAUUAGCCAAACAACGUCUCCGACCUCACUCGACACGUCGCCACGUGUUCUAGCUAACUUAUUGUCUCUAAAGGCAUACCCUAAGGCAAAUGUCGAUUCUGCGACAAAAGACAAUUAAUUAUAAAACACAUUAUCUCAUGAUGAUUUCUCGAAUCAUCCGACUCAUCUCCAUCCGAUGGUCAAAACUGCUCAGCGAGCAAAGAGUAUCAACAUACUCGGAAACUACCCGUUUCCCGGCUUAUCUUUUAGAUAUCCCAACAACAAAACUGCUCCUCGAGCAAAAGAGUAUCAACAUACUCAGAACUUAUUAGUUUCCUCAACACUUGGACUCGACGACACUUCUCAUUUUCCAAAACUAAGAUUUGAAUCCUAAGCUUUCCUUCGAGAUGGUUAUCAUUAUUUAAAGAUUUAGAGGUUGUUUAAUGUCUUAUGAAUUUUCCUUGUAAAAUAGUUUUCAUUUAGUUUUAUCGCAAAUCUUAUGAGUUUCAAAGAUCCCAUAAUCCCAAAUAACUCUCAGAGAAUGUCUCGAUCCACUAAAACAAUAACGAGGCCCGAAUCUCCGUUCGUCCCGUCAGACUUCCCAAAAUCUCAUAAUAAAUUUGGCAUAACAUGCCCGUUAUCCUCACUCGGCAGUACAACAUAUAUAUGUGUAAUUGCAUAGUCAAAUUAGCGCAAUCCAACAGUCCUGGCACAUAUAUCAACACAUUCUAGAUUAACCAUGUAGCACUUAGCGUAUAGGGCAAAUAUCACACAUCCUAGUUUAACCAUUUAGCACAUAGCAUGUAAAUCAAUCUCAAAAACAAUCAAGAGAUGAAUAAUCAUCAUUGUCAGUCGAAGCCUCAGAAAACAUUUUCCCAGUCAAACACAAACAAGUGCAUAAACAGUAAAUCAAGUCGAAUUUGUCGACACCUAAAGCAUUAACUAAUAGUUCAAUGAGUAGCCCUCACCUGCAGUUCCUCCAGCGUUAUCCUCAAGCGUUCCUUCACACUCUACGCCUUCCUCUUCUUGAAACUCCUCAAAUGAACCUUAGAGCAAAAACCACAUAAUUCCAUCAUAAUCAGUCAGAAACUCAGCACUCAAUACUCACUAAGGUUACACGAAGUAUCAUAUACUCCGAAGUACGAUAAUCUAACGCGAUCGGACAAGUUUUCGAAAAAGGAAUUUUUCCCCUCCCUUGGAGAGCUCACGGCCACACACUUUAAUUGUGUGCGCCGAUUUUUCUUCGAUCAAACUUGGUUCCUAGGUUAUCAUUAGUCGUAACUAAGGCGAAUCUAAACUCGGAAAAAUUAUCGGAUCGAAAACUGUCGCAGGGGUAUUUUGGUCAAUAUUUUUAGCUCAGAAUUUCAAAAUUGGAAAUUCGAAAAACAAAUUGGAUGAGGACGUCACCAACGACGUUUAUGACAACUAAUCCUACUAGCGCUAAGCUAAGUCGAGAGUUUUCAGUAUAAAGGAUGAAACUUUGUCUAAAAAUGGGUAUUUGGAGCAGAAUUGAAACUCGGCGGCAAUUCGGCGAGAAUCGGCGAAAUGUAAUCCGCUAAACAUGCUCUUGGGCACGUAGGGAAGAGGUUUAGAUACAAAGAUGAAGUUAUUUGGACAGUUUUACAAAAAGCUCAAAACUUAGAGCACAGAAAGACAUAGUGAAAAACGACGGAAUUGACGAUCAGAAGUAAGGAUUAACAUCUAUACCUCGAUACCUUCAAGUAGCAAAUGUCAGAGCAACGAUCAAGCAAGAAACGGCGAAAAUCUUCUCUUCCUCCUCCUCCUUGAAGCUCGCGGGUUUGGGUGAUGGAAAUGGUGAAGGUUUUGAUUUUUUUCUCCUAUUUAUAGGGGAUGGAAAAUGCGGGAAAAUGAAAAUUUCGCGAUUUCGAUUUUUCCGGCGCCAUCCUCCGUGAAUUAUAAGAUAGGUUUUGGCGACAGAAUUUCAAAACUCAAAAGAGGUUUCUUGGAAUUAAGGUAAACAAUCCAAAGUCGGUGUAAAUCUAUUUUACCCGAAAAACUACUUUUUGCAGUGGAUGUCGGAAGACAAAACUUCCUUCUGAAGAAAGAUUGGAAACAUCAAGAGAAAUGGGUGUAUGCGUGUGGAAUCUUCAUUUGAAGCUCCGAAUAGAAAAAGUAUUCAUUGACCGUUUAUUUUAGGUUUCUUGAACUAUCAGGGUUUUAGUUUCGGCAAACCUCCGAAGAUUAGAAUCGGACGUUCGUACAUUUCAGGGUUUCGCAUCGAAACGCUUGUCAUGGAAGGAUUAAGAGAAGUUCUAACAUUUCUCUAAAGAUUUUUGGAAUUAGUUUCCAUCGUGUCUUUAAGUGCAAAUUAGCUAUUUACUAGCGCUCUUGCCCUAGGUUUAAGCGUAUACUAAUCGUGCUAUAACUUUUAUCGACUUUGAUACAAUCCUUAGCCUUUUCCUGAACUUUCUCCUUCAUAAAUUUAUUCCAUUCAAUAAACACUUGUUCAGGUUUUCUUUCACGAUACAUCAAACCUAAUCGUGAAUAGAAAUUUUAUUCCCUUAUUCUAAACUUAAAAACUUGGGUCUAACAUCUUUUCUGCACCAGAAAGACCCUUAGCUUCAACCUCAGGAGGGGAAGGGCGCUUGACUGGGAGAGAACCGUUAGAGUCAUCCCCAACAUUAACAACGCGUCCAUGAACACAAAAUUAUUAAUAGCAAUCUCAUAUUCUAAGUGACCCCUGCACACCUGCCAUGAACACAAAAUUAUAAUUUCAGUGCCAAAGCUUAGGAAAUAAAGGACCAAACAACUGAAAGGAGCCAUGAACACAAAAUUACAAUUUCAGUGCCAAAGUUAAACAAAUAAAGGACCAAACAACUGAAAGGACUACUUAUGAUCACUUAUAAUAAUAAGCUUAUAUUAGCUGAUUAUUUUCAAAUGAAAAAGGUAGUUGUAAGGUGAAAGCCUAGCAACCAAAUGAGUUAUUGCUGUUGAAGAGAGUGAUGAUGCACGGAAAAAAAAACUCCUCUCUAUCUGUUCUUGCUUCCCCCUCUUACACAUAAAAAGUAGAGCUUCAUUUAGGGGAGGAGGGUACACUACACUCCUUCUACCCUCCAUAAUCUCCAUCAAAUCAACUUCUUCUCUUUCACGCUACAAUCUCUAGAGAACCAUUUUUCACAUCACCACCCAUCAACACCAUUAUCCAGUUAUAUUCUAUUUCAAUCCAAAAUAAGCAUGAUUCAGACAUGAGGAUGAUAAGGAGGAACACAAUUUCAGAAAUCAGAGACACAUCCUUAUAUACUAAUAGUGAUUCAUCAAAGCAAAAAAACUUAAGAGAUAGCAGCAUGUAGUUAGGCAACUCAUCAGCUGAGUAGUAUCUAGCAGGGUAAACUCUUUUAUAGGAACUGCAUAUUGAACUCAUGUGUUUCCCACAAAAGACUAUUUGGCAUAUUUUGGAAAACUAUCGUGGAUAGCUUGGUACGAAAUUUUCCACCAAUAACUAUGUAUUGUACAUUGGAAGCAUCCUGCAUAAAAAAUACUGAGACUUAGAAACGUAAUGCCUAAAUAAAUAAGAGAAGAAAGCAACUUCAUUUUCCUAUUAUCAAGAACAUGUCUGAUUCAAUGCAACUAUAUAUUUCCUAAAUUUUUCUUUUAGAAUUUCAUCAAUGGGUACUUUACUACUUUCCAUUCUCUUUUCAUCAAAAGAUGGAUCCUGGAAUAUACCUGGAUUUCCUAAAUAUGGUCUCCUCAAAGGAAGAGUUACUGGAUAUUCACUAUAAUAGUCCUUCAGUUAGAUUCUCACAACUUCUUUUCAAGUAUUCACAAUUCAGUCUGCUUUCAGCCUAAUCCUGCAUUAGUUGAACCAAAUUCAUUUGAGUUCUAAAACAACACAGAUAAAAAGAGAACCAUAUCCCACAUUUUUUUAUUGACAUAUGAGUGCCUCCAAUUGAUUUAAAAAGAAAUUAUUUAACUCAGCACACAUAAAUUAAAAUGGUCUAUCUGUAUAAUUGUAAAGAGCAUUUGCAACACUUCUGAAAAUAGGAUAGCAAUCAGCAUUAUUAACUCUAUUGUUGUCUUCUAUUUCAGAUGUAGGUGAUCUAAAACAUGGGGUCUUAGUAACAUUGGAUUUGGCAGGGAGAAAACUACUAUUUACUACUUAACUGUAGCUGCUGGAACUUCCCUCCAAAUGACUCUUACAAAUUUCAGUGGUAAAGAGUGCUAUAGUAAUCAGAAUAACAGAUGCCUCUUCUGGCAUGGAAAAGUCUCAUUGAAUUGGAAGGCCUCGCAGACAGAUUCAGUCAGAAUGAAAUAAAAAUCUACUAAUUUUUCUCCCCCUCACUUGUGAAAGAACAUACCAAAAAAUGCUUCAAAAAGGAGAAAAAAAAUCAAUUCCCUUUCUUCUUGGACUCUUAUAAAUUACAAAACAACUUUAGGGGCUAAAGUGGCCACAACUAAGUCACAGAAGCAAAGUUGGAGCAGAACGAAGACAAAUACGAUCAAUAAAAUACUACCUUAUGACUGGCAUGAACUCCAUCGGCACUCAUAACUUGGUGUUCCCAGCCUUGUAAGAGUAGCUACUGCUUGAAAGAUCGACAAAGACGAACUCGAAUACGAAAAACUACCAUGGAAUCUGUAUCGGCCUACAAAACCCAAAUUCCACAAAUCAAAAUCCAGGCAAUUAAUACUGAUUUAGUAGAAAGCUUUAAAUUAGGAAAAGAUAUUACAAAUCUGCGAUAGAGAUACAUGAGAAUAUUGGAAUGUAGAGCCUGGAGGGAUUUGAAAAAUACAUACUCAUACUUCAUCAUAUUUUAAGGAUAUUCCAUUCCAGAAACAAUAAUGACGCUCAAAUCAAAAUAGUGUAGUAGAUACCUCAACAAACACGUUCCUGAUGCAACCUUUGCUUAUAUUAGGACCACCAUGCAGCCACAUGACCCUGAUCACUUUUCCAUUUACAUAGAAUGAUUGUUUAUCUUGAUUACAGACUACAGAGUUCCUGAUUCAUAAAAAGUUAAAAAUCAAAUCCAUAAUAUGAUGACAGCAUGUCACAUGUGUGCGUAUGCUGCUACAUGUCUGCCCCUUGUUAGAUGUUUAUAUCAACAAAAGUGAUGAAAAAAGUUGUUGCAAAAGGAACUCAAUGAUCUCUUACCUCAUGAAAACCUUAACAAUCGUACAAAUCCAUCCAUCUAAGAGCCAUCCAGUAGAAGCAAUACUCCUCUCCUUCAACAUGUCCAGAUCCGACGAUGAUCGCGAUUUGGAGUAGGGAAGAAUCCAAGGAACGAUGUCGAUUAGACUUGAGACUUUUUCUAAUUUAAAAAGAUAAUGAAAACGGUUUCAAGAUUUGUUUUGGAAAUAAAUUUAGUAAGGAGUAAUCUAGGUAAAUCUUAGAUAAUUAGGGUAAAUCUUUUAAAAUACAAUUUCAAGAUAAAAUAACACAACAAAAGAGAAGUUAUUAUCUAAUGGAGUGACACGUGUAAUUUUUAUUAUGAGAAUUAACCUGAGAAUGACAUGUGGGAUACACAACAUAAGAGAAUCUAUCAAAUGGAAUGACACGUGAAUUUUUUUUAUGAGAAUUAACCUGAGAAUGACACGUGUGAUUUUUUUGGAGUAUUAAUUAAUUUAAGAUAAAAAUAAACAACCUAAAUCCUAAUUAAUUUAUACUCUAAAAAUAACUCUAAAAUAAAAUAAUAUAUUUCCUGAAAUUAACAUUAAAUAAAUAAUAAGAUAAAUUAAGAUAAAUCAAGAAAUAAACAACUUAAAUCCUAAUCAAAUCUAAAAUUUUAAAAAGUAAUAAAUAAAGAUAGAUAAAAACUACAAAAAUCUAGCAAAUCACAAUAAAAACUCAUAAAAUCCUGAAUUAAUUAAAAAUCCGAAAAUUCAAUAAAAUACCAUAAAAAUUAAUUAAUACUCUAAAAAUAAGUAAUAAGAUAAAUUAAGAUAAAAUCAUGAAAUAAACAACCUAAAUCCUAAUCAAAUCUAAAAUUUAAAAAUGUACUAAAUAAAUAUAGAUAAAAUCUAUCAAAAUCUAGCAAAUCUCAAUAAAAACUCAUAAAAUCCUGAAUUAAUUAAAAAUUCGAAAAAUCAAUAAAAAUUAAUUAAUACUCUAAAAAUAAAUCAAAAAUAAAUUAAGAUAAAAUCAAGAAAUAAAAAACCUAAAUCCUAAUCAAAUCUAAAAUUUAAAAAUGUAUUUUUUUAUGAGAAUUAAUCUGAGAAUGACACGUGGAAUUCUGUUUAUGAGAAUUAACGUGGGAAUGACACGUCACUAAGAAUUAACGUGAGAAUGACACGUCACUAAAUCAGUCUGAUAGAAGUUCUUCUUUUCUAAUAUAUAUUGAUAUUGAUGAUGCCCAUGCUAAAAAGCUCUUGGUUCAAUAACUUAGCUCCAUAAGGGACAUUGGCUACCACAAUGUAAUCGGCAGAUUCAUAGUAACCUGCUAAAAUAAAUGUACAAUGUUUUCCAAAAAGAUUCAAAAACAUGAGUAUCAUUUUUUCUCUUCAAAGUAUUUCCAAAACAUGUCAUGCCUACUCCCAACUGUAAAUCAAAUUACAUCUAGCUUUGAACAAGGCAAGUACUCGAAGGUAAGAACGAAAGAACACAACCUACAAAACCUAACAAAUAGUAUCAGAUUCAACAAAGAAUAUAUUAUGCAAUGACACCAUAAAUCCGAUAUACUCCUUACGAUCUCCACAUUGGGGAAUCGCAGGAAAGCAAUGCACCGGAACCUACCCGAAAUCUCAAAUAUAAAUCGAUAAAAUCCCUAUGCAAGCACUAACCAAUAAUGGUAAGCUCUCUAUGUCAAGGCUCUACAACAGAUUGAUAAUGGCCAAUUGAUUAUUAGUUAUUUGCAUGUGAUUCAAAGUUUUUUCUUGGUGGAUCUUUAUCAUCAUUACUAGGGAAGUUUGAAGCUUUCCCUGAGGCUGUAAGUUUAGGCUACUAAACUAAUGUACUUUGUUAAUUCUGAAUGCCAGUUUAUUUCAACUAAUUCAUUCAACAGAUCAUAAGAACUUACACAAAGCAAUUACUGAUUGGUCUUGAGUACUUGCACAAAGAUGUAAUCAUGAUUGGUCUUAUCCAUUUAAUGUUUAAACUAGCUGAUUCUGAAUCUGAUUGAGUUAGCUUAUCUUACUUCCUAUUUUCUUUAUAGUGUCAUGCAAUAUUGAUGUUUUAUUAUAUGUUUUUUUUAUAGUUAACAAAUGGAUCUUAGAGUAAUUGACACUUCAGUUCUAGGUAACAAAGAAAUGAAGAAGAAGAGGCAAAAUUGCAGGAGCAAAUAACAUUCAUUGUUGCUAGUGUCGUUGCUAUGCUUUUAGGUGUAGUAGCUUGGUAUCAUGAGAUGCAUUUUAUUAAGGAACCGUCCCGAAAUUGGGAAUUGGAAAGACGCAAUUUCCUUAAUCGUCUAUAUAGAGGAACCGAAAGUGAUUGCAUUGAACAGUUAAGAGUCAGUAAAAGGGCAUUUUUUAAACUUUGUGGAAUUUUACAAGAUAAAGGACAGUUGGUAAGAACAAGAAAUGUCCCAACGAUUGAAGCAGUGGCAAUGUUUUUGCACAUCCUUGCUCACAACCUAAAGUACAGAGUAGUGCACUUUACCUAUUAUAGAUCCAAAGAAACAAUAAGUAGGCAAUUCAACAAUGUCCUACGAGCUGUGAUGAAAGUGAGUGGGGAAUAUUUGAAGUUUCAAGACCAUAAUAAUCUAGAGGGCUCUGAGGCAUACAAAUGGAGAUGGUGUCAGGUAAACUUAUCACAAGCUUGUGUAAUUAUAUGAGAGUUCUAGUAAUUACAUCUUAUUUAUGAUUUUUAAGCUUUUUUAGAAUUCGAUUGGAGCACUUGAUGGGACACAUAUUCCAGUAACAGUGGAAGCAGAAGAUAAACCUAGAUACCGUAAUAGAAAGGGUGACAUCUCUACGAAUGUGUUAGGGGUUUGUGGUCCAGAUUUAAAGUUUAUUUACGUGUUACCUGGUUGGGAAGGCUCGGCAGGAGAUUCACGAGUAUUGCGAGAUGCUUUACGUCGUCAAAAUCACCUUCAAAUUCCGAAUGGUAAUAUUCUCAACUUUGAUACUUUUUUUACUAUAUUAAAUUCAAUUAUAUGAUUUUUGUUUUCUUGGAUUUAAGGUGAUUGCUAAUUGGGAUGACAUUGUAGACUUGUGUGCUAAAGAUAGAGCAACAAGAAUUGGAGCGGAGACAUCCUUGGAUGCAGAUGACAUCAUGAGUAAAGAAGCAAAUGAGGAUGGAGCUUAUAUUGUGGAUAUUGAUGCUGAUGAACAAAGCUCUACAACAAGGAAAAGCAAACAACCAAUGGAAUUCAAAAAGGGAAAAAGUGGAGAAAAGAAUGGGAUAAUUACUUCAAUGAAUAAAGUGGCUGAGUCAUUGAGUGAAUUUGUGCAAGCAACUAGAAAAGGGGUGAAAAAUGUCCAAGAAGUGGUUCAUGAUGUGAUGGAUGAGCUAAAGAACAUUCCGGACCUUAAUGGCACUCAAUGGCUAAAAGCAGUGGAUUGACUUUCAGAAAAUCCAAAUAAAUUGGAGAUUUUGAAAGCUCUUCCCGUGGAGGGAAAGAAAGAUUACAUCUUAGCUUUUAUGCACUGAUUUGUGAUUUGCUAUAGUUUAUGGACCCAUUUGUUGUGUUUCCAACUUUUCAUUAUGCCACCGUUGAGACUUUGUUUUAUUUAAUUUUCAUUUGGAUUGAUGUUAGCACUUGUUAAAAACACAGUUUUAAAUUUAAAGUAAUAGAAAAUGUGAUAUCUUUAUGAAUGUUUGUUUGGAUUGAUGUUAGCACUUGUUAAAAACAAAGUGUUUCCAACUUUUCAUUAUGCCACUGUUGUGAUCCAACUAAUUUCAGAUUUUUGAGUCAAUUCAGGGGGUUUGGGCCGAUUAUAAAAUUCUGGGCUGAUUUUAAGUUUUUUUAUUAUAAUUAUUCAAAUAAUAUUAAUUAGAUUAAAAAAAUAAGAUAAAGGAAAUUCAAUUACAUUGCCCAAACAAAGAACUUUACAAUUGAGGGAAUUUCAAUACUUUAUCCAAACAAGGGAAUUUGAAAAUCAAGGGAAUUCUUUUGAUUCAAUUGAAUUCCCUAGCAUUUAAAAUCCCUUGGAUUUCUCAAAUCCUCCAUCCAAACACAACCUAAGGUUUUGCAUGGAUUGAUGACUUGCAGACAUGAAAAAGGCAAAGGGAAUCAGAACUCACAGAUCAGAUCUCACACAAGAACGCAGGAAAGCUGCGAGGAGGAUGACCGGAAAGCUUCACAGCGUCGUUUUGCCUGAACCGGUUGAAACCGGUUUGACACCGGUUUUGGCCAAUUUUACCGAUUUUCCACUAGUUCUACCGGUUUUUCACCGGUUUUCUUAUCCUCUAGUUAUAGAAGACAACCGAACUGGAGAUAGUCCCGGUUCACAAUUGAACCGGUCCAACCGGCCAGUCUGGUUCUGCAAACACUAGUAUUUGGCGACAGAUUGCCAAAACUUAAUUCGAGGUUCUUUUAAUUGAAGAAAUCGAUCCAAACGCAAUACGGAUCAAAAUACGCCGAAAAACUAUUUUGUGCAGUUGACGUCGGAUGAAGAAACUUCCUUCUGGAAAAAUAUCGCAAACAUCGAAAGAAUAAAGGCAACCCAGAUGCAAACUUUGUCAAAAGUCCCGAAUAGAAAAACUCUUUAUUCAUGGUCUUAAUUAAAGUCCCCGAAAAGGUAAAGUCUAGCUUCGACAAACUUCCGAUAAGCAAAACCUAUCGUGCGUACAGUCCAGAGUUCAGUAUCGGAACACUAGUCAUGAAAAAAAUACUAUAAGGUUCUUAUUUUUCUAACUAUUUUGAAUUUCGCUUAAACAGUGCUCUAGGAGCGGAAAUAGCCUCUUUCGGACACUCUCGACCUUAGUCGGGUGCGAAUAUGACUCGUGCUAUCACUUAAGCUGACUACAGUAUCAUCCAUAGUCAUAAACUGAACUUAAAUUCAUAUAAAUAGUUUUCAUGAGGGUUCGAGUCAGAAAAUAACAUAAAAAUAAUAGAAUAUAAAUACUCAAUUAAUUAAUAUAACGAAAAUAAAUAAAUAAUCUUGUUAUUUAUUUCAAGGUCUUACAAUACUACCCCCCAAAAAGAAAGUUUCGUCCUCGGAACUUGGUGUUAGAGGAAGCUCGUAAAUAACAUUCCCUUACAUUUCCUUCCACCUUACAAGUAGUGUCAGAACACAUCCCAAAACGGGGAGACGUCACAACGAAUUCACCUCAAGGGUGACAUACAAGACAAAAGCAAAACCUAAAUGUCUAUCAAUCAUCAUCGAAUAGACUUAGAUAUCAUGCUCAUGCUAGCGUACUAGCACCAUGAUCCAAAACCUAACUCAAUCGCUACAUGAACGACCUGACAGGUAUCGUCAUGCUCUCACCUUAACAGCUCAACCAUAAUAUUCACAACCAUAAAACAUCAUGCUAAUACCAUUCAAAUCUCAUCACAUAGCUCCUUUUGCCAACAAUCUAUCAUUCAACAUCCGUCGACCAACAUCUCAUAAGCUAAUUGUAAUCUUAAAAUCUAACAAUCCAUCAACGUAAUCUCCUUUCCGAACUAUCCUCAUACAACCCAUAAAAGUAACCCUCCACUUAGUCCCAAAUCAAAUCACAACUUAUCUCAAGUCUUAACACUCUACACAGCUCGAGACUCAUCAUCUCUAGCUUGAUCAGUCUCACGUCAAUCAAUCAUUAGUCUCUCAACCUGUAAAGAUCUAACUGUUAUCAUCACAACUAAAACCACUAACUCUCUUAUUCAUCCAUGAUUCUCAACUUACAAAAUCAAUCUUGACCCUACGAUUCCAAUUCAACUUAUCAAAUCUCAGUUGCUAACCUUAACAUGUUUCUCUGAAGUCCAAAAUCAUUGCUUGAUCAUCACUUAUUCCUCUAGCUAGGGUCUAACUAGGUGAUAAUCCAUCAAGUCUAGCUUCCUAGUGUAAUUAGCACGAAAUCACAUAACCUAUGGUUUCAUAACUUUCGAAAAAAAUACUUAAGACUCCCCAACAUUGAAUCUCUUGACUUAGUCUAUCUCUACUUGGAGCAAUCACACUUGAAGAUUAAUAUAUUAUAGAUAUAUACUUAAAAUUUAGGAUGCUGCCAUAUAUAGGAACAGCCGAAAAAGCGUAAAUCAAGAAUUCAAGCAUAUCAAAUUGAACUACUUCAUAUUGUGACACAAUUUCAACACUUGCAACAAUACAUGUUUCCUCACAACAACAUAGGAUAGUUUUGAAACAAAGCCACGCCACAUUAUUACUUUUAUACACAAAUCAUCAGCAUAUUUCUAUGCCACCGACUACUGAGACAUAUCCCAGUUUUUAACAAAGAUAAAAACAUCAUAUAGGAACUUCUGCAGCUGAUGCUAUGUACAUGGAAGUGUCCACUUAUUUAAGGAUAUAUACUAGGAGGACAAAUUCAAUUAGGUACUCUACUUGGAAAGCCAAAGAAGAUGGCCCUCGGGGAAGAAAUGACACACUGGAACCGUUCCAGGUUUGACUUUGAGCACUCGGAAAGCCACAUAAUUUGGAUCCCAUUUUGAUGUGUCUUUGUGGCAUACAGCAACUGCCUUAACUCUUACGCCAUCUUCUCCUUCCAGGGGCACAAAAUAGGCGCUAGUCUUUUGUAGUUCAUGACACCCGAAGACAACAUAUGGGUAUGCCAGAGGAUGACAAGCAAUAACAUGAUCAUCUGCUAACUUCUUUACUCCAUCUUUCACUAAAAGAUUUUGUAGUUUAGUUUCUUUUUGCACAUCUGUUGACAUCGCAUGAACGUUCUUCCCUAGCUUGGAAGUGACAAAAUCCAUCAUGGAUUCCAACGAAGUUGCGCAGUAUUUUUCCUCUCCAUCCAUUGCAGGCGCUUCACAACCACUAAUGGUUUUCUCCAUAAUCUCAGCAUUCUUCGAGUUGGGUUUCACAGAAAGCAUCUCCAAUACUUCUUUCAUCUUGUCUAGUGAGAAUGGUAUUUGUUGUGUAAUCUGGCGAGGCAACAAUGGGAUUGAAGAUCUUAUCUUAUUCAAGUGCAUGUAGAACUUGUUGUCUGAAUGGAGUUGAUCUUCUUGGAAGAAACCUACACGUGCUGAAAUCUCAUGCAAAUGAUGGUCACUAGCACCAGAAUUUUCAUGUUGAGACUCUUUACCAACAUAAAUUCGUAGUGGAUUAUCUUGUGAUUGAAUCUCCUUAACACCAAGUUUUGAGAUGGGGAGCUGAUCAUUUGACUGAGACUCUUUAGAGUAUUGAAUCCAAAGUGGAUUAUCCUGUGAUUGAAUCUCUUUAACACCAAGGUUUGAGAUGGAGAGUUGAUCUUUUGACUGAGACUUUUUUAGUGUAUUGAAUCCAAAGUGGAUUAUCCUGUGAUUGAAUCUCCUUAGCACCAAGGUUUGAGAUGGGGAGUUGAUCAUUUGACUGAGACUCUUUAGUGUAUUGAAUCCAAAGUGGAUUAUCAUGUGAUUGAAUCUCCUUAACACCAAGGUUUGAGAUGAGGAGUUGAUCUUUUGACUGAGACUCUUUAGUGUAUUGAAUCCAAAGUGGAUUAUCCUGUGAUUGAAUCUCUUUAACACCAAGGUUUGAGAUGGGGAGUUGAUCAUUUGAUUGGGCCUCUUUAGUGUAUUGAAUCCAAAGUGGAUUAUCUUGUGAUGAAAUCUCCUUCGAGAUUUUAUCUUUUGAUUGAGUAUAGGUAUCAACACACGUCUCAAUGCUCACAUCUCCUCCUGCACGUUCGUUAAAGAUAUAGUUAUUUUCAAAGCAAAUUAUGUUUGCAACGGUUCAAAAUGACUUUAAUUGACCGAAUGCUUAAAUAUAGAUUAACAUUUUUUUCUUUUCCUUUACCAUAAGUUUUGAAAGUUGCCUUCUUUAGAAAUUAGAGUUAAAAGCAUAUGAAAUGAGAGUUUAUUAAAGAAUUCACAUAUAAGAAGUUAAUGAAUAAGAAUUUACUAAAUCAACGCAAUUUAGUAAACACCUAUUCAUUAAGUUCUGAUUUGUAUGAAUUCCCUCAUAAACACUCAUGUCAUUUGCUUUUGGGAAACGUCAUCAUGGAUAUAUAUAUAUAUAUAUAUAUAUGUGU